rnacentral:lncRNA from 1 species
AAUCCUCCUCCUCUUAAACUUAAUCCCAAUUAAUUGGAUAACAAUAUAUCUAGCAUGAGGAUUGGUUGCAUGUUAUAAAUUUACAUGCAUGGGUUAGCCAAACCGUGCUAGCUAUUAUUGUUCGAUUUAUUGCAGCAUUUUGGAAAGAGAGAUUUGGGUGGUGAUUGGCUUCCUUUAUGAUUCAAAUUAUUUGGCUAGCCCAAUCUCCUUGCGCCUAGAUUGCAGUGCUCCUCCUUAGUGCCCAAUACACCUGGACAGAGGAAGUAGUUCUGAUAACCCCCAUAGAAUCAGAGGAUGUAACAGCUUUGUACAGAUUUAGGUCCUGCAUCAAACACAGCCCCUCAGGGCACGCCAUUGCCUCAACACAAACUGGAUCAUAAGCACUCUUCAUAGCCAACACCGAAGCCCUCAGGUAGGUACCAGCACCAGUGCGAAAAAUAGUUCCAGCCGAGCAUAUGUUGUUCUCAUAUGACAAUGCAGCAUCAAAUUACCUUUCACAACGCCCUGUGGAGGAGGGAUCCAACGCCCUGCGCCUUCUGCUGAAUCGAUCCAACCCAGCACAUGAAGAAAAUGUGUUAUAAACUUGCAUGUAUGAAAAGGGCUCUGAUAAACAUCUUCCUGUAUGAUAUCUCGCCUUGCCUUCCAGAUCGCCCACACGGUAGUAAUCAUCUUCACAUAAUCUGUUCUGGAUAGGAAUCACCCAUCUCGAACAACCAGGUUCCAGCAUUUGGCUCACUGGCACCGCAGCUCCUCAAUUUAUCAGAGUUCUUCAUCGACUAGUACCCAAACACAUCAAGCCAUUCUGCACUGUAGUAAUGAAUAUCUCCACUGAAUCCUCGCUCCAGCCACAAAUGCUGCAAACACUAGUCGGUGCCAUGUUCCUGUGGUGAGCAACAUCUGCAGUGGGUAAGCUUUGGCGCGCAAGCCUCCAAGAAAAGCCUUUAAUUUAGUGGGUAUUGUAUGCUUCCACAUUCUUGUCCAUGCUCUUUCAAAACAAAAAUUCAACUCAGACCCACAUACUCGCCCAUCCAGCGAGGCCUCACGACAAGUUUUGGUAUGCACAAGCAUCAUGUAGGUUGAUCAAACAGUGAAGCAGCCCUUCUUCUCAAAAAACCAUGCCCUUUCAUCUUCUAAGUUGAUUGUUGGUAGCGGAAUCCGACAUACUAUGUCCACGUCCAUCGGCAACAUGUGCUUAGCUAGCACCUGGUCAUUCCAUGAAUGGGUUGCGUCAUCAAUGAGUUUAUUAACCAACUCUCGUCUUGCUUCUACCAAAGGUCCAAACGGUCGCAUCAUCGACUCCCUCGGGAGCCAACAAUUGUUCCGCACCUCACGUCCUUCUGGAAUUGAUCUCCAAACUUGCGAAGGUUGUGAACCAAAUUGGGUUGACGAGAAAUCUGAAUUAAGGAAAUACCUUGCUUUUAAAAUCUGUGCACUCAAAGUGUUUGGCUUUUGCAACACCCAAUGUCCUUCCCUGGACCAAACGUAUGGCUGCUGUACAAGUGGGACGACCCACCUACUCAAUCCUUGGAGCAAGAAGGACGGGUGUACCGUAAGGUAAGAUGAAGAGCAGGAAGAAGAAACUGAAAAUUUCUCCUCUGUCUCUGUUCGUCUCCUUCAGGUCCGUUUGCUCUCCGUCAGGUCCGGUUGCUCUCCACAAGCAAUCCUUAUCUUCUCACGUCACGGCAAUAGCCGGCGGCAAUGGGAGGUGACACCUUUGAAGUGCCAACGUAAUACAUACAUAUACAUACCUACAUUAAAGCUGCUGAGCAGGGAGCCACCAGGGAGCUCCCCAGUGCUGGCCCUGGGCUUCCCCCGGGCAAACAGUAACCCGAACAGUGCACCCCGGUGAACAGUAACAUUUGACAAACAGUAUCCUUACUGAAUAGUCUUUCCUUUUUUUAAACGGAAUAGUGCCCUAUGUUUUUCCUUUUUUUUAGCCUCCCUUUUUUCAAAAUCAAAAUUUAAAAGUUAAAAUUAAAAAAACAUUUUUUCGAGUUUUAAAACAAAUAUCACCCCACUUUUCUGUAACAAAUACUAUUUUCUUAUUUUCUUGCCUUCUUUAUUUUUAAAAACCCUUCUAAAAAUAAUCAAAAAGUUAAAUAUUAUAAAAAAGCAAAUUUGUGGUCGGGGCUCUCCCGUGCAUGACAUCUUCUUUGAAAUUAAAAUUAAGGAGAUAAAAAGACAAAACAAAAAAUGAAUCCUGCGAUGAACAAUAACCCUUAUUUUUCCUUUUCCUUAAGUAUUGCAAAAAAAUAAUUUGUGGUCGGGGCUCUCCCAUGCGUGACAUCUUCUUUGAAAUUAAGAUUAAGGAGAUAAAAAGACAAAACAAAAAUGAACCCUGCGAUGAACAAAAACCCUUAUUUUGUUCAUUUUCCUUUUGAAAUUCCCCUCUUUUUCUGAAUUAAAAAAUUAAAGUUAAAAAUUUAAAAAAACGUUUCCCCAAGUUCUAAAACAAAUAUUACACCACAUUUUAAAAUUAAGGUGAUAAAAAUACCAAAAAAUAAAAACAAAUAAAUACAUCGCUUUUCUACAAAAUAAUAGUAGUAGUCCAACAGUAACUACGAGUGCGAUGAACAAUACCUCCCCCGCCCCCAUGAAUAACCUACCUCUUUUUUCUCCUUCUUUAAAAUUCAAAUUAAGGAGAUAAAAUUCCAAAUAAAAAUGAAAACAUAUAUUAUUUAUUUAUUCCCCUUCUUAUUUAAAAUUCAAAUUAAGGAGAUAAAAUUCCGAAGAAAAAUAAAAACAUAUAUUAUUUCUCCUUUUCCCCCUUCUCCAUUGAAAUUUAAAUAUUAAAAUUACAAAAUUACCAUUUUCCCCCUUCUUCUUAAAAACUUAAAAUUACCAACAAAAAUUGAAAACAAACAUUACAUCACCUUUUUGUAAAUAGUAAUUGCAGUCAAAAAAUAAGCUAUGGUUACAACGAAUCCACAUUUUUCCUCCUUCUUUAAAAUUAAACUUAAAAAGAUAAAUUUACCAAAAAAAUAUAUUAUAUCACUUUUCUACAAAUAAUAAUAGUGGGUAAACGGUAACUAUAAGUAACCAAUAAUUAUAACGCAAAAUUUUUCACACUUCUUUCCAAGUGAAAGAUAAAAUUACCAAAAACAAAUAUGAAAAUAAAUAUUACAUAAAAAAUAAAUUUGCUAAAUGACGGGCUUUAACUCGGGUGCGACGUGCCGCCGCACCUUCUGCCCUACUAGUUUCAAAUCAUUUGUGUACGGUAUUUCCUUUAUUUUAUGGAAAAUUGUUUAUGUGUAGUCGGUGAACCAAACAACACCAAAAGGCAUCCAUCCAUAUGUUGUGUUUAUGUUCUUCUUCGUGUUCUUGUGCAGCUAUCGGAGAUUGGUUAACAUCAAUUGAUGCUCUUAUAUACUGAGCAGUAUCUUGGGUCAUAUGUCUCAUGCCCGCCCUCACUUGCAAAGACGGAGCUAAUCUUGACGACCACCAUCCGAAUGGGCGAUGUUCCAAGUCCAAACGUAGUUGCGCAGAUGGUUACAUUGACCACUUUGACCGCAAGGAACACCUAGUAAUUUGUGCAAGUGCCCUUGGCUAUAUGUUUACAAUGAGCAUUUUCUGCUUCACUGUGUUGUACACUAUAGUCACGAAUGGCACAGCUAACGUGGCCCAAGGACCCAGGGACAUCUUCGUCCGACUUGUAGGAAAAAGAGGGCUCGAUCCCCGUGCCUCUCCGCCGACUUCACCGGCUUUCAACGUUGCCUUGGACUUUGAUCGGAGACCACCAACCUACCGGCACUGCAGCGGAGGCGGUAACUCAUUGCUGCUCGUCUCCUACCAUGAUAUGAUCCUAGCGUGGGCUCAGGUGCCGCUUUUUGCGUCUAUGGCGACGGGAGCCUUGCCAGUGUUGGUACCUUGGAGGUUGAGGCCAAGGAAAACGCCCGCGUGCUGCAAGAGGAGGUGCGCAACUUUCUUCGGAGCGAGAUUCAGGUCGUGGGCAAGGUUGAGUUCGCCGUGGAUGGAGAGGUGUGAUACGUCUCCAUCGUAUGUACUUUUCCAAACUCUUUUGCCCUUGUUUUGGACUCUAAUUUGCAUGANNNNNNNNNNCAGACUGACGUUGUUUUCAGCAGAAUUGCAAUGGUGUUGUUUUUGUGCAAAAAUGGAAGUUCUCGGAACGUCCUGAAAAUUUAGAGAAAAUAUUUCUGGAAAAUAUGAAAAAUACCUGCGCAAAGAUCCACCGGAGGGGACGGGCCACUGGGCCACAAUCCCUGUAGCCGCGGCCUCCCCCCUGGCGGCGGCUACCAAGCUUGUGGGGCCCACGUGGCUCUGCUGCCCCCAAUUCCAGGGCUAUUUAUUCCCUUUCGUCCUGGAAAAAAUCAAGAUAGAAGAUUUCAUCGCGUUUCACGAUCCAGAGGCGCCGCCACAUCCCGUUCUUCAUCUGGAGGGCAGAUCUAGAGUCUGUUUUGGGCUCCGGAUCAAGGAGAUCGUCGCCAUCGUCAUCAUCAACCUUCUUCCCUCUCCAAUUUCAUGAAGCUCUCCGUCGUUCGUGAGUAAUCUAUUCGUAGGCUCGCUGGACGGUGAUGAGUAGGAUGAGAUCUAUCAUGUAAUCGAGUUAGUUUUGACGGGGAUUGAUCCCUAGUAUCCACUAUGUCUUGAGAUUGAUGUUGCUACUACUUUGCCAUGCUUAAUGCUUGUCACUAGGGCCCGAGUGCCAUGAUUUCAGAUCUGAACUUAUUAUGUUGUCACCAAUAUAUGUGUGUUUUAGAUCCGAUCUUGCAAGUUGUAGUUACCUACUAUGUGUUAUGAUCCGGCAACCCCGGAGUGACAAUAACCGGAACCACUCCCGGUGAUGACCAUAGUUUGAGGAGUUCAUGUGUUCACCAAGUGCUAAUGCGUUGUUCCGGUUCUUUAUUAAAAGGAGAACCUUAAUAUCCCGUAGUAUCCUUUUGGACCCCGCUGCCAUGGGAGGGAUGGACAAUAGAUGGCAUGCAAGUUCUUUUCCCUAAGCACAUAUGAUGACACACGGAAUGCAUGCCUACAUCACAUUUACGAACGGGAGCUAGCCACAUAUCUCUCUGUGUUAUAACUGUUGCAUGAUGAAUGUCAUCCAACAAAUCUCCGACCCAUUGCCUACGAGUUUGUCCCACUGUUGCUAUUAUUUGUUUUGCUCUGCUGUUGUUACUACUGUUGCUGCUACUGUUACUUGUUUCUACUGUUACUUGCUUUGUCCUGCUGCUGCCACUACUGUUACUUGCUGUUGCUGUUACUUGCUACUGUUGCUACUUGCUACUGCUGUCACUAUCGCUGUUCCUUGCCACUGUUGUUACUCGUUACACUGCUGCUACCUGCUACAAUACUUUUCUGGCGCCAUCGAUACAACAUUUAGGAAUAGUCUACCAUCAACAGACCGUUUCUGGCACCGUUGUUAUCAUACUGCUUUGCUGUUGACACUUUGCUUGGAGAUACUAAUCUUUCAGGUGUGGUUGAAUCUGACACAUUCAGCUGCUAAUACUUGAGAAUAUUCUUUCUCUUCCCGUCGCGCGAACCAACAAAUUUGGGUUGAAUACUCUACCCUCGAAAACUGCCUCAAUCCCACACGCUGGUGGGCUAUUGCAAGACUAUUUCUAAUUGUUGAGCAAUUGGGAGCAGCUCUUUUCUGACUCCGUUACCGUGGAGGCAUCAAGUCAGGAAUAGUUGCACGUCAAUAAGGUGGCGGGCCUAGGGUAUCUUCACUACAAGUUUUUCAUCAUGAAGGAUCAGGCUAUGGAUGUGCCCAAGAGCAUGUGCAUCUUCGGUCAAUAGGGUGGACCUAUGUGUUCUAAUAAGGGUGUUAGAUAUUCUCCUUUCUGUCACCGGAUUGCAUUUAUUUUUGUAAUAGCUACUAUAUUCUGCUUUGAAAUAAAACAAACAAUUUCAGCUGUAUAUAUUUUUUCGAGUGGUUAUUUUCUUCAGAAAAUGCUACCUCAAUCCUCCGUGCAAAAACCCGACGGAAAGUUUCGCCAUACUAUGUAGGCUUUAGACUUGCAUAACACCUAGUAGGUCACUUUGGAACUGGAAGCUUGGUCAGCUCGAAGGAAGGUUACUCUACUCAACUAUUGGACUUUCAGGGGGACUUGCUUUGAGUAUAUACAUUGGGAUUUUGUGCUAAUUUUGCUAAUCUAAUUUAUGAUAAGGGUGUACACCUGAAGCUUCACUUAGUUUUAUUCAGUUACAAGCUAGUCUAGGAUCUUUCCUGCGCGCGCACCUUCUCCUCCAUGCUUGUUCCUUCUUGAACUGAAGUCUUCCUCGACGGAAACCCAUCUUCCUCACCCAAAUAAGGCUUCAAAUCUGCAAUGUUUAAAGUGGGACUAAUCCCAAACUCUGCAGGAAGCUCAAGUUUAUAUGCAUUAUCAUUUAUUUUCUCUAACACCUAAAAAACGACCAUCAUCACGUGGCAUUAGCUUUGACUUUUGUAAAUCAGGAAAUCUAUCCUUUCGCAAAUGUAACCAAACAAGAUCUCGAGGUGCAAAGACAACAUGUUUUCUACCCUUAUCUCCAACAAGUUUGUAUUUAGCAUUCAUACGCUCAAUGUUUUCCUUAUGUAACAUCCCAAACUCUAGAAGGUUAUAUUAUUAAAAUUUAAUGAUUGAUUGUUUGAAUGAUUGUUUGAAAUUGAGUGAAAAUUGAAAUUUUUUGGAACUUUUAAAUGAGAGGGAAUAACAUGACUUUCCCCCUUUGUUCUUGCAUUCAAAUUCAUCCAUUUCAAAUCAUUGAGACAAGAUGACAUGACUUCUUCAAAAUAAAAGAUUUGAAAUUUUGGAUUUGAAAACUACUCAUAUUUUCCAUUUGGAAUUUAUUUCAUAAUGAGUUCUAUUUCUAUUUUAAAUUUGAAUGAAUUCAAACUUCCUUGCCAAAAUUCAAAAAAUUCUUGAGAGGAGAAAUUUGACACUCCAAACGAGGGGAAAGAUUGAAUUAUAUUUGAAUUUAAAAUGCUCAGAAAUUGUUUGGAAAAUAUUUCAUAUUGGGUUUCCAAGCCAUUCUUUAAGUGGUUUUCAAAAUUAUUUUCCUCCAAAAAUAAAAUACUUGGAAAAUAGGUUAAAAUGAUUCCCUUCAAUAUAAAAAUGGAGAAAAAUGAAUUUGCAAUCAUUUUGGUAUUUUUGAAAAUAUUGUAUUACAUUUUAAACUCAAUAGUAGCACUAUUUGAAUUAUUUGAAUCGGUCAGAAUUUUGUUUGAACUUGACAAUAUGUUCAUGUUGUAGGAAAUCUUUUUCCUGUCAUUUGGUAUACUAUAUGCCUAUAUGUGGUUUCCAUUUAUUUUCAUUUUAUUUAUUUUAUGUCUUUGUUUGAAAAUAUAAAGAAAAGGGUUUUCUGUUAAAACAAAAGGGUGAAGCCCAACAGAGCGCCCGAGGCCGAGGUCGUCGACAACCCACCUUUCGCCCACGCCUGAAAUGGCAAGCGUCCGGCCGACGAUCCCCUCGGGAAUCCUCUUCCUCUCACUAAUAUGAGGGCCCAGCCGACCGUUCCCGAGAUCCUCAUGGUCACCUUCCUCCCACGCUCCCCUUUCCUUCCAGUUGUCGGCGUCGCCGCGAUCCGUCGAUCCUCUACCAUUUAGACUCGCCCUCCUUCAUGCAAGGCCCCCAAUAAAUACCCCACCUCCCGCACUCAUUCCUCGCCCGAAGCCCUCUCUCUUACUCCCCAGCGCCCACACAAUCCCUCGCCAGAGUUAGCCACGGUUGCCUCGCCAUUACCAUGCCACCACUCCCCCUAGCCCUCCCCAACGAAUGUAGACACCUCCAUUCGCUUCGCCACUCUUGUUUGUACCUCCCCAUGCACUCGCGCGAGCUACAGAAUGAGGGAAGCUAAUCCCCCCCGACAACCACCGAAUGUCGUCGUCACUACCACGCUCGCCGCCGUCACUCCCGUACACCCCGAACUCCACAUGGACCACCAGAAGAACCGCCUUGCUUGUCCGCGUCGUUGGAGUCGUCCUCGACGUCGUAGGACCAUCGGAGCACCGCCCCGCAUUGCCUCACCGCCUCGGACAUUGUCGAAGCCUCGCCGGAGACCUCCACCAUCGCGGUAAGUCACCAGCACCAUCCUCGCCCGUCCGAUCUAGCAUCUACGGUGUAAAUUAGAUCAAGCGUACCCCUUCGGUUUAUUUAAAGAACCGGUCGGUUUUUCUUUGUUUAUUUAGACCAAAGGGUUUUCCUCCAACGUGCGGUUGUCCGCUAUUUUACACCGCGCGUGCACACCAGUAAGCCUACCAGAGCGCGCCACGUAGCCCCUGUCCGUUUAUUAGGACUUUUUCUUUUUGUGUUUGAGUUUCUUUACACAAUUAGUUCAAUUUUUAGAUUUCUUAUAUCGUUUAUGUUUUUAAGUUAUUCCUUUUCCAUUAGUUCACGAAUUUGUUUUAGUUUCUGUUAGUGCAAUUAGAUUUCAAAUUGUAUAGUUUUAAAUUUGAAUUCAAACAAAUUUUCUUCAAGCCUUCUUUUGUGGAUAACUUGAGUUUAAAAAUAGGUAUUUAGCUCAUUCUUUUUGCUACUCGUCACUUCUGACUUUAGUUAUCAUUGUGUAUAAUUUGAGGAAUUUUAGUAUAUUUUAAAUUAAGGUUGUAAGAAAACAGAAUUGUUUUAGUUCAUUUUGGGUUUAUUGUUAUUUCUUUUUAUUAUUGUUAUGCGAUCUUUAGAAGACCUAACCCGUGAUGAAUAGUCAUGUUAGAUGCGAAGAUUUGUGAGUUGUCCCUUGUGUGUCCGCUUUUCCGACAGCAAACAAAUAAAAUAUUUUUCAAAACUAUAUUGUUUGUAUGGUUAUAUUUCUCCCUCUCUCUCCAACCUUGCCUCAUUGCUGCUAAACCCAUCAGAUGCCGCCGAGAUGGAACAACACCAGGAAUAGCUCAAGGAACAAUGGACUUAGCAUAGAACAGUUACUCCAGACCCAGAACCAAAUGUUGCAACUCUUGAUGCAGAACGAGAAUGAGAACAACAACAAUAACCCGCCACCCCAAGUUGAUAACCUUACCCGCUUUCUAAAGUUGAACCCACCAGUGUUCUCUAGCAGCAUAGAGCCAAUUGUGAUAGAGGACUGGCUCCGCAAGAUAGGAAGAGAGCUGGCCACUGUAGGAUGCACAGACAGAGAGAAGGAGAUGAUUGUUGCUCACCAGUUGGAUGGACCAGCAGCUUCCUGGUGGGAGAAUUACACUGCUACAUACCCCAUGACGAAUGUAACUUGGGAUCGGCUCCAACAAGCUUUUCGCAUCGCACAUGUUACAGGUGGAGCCAUGAUUCUGAAGAAGGAGUUCCACAACCCACGCCAAGGAAGCCAUGCAGUAGCACGGUAUGUGGAUGAGUUAUGCCAGCUACCCCGCUAUGCUCCACGAGACAUAGCGACAGAUGUCGCUAAAUAUGAGAAGUUUCUGGAGGGACUGAAUUAUGAGCUGGGAAUGCAGUUGACCAUGGCUACUUUUAAUAACUAUCAAGAAUUGGUAGACAAGGCUAUCAUUCUUGAAGGCCAGCAAAUGCAGACGGAGAACCGCAAGAGAAAGUACGAACAAGGUAUAACUCUAGAGUUCAGGAGGAGCCCCGCUACACCCCGUACCUAGGAAAUUCUGGAUCAGGACCCGUGAAGUUUGGAGGACCCAAUCAUGAGAACCAUUGAGGUCAUUCUCAUCACAGAAGCAUUGGAUACCACCCUAAUGGCCGCAAGCAUGAAAAUGAAACUGGAGGAAUUGGAAAACAACGUCAUCCCAACCCAGCUGCACCAACAAAGAAAGAUAAGAGUCAUAUUACCUGUUUUGAGUGCACGAAAACGGGACAUUGUGCCAAUGAUUGUCCAGAAGAUAAGCAGAAGCCCGGAGAAUUGUUGGAACUUAACUGCUUUCUUUGUGAUGCUGUGGGGAAUUAUGCCAUUGACUGUCGAGACCCAAAGAAUGUUGGAUCUGAGUAGUUGAGAUCAUAAUGUUGGCAAUAAGUGUAAUAGGUGACACUCUCGUUUUCAUGAGAUUAUGGAGUUGAAUGUUGUAACAAAAGUUUAAGACAUUGUAAUAACUUAAUGAAUCAAUAGAAUUUAUUUUUUCAUGACUUCUUGUGUCGAAUUAUAUCAGUUGUUACUCUAUAAACAAAGAUCUCUGGCCAUUUUCGAGGAUAUGAGAAAAUACGAUCUUCACAUGCAUGUGUACAUUUCAUUUUAAGUGUGGUAGUAAUCGGUAAAACCAUAGGAAUCCAAGGAAAAAAUAAUGUACCAUAUAUGCCAAGGAGUCUGGACCAAUCAAUACAUCUGAAGCUCAUACUGGACCAUAUCAAACUGUGUGGAUGACAACAUUUGUAAUAAAGUGCUUUUGGGGAACGUGGUACAGGAAACAAAAAAAUUCCACGCAGACGCAAUACCUAUCAUGGUGAUGUCCAUCUACGAGAGGGGAUUUCCGAUCUACGUACCCUUGUAGAUCACACAACAGGAGGCGUUAAGAAAGGCGGUUGAUGUAGUGGAACGUCCUCACAUCCCUUGAUCCGCCCCACGAACCGUCCCACGAACCGUCCCGCGAUCCGUCCCACGAUCCGCUCCGAUCUGUGCCGAACGGACGGCACCUCCGCAUUCAGCACACGUACAGCGCGACAAUGAUCUCGGCCUUCUUGAUCCAGCAAGAGAUACAGAGAGGUAGAUGAGUUCUCCGGCAGCGUGACGGUGCUCCGGAGGUUGGUGGUGAUCUAUCCCAGCAGGGCUUCGCCCGAGCUCCGUGGAAAUACGAUCUAGAGGAACAACCAUGGAGGUAUGUGGUCGGACUCUCGUGGCAAAGUUGUCUCAAAUCAGCCCUAAUACCUCAGUAUAUAUAGGAGGGAGGGGGAGGGCCUUUCCUUGAGGCUCAAGGGAGCCCCAAGGGGUCGGCCGCACCAAGUGGAGAAGUCCUCCUCCUCCAAUCCUAGUCCAACUAGGAUUGGAAGGUGGAGUCCUUCCCUUCCUUCCCACUUCCCCUUUUUUCCAUUUGACUUCUUUAUCUCCUGCACAUAGGGCCUCUUGGGCUGUCCCACCAGCCCACUAAGGGCUGGUACGACACCCAUAAGGCCUAUGGGCUUUCCCCGGGUGGGCUGCCCCCCCCCCCCCCNNNNNNNNNNCGAGUUCGUCGAGUACCACAACGUCCCCGACGACCCCCGAACAUCUACGGAUUCGCGAACGACUACCGACGUCGAAGAUCGUCUGCCUACGCCGAGCGAACGACUACUGUCGACGAGACCGUGUACGACUACUUCCACAACGACCACGACUUCCACGACGACCGUUGGUCUCCUUCUCUGAACCGAACCGCUCCGAUAUGCAUGUGUCGAAGGUAUUGUUGGAGAACGUCGCAUGGGAAAAAAAAAAAUUCCUACGCGCACGAAGACCUAUCAUGGAGAUGUCCAUCUACGAGAGGGGAUGUUCGAUCUAUCUACCCUUGUAGACCGCACAGAAGAAGCGUUAGUGAACGCGGUUGAUGUAGUGGAACGUCCUCACGUCCCUCGAUCCGCCCCGCGAACCGUCCCGCGAUCAGUCCCACGAUCUAGUGCCGAACGGACGGCACCUCCGCGUUUAGCACACGUACAACCCGACGAUGAUCUCGGCCUUCUUGAUCCAGCAAGAGAGACGGAGAGGUAGAAGAGUUCUCCGGCAGCGUGACGGUGCUCCGGAGGUUGGUGAUGAUCUUAUCUCAGGAGGGCUCCGCCCGAGCUCCACAGAAGCGCGAUCUAGAGGUAAAACCGUGGAGAUAUGUGGUCGGGCUGCCGUGGCAAAGUUGUCUCAAAUCAGCCCUAAAACCUCCGUAUAUAUAGGGGNNNNNNNNNNCAGUUCUCCGGCAGCAUGACGGCGCUCCGGAGGUUGGUGAUGAUCUUAUCUCAGCAGGGCUCCGCCCGAGCUCCGCACAAACGCGAUCUAGAGGUAAAACCGUGGAGAUAUGUGGUCGGGAUGCCAUGGCAAAGUUGUCUCAAAUCAGCCCUAAAACCUCCGUAUAUAUAGGGGGAAGAGGGGGAGCCUUGCCUUGGGGUCCAAGGACCCCAAAGGAGUUCGGCCGAGCCAAGGGGGGCAACCCUCCCCUUCCAAACCGAGUCCAACUAGGUUUGGAAGGAGGAGUCCUUCCCCCUUUUCCCACCUCCUCUUUUUUUUCUCUUUGAUUUUCUUCCUAUGGCGCAUAGGGACUUCUUGGGCUGUCCCACCAGCCCACUAAGGGCUGGUGCGCCACCCCCAAGGACUAUGGGCUUCCCCGGGGUGGGUUGCCCCCCCCGGUGAACACCCGGAACCCAUUCGUCAUUCCCGGUACAUUCCCGGUAACNNNNNNNNNNUCUUUUCUCUUUGAUUUUCUUCCUAUGGCGCAUAGGGCAUUCUUGGGCUGUCCCACCAGCCCACUAAGGGCUGGUGCGCCACCCCAAGGCCUAUGGGCUUCCUCGGGGUGGGUUGCCCCCCAGGUGAACACCCGGAACCCAUUCGUCAUUCCCGGUACAUUCCCGGUAACUCCGAAAACCUUCCGGUAAUCAAAUGAGGUCAUCCUAUAUAUCAAUCUUCGUUUCCGGAAAAUUCCGGAAACCCUCGUGACGUCCGUGAUCUCAUCCGGGACUCCGAACAACAUUCGGUAACCAACCAUAUAACNNNNNNNNNNAUUCCAGGUAAUGCCCGAAAACUUUCCGGUAAUCAAAUGAGGUCAUCCUAUCUAUCAAUCUUCAUCUCCGGACCAUUCCGGAAACUCUCGUGACGUCCGUGAUCUCAUACGGGACUCCGAACAACAUUCGGUAACCAACCAUAUAACUCAAAUACACAUAAAACAUCGUCGAACCUUAAGUGUGCAGACCCUGCGGGUUCGAGAACUAUGUAGACAUGACCCGAGGGACUCCUCGGUCAAUAUCCAAUAGCGGGACCUGGAUGCCCAUAUUGGAUCCUACAUAUUCUACGAAGAUCUUAUCGAUUGAACCUCAGUGCCAAGGAUUCAUAUAAUGCCGUAUGUCAUUCCCUUUGUCCUUCGGUAUGUUACUUGCCCGAGAUUCNNNNNNNNNNUUUGAACCUCAGUGCCAAGGAUUCAUAUAAUCCCGUAUGUCAUUCCCUUUGUCCUUCGGUAUGUUACUUGCCCGAGAUUCAAUCGUUAGUAUCGGCAUACCUAUUUCAAUCUCGUUUACCGGCAAGUCUCUUUACUCGUUCCGUAAUACAAGAUCCCUCAACUUACACUAAGUCACAUUGCUUGCAAGGCUUGUGUGUGAUGUUGUAUNNNNNNNNNNGAUCGUCAGUAUCCGCAUACCUAUUUCAAUCUCGUUUACCGGCAAGUCUCUUCACUCGUUCCGUAAUACAAGAUCCCGUGACUUACACUAAGUCACAUUGCUUGCAAGGCUUGUGUGUGAUGUUGUAUUACCGAGUGGGCCCCGAGAUACCUCUCCGUCACACGGAGUGACAAAUCCCAGUAUCGAUCCAUACUAACUCAACGAACACCUUCGGAGAUACCUGUAGAGCAUCUUUAUAGUCACCCAGUUACGUUGCGAUGUUUGAUACACACAAAGCAUUCCUCCGGUAUCAGUGAGUUAUAUGAUCUCAUGGUCAUAGGAACAAAUACUUGACACGUAGAAAACAGUAGCAACAAAAUGACACGAUCAACAUGCUACGUCUAUUAGUUUGGGUCUAAUCCCUCACGUGAUUCUCCUAAUGACGUGAUCCAGUUAUCAAGCAACAACAUCUUGUUCAUAAUCAGAAGACACUGACUAUCUUUGAUCAACUGGCUAGCNNNNNNNNNNACCAGUUACGUUGCGACGUUUGAUACACACAAAGCAUUCCUUCGGUGUCAGUGAGUUAUAUGAUCUCAUGGUCACAGGAACAUAUACUUGACAUGCAGAAAACAGUAGCAACAAAAUGACACGAUCAACAUGCUACGUCUAUUANNNNNNNNNNGUAUACCGAUGAGACGUGUCGUGGCCAUGUGCAUGUGAUGUAUGAGAUGUAAUGUAUGAUUGCACCUUAUGUUUGACGUUGCACGGUGUCCCUCUAUGUUGUGCCCGACACAUGGGAACCCGAGAUACGGGAUCACGCCAUCUUUAUUUAACGUUCCCGCACACGCUUCUAGUACGUUGGCACGAUAUCUCGACGAGUUAUCGGGAUAGGAACGUUGCCGUGGCAUCGUUUCCGAUUUGCCGCCAUGGUUCCCUCUCGCUCGNNNNNNNNNNAAACUAGAGGCUUGCUAGGGACAGUGUUUUUUGUCUAUGUAUCCACACAUGUAUAUAAGUCUUCAUUCAACACAAUUAUAGCAUGGAUAAUAAACAAUUAUCAUGAACUAAGAAAUAUAAUAAUAACUAAUUUAUUAUUGCCUCNNNNNNNNNNNNNNNNNNNNNNNNNNNNNNNNNNNNNNNNNNNNNNNNNNNNNNNNNNNNNNNNNNNNNNNNNNNNNNNNNNNNNNNNNNNNNNNNNNNNGGAAAAUGAACAAAAUAAGGGUUUUUGUUCAUCGCAGGGUUCAUUUUUGUUUUGUCUUUUUAUCUCCUUAAUCUUAAUUUCAAAGAAGAUGUCACGCAUGGGAGAGCCCCGACCACAAAUUAUUUUUUUGCAAUACUUAAGGAAAAGGAAAAAUAAGGGUUAUUGUUCAUCGCAGGAUUCAUUUUUUGUUUUGUCUUUUUAUCUCCUUAAUUUUAAUUUCAAAGAAGAUGUCACGCAUGGGAGAGCCCCGACCACAAAUUAUUUUUUUGCAAUACUUAAGGAAAAGGAAAAAUAAGGGUUAUUGUUCAUCGCAGGAUUCAUUUUUUGUUUUGUCUUUUUAUCUCCUUAAUUUUAAUUUCAAAGAAGAUGUCAUGCACGGGAGAGCCCCGACCACAAAUUUGCUUUUUUAUAAUAUUUAACUUUUUGAUUAUUUUUAGAAGGGUUUUUAAAAAUAAAGAAGGCAAGAAAAUAAGAAAAUAGUAUUUGUUACAGAAAAGUGGGGUGAUAUUUGUUUUAAAACUCGAAAAAAUGUUUUUUUAAUUUUAACUUUUAAAUUUUGAUUUUGAAAAAAGGGAGGCUAAAAAAAAGGAAAAACAUAGGGCACUAUUCCGUUUAAAAAAAGGAAAGACUAUUCAGUAAGGAUACUGUUUGUCAAAUGUUACUGUUCACCGGGGUGCACUGUUCGGGUUACUGUUUGCCCGGGGGAAGCCCAGGGCCAGCACUGGGGAGCUCCCUGGUGGCUCCCUGCUCAGCAGCUUUAAUGUAGGUAUGUAUAUGUAUGUAUUACGUUGGCACUUCAAAGGUGUCACCUCCCAUUGCCGCCGGCUAUUGCCGUGACGUGAGAAGAUAAGGAUUGCUUGUGGAGAGCAACCGGACCUGACGGAGAGCAAACGGACCUGAAGGAGACGAACAGAGACAGAGGAGAAAUUUUCAGUUUCUUCUUCCUGCUCUUCAUCUUACCUUACGGUACACCCGUCCUUCUUGCUCCAAGGAUUGAGUAGGUGGGUCGUCCCACUUGUACAGCAGCCAUACGUUUGGUCCAGGGAAGGACAUUGGGUGUUGCAAAAGCCAAACACUUUGAGUGCACAGAUUUUAAAAGCAAGGUAUUUCCUUAAUUCAGAUUUCUCGUCAACCCAAUUUGGUUCACAACCUUCGCAAGUUUGGAGAUCAAUUCCAGAAGGACGUGAGGUGCGGAACAAUUGUUGGCUCCCGAGGGAGUCGAUGAUGCGACCGUUUGGACCUUUGGUAGAAGCAAGACGAGAGUUGGUUAAUAAACUCAUUGAUGACGCAACCCAUUCAUGGAAUGACCAGGUGCUAGCUAAGCACAUGCUGCCGAUGGACGCGGACAUAGUAUGUCGGAUUCCGCUACCAACAAUCAACUUAGAAGAUGAAAGGGCAUGGUUUUUUGAGAAGAAGGGCUGCUUCACUGUUUGAUCAACCUACAUGAUGCUUGUGCAUACCAAAACUUGUCGUCAGGCCUGGCUGGAUGGACGAGUAUGUGGGUCUGAGUUGAUUUUUUUUAAAGAUCAUGGACAAGAAUGUGGAAGCAUACAAUACCCACUAAAUUAAAGGCUUUUCUUGGAGGCUUGCGUGCCAAACCUUACCCAGUGCACAUGUUGCUCACCACAAGAACAUGGCACCGACUAGUGUUUGCAGCAUUUGUGGCUGGAGUGAGGAUUCGGUGGAGAUAUUCAUUACUAGAGUGCAGAACGGCUUGAUGUGUUUGGGUACUAGUCGAUGAACAACUCUGAUAAAUUGAGGAGCUGCGGUGCUGGCGAGCCAAAUGCUGGAACCUGGUUGUUCGAGAUGGAUGAUUCCUAUCCAUAAUAGAUUAUGUGAAGAUGAUUACUACCUUGUGGGCGAUCUGGAAGGCAAGGCGAGAUAUCAUACAGGAAGAUGUUUAUCAGAGCCAUUUUCAUACAUGCAAGUUUAUAACACAUUUUCUGCAUGUGCUGGGUUGGAUCGAUUUAGUAGAAGGCGCAGGGUGUUGGAUCCCUCCUCCACAGGGUGUUGUGAAAGGUAAUGUUGAUGUUGCAUUGUCAUAUGAGAACAACAUGUGCCCGGCUGGAACUAUUUUUCGCGAUGGUGCUGGUACCAACCUGACGGCUUCGGUGUUGGCUAUGGAGAGUGCUUAUGAUCCAGUUUGUGUUGAGGCAAUGGUGUGCCCUGAAGGGUUGUGCUUGAUGUAGGACCUAAAUCUGUACAAAGUUGUUAGGCUGGUUGUAAUGGGUAGUAUCAUAUACUAGUAUCAUGCAUAUGAUACUAGCCUAUGAUACCACAUUCGUAAUGUAUAGUAUCAUAUGUUAGUAUCAUAGGAUAGUUCAUUUAUUGCCAUGCAAGACACAUAAUAGCACAUCAUUUAAUAUGAUACGGUAUCAUGAUAUGAUACUCAACCAUCUCUUUCUUCAUUUAAUUCUAUGCCACAUAAUCGAAAUUGCCUAGUUGGCAUGCAUGAUACUACCUAUGAUACUCCCAUUACGGGCAGCCCUAUAUCCUCUGAUUCUAUGGGGGUUAUCAGAACUACUUCCUUUGUCCAGGUGUAUUGGGGACUAAGGAGGAGCACUGGAAUCUAGGCACAAGGACAUUGGGCUAGCCAAAUAAUUUGAAUCAUAAAGGAAGCCAAUCACCAUCCAAAUCUCUUUUUCCAAAAUGCUGCAAUAAAUCGAACAAUAAUAGCUGGCACGGUUUGGCUAACCCAUGCAUGUAAAUUUAUAACAUGCAACCAAUCCUCAUGCUAGAUAUAUUGUUAUCCAAUUAAUUGGGAUUAAGUUUAAGAGGAGGAGGAUUGCAUGCAUUGGUCCAAGGUUUUUAAAGGAAGAGCUAAUUACGAAGAUUAAUGCAUCUAUAAUAACUUACGCGACUUAUACUUUUUGAAUUUCAAAAUUCUCUUACGUGCCCAACACACCUGGACGGAGGGAGUAUCUAUGAAGGAAACAGAGGAGAGGAGGAGGCUAACAAAAGCCACGCGCAAGCUGGAGGGUUUACGAGAUGUUUCCUUUAAACAUAAAACGAGGGUAUACAACAUAGAUGCUCAUAAUAUUGCUAGAAUGUCUCAAGUUCUAUGUCAAGGCCGUCAUGUUUGGCUCCUCGAGCCGAGCCCCUGGGAUUUGUAUGUGCUACUCUAGAUAAUCUUCAUAAUACGCACACAUACAUAUAUACAUUUUGUGUAUAUUUUACACCAUGUUUUUAUGUUUAUAACUUUACGUAGCAUAAAAUACUUUUUAUGAUGAUUUUAAUAUUUUCUUACGUUCUCUUUUUAGGUAUGAAGUAAGAAAAAAAAUACGAUUCAUAAAAAUACGGUGCUUUGAUGGGAAAAUAGAGGGGUGAAGAAUAAUUAUUCCUCAUCCACGGUGACAAAUAGCGCGACCCUUAACUGAGAUUUAGGAAUCGAGCCUUGUAUAUCGAAAUAGUCAUAUAUAAUAGAAACUCUAUUCAUCACCUAGGGUGCAAAAUAGUUUACUUUUCACCAGAGAUAAUCUUACGAUCAAUUAACAAAUAAAUUACAUUUGAAAUACAAAUAGUUACAUUUAUAUUGAAUCACUACGUAAAAUUUGGCAAAAGAAAAACAAAAAUAAAGGUCACAUAUUUUUUUAUGUAUAUUUUUAUGUUCAUUAUAUUUUUUUACGGUCUCUUUUUACGUAUAAAAUAAGACAAAAUUUACAUAACGUAAAAUGACGGUGCAUUGAUGUUAAAAUAGAGGGGGGUGAAGAAUAACUAUAACUCACCCAGGGAGACGAAUAGCGCAACCCUACACACACACACACACACAUAUAUAUAUAUAUACACACACACACACACAUAAAGGAGAGGAGAGAUGUGGUAGCGGUGUGGAUUAUGCUCGUCUCUAAUGCAGAGACACGAUUUAAUCAAUUUUGAAAAGAGUUGUUAGGCGGCCUUGGUUUUGAGAAGGCAAUUUCUCAAGAGUCUGGGCUGCAUCUCCUAUAGUAGUAUACAGCGAGGAGAUGAACAUAUCACAUACUCCCUGCGAGUAGGCCGUUUGGAUCUGCGGCCACCAAUCCGCCCGUGGAGAAAAGAGAGGACGGAAAAGAAAAAUCUAACUAAUAACUAGGCUCAUGCACGGAUCUUAUAUCCAAUAUACGCACUACAAGGGACCAAGAGAAACCUAUGCAAACUUGAAGCUUAUAGAUUGCUUACCGACAAAGAAGAGAUUCGCUUCCGGGUCGAGGCGGCGGCAGCGGACUGAGGAUCCAAGCCACAGCCAGGCGGAGGCUGCAGUACAGAAGGGACUUGGGCGGCGGAGCGCUUUUACAUCCUGAGUGCGUUGCGUAUCGAUCCCCAACGGACCGACCGGCUCUAUCUCUUCAUCCUCUAUGGAACUGGAAGAGAGGACGCCACGUGCCUUUCCUAAUCUCAAAGCAGUUUUUGUUUCCCAGUCUUGUCUAGUAGUGUCAUGCACCUUUCUGGCCUGCAUCUUUUAGUUCUAUUCAGUUCAGGUGUCAUUUUCUUCAGAUAACUCUUCCGUGAUCGAACAAAUGAAUGAAUGAGCAGCUGAAACAACAUCUUACAGCAGGGACAAAACAGAAUAAAAAGGGUCUACUUAAAGAUGGAACCUCAUCGUAUGGCCGAUUUUGGAUGUCGCGGAGCAAUCAAAUUACAACACAAAUACUAGGGUCCUCCUCACCGCUGGCCCACUCCCUCCUGCCCGAGGUGCCUCCUCCCGCAUCCACAACUGCCCGCAUCUUCUCCCGGCGGCACGGCCAGCUAGUGCAGAUCCCGCGCCGGAGAUACGCGCAGCCACACGCCGCGCCGCCCUACUGGCUCCCGGCCCUCUGUUGCAUCCAGUGCAUUGGCAGGUGCAGUGGAUCCCCUGUUUAUUUACAGUUCGUUUGCUGCUAGUUCAUGAAGUACUAAUGGAUUUAUUAACCCAAGGCGGUCCCGUCUCUGGAGGGUGAUCUGCAGACAAGGACGCGGCCGUCUUGGGUUAAUACCAUCGUGCCGGUCGCGUUGACUAGUAUUUGUGUUGUAAUUUGAUUGCUCCGCGACAUCCAAAAUCGGCCAUACGAUGAGGUUCCAUCUUUAAGUAGACCCUCUUCAUUCUGUUUUGUGCCUGCUGUAAGAUGUUGUUUCAGCUACACAAUCAUUCAUUUGUUCGAUCACGGAAGAGUUAUCUGAAGAAAAUGACACUUGAACUGAACUGAAAGAUGCAGGCCAGAAAGGUGCAUGACACUACUGGACUCUGAGAUGAACAUAACAUAUACUCCUACUGGACUCGGCUUCAGUGCCUUUGAAGAGCCAAGGCACAGAGCGCCUUAGCCUACAAUAUCUGCCACUCAAUUCUACAUCAUAUGCACGGGAUUGACUGAAACCAAAAUACACCCAGACUUGGUAGUUUUCAGGAGAGACAGAGGCGGGGCGAGGUGUUUUUGCACGCGGGUGGGAUCGAGUUCUCCUGAGCCGCUCGACGGAGGUGAGGGUUUGACAAGCGAGCUCACCGAGGAGAGAGACGGAGUCAAGCCGUGUCAUGCCGCCGUGAGAGAGAGAGCCGCUCCCCCACAGAGGAGAGGGAGCAGGGCCUCGCACCGCAUCCACUAGAGAGCGAGCAGGUGCCACGGCGAGGGGUGAAGGUCGUGCCGUCACAGAGGCGAGGGAUGAUGGUCGUGCCGCACCGGUGGAUGGCAGUCCGCCCAAACUUCCCCUCGAUUUCGCUAUGAAUCUGCAGCCACUGCCAGCCAGAGGNNNNNNNNNNNNNNNNNNNNNNNNNNNNNNNNNNNNNNNNNNNNNNNNNNNNNNNNNNNNNNNNNNNNNNNNNNNNNNNNNNNNNNNNNNNNNNNNNNNNGGAUCAACACACAUUUUUCUUAGGAGGAUACAAAAACCCGAGAGCUGUGAAGAAACGAUAUAAAUUUUGUUCAACUUGCAGAAUCAAUGGAGUUAUCCAAACUUCAUUCAUGGACAAGAGAAAUGUUGCAAUGCUUGUGAGGAUGCCAAAGUGUUAGAAUACGAGAUUCGUUAAACCUUAUACAAGGUAAUGAUUUGAGCGCGACAUGGCUUGGCCACCAUGACGACUUACCCUUAUCAUUCUCUUACUAUUCAAAAUGGUAAAUCUGAGUGACUUACCCAUAGUAAAGAGACAACAAUCUUUGAAGCUUUUGUUUAAGCCUUAGAAUGGUAUGAUGAUGAACCCCUCUACAUGGCAGUAGUUGCCAAAUGUAGGAAUUUUACAGUGAGAAUGAAGCCAAGACCCAUUUCACUACUGGAUAACAAAAAAUGGUAAACUACCAUGAGAUCAUUGAUAAGUUAUUUAGAAUUCUCACAAGACUUGUCAGCUAAGAAGACCCAGUGUCGGCAGAAUUGUAUAGUGAAGAAAGAACAGAAGGUUUUGAGAGAAACAUUAUGACUAUAAUGGAGGAGCAUCAACAAAUGAGUUAUUGUGAGGAAUGUAAAGAGACAUAUAUUGUCGAGACCCUAGCGAAAUGACAUGACUUUGAGGGACCAGUAACUCUCAUUUUAAGUGUGGUAGCACCCACACUUUUCAAGACAACGGAUUUGCUAGAAGACCCCCAAACCCUAACCUUUUAUCUAUAGUCCCUUCGAAUCUCGAGGACAAGAUUCAUUUUAAGUGUGGUAGGUUCCUAACAUCCCAAACUCUGGAAUGUUAUAUUAUUAACAUUUAAUGACUAAUUGUUUGAAUGAUUGUUUGAAAUUGAGUGAAAAUUGAAACUUUUUGAAACUUUUAAAUGAGAGGGAAUAACAUAACUGUCCCCCUUUAUUCUUGAAUUCAAAUUCAUGCUUUUCAAAUCAUUGAGAUAAGAUGACAUGACUUCUUCAAAAUAAAGGAUUUGAAAUUUUGGAUUUGAAAACUACUGAAAUUUCCAUUUCGAAUUUAUUUCAUAAUGAGUUCCAUUUCUAUUUUAAAGUUUGAAUGAAUUCGAAUUUCCUUGCCCAAAUUCAGAAAAAAAUCUUGAGAGGAGAAAUAUGACACUCCAAACCACGGGAAAGUUUGAAUUAUAUUUAAUUUUAAAAUGCCGAGAAAACUAUUUGGAAAAUAUUUCAUAUUAGGUUUCCAAGCCAUUCUUGAAGUGAUUUUCAAAAUUAUUUUCCUCCAAAAAUAAAAAUACUUGGAAAAUAGGUUUAAAAGAUUCCCUUCAAUAUAAAAAUGGAAAAAAAUGGAUUUGAAAUCAUUUUGGUAUUUUUGAAAAUAUUGUAUUGCAUUUUAAACUCAAUAGUAGCGCUGGUUGAAUUAGUUGAAUCAGUCAGAAUUUUAUUUGACCUUGACAAUAUGUUCAUGUUGUAGGAAAUCAUUUUUCGGUCAUUUUGGUAUACUAUAUGCCUAUAUAUGGUUUCCAUUUAUUUUCAUUUAUUUAUUUUUGGUCUCUAUUUUAAAAUAAAAAGGAAAGGGUUUUAUUUUAAAACAAAAUGGCAAAGCCCGACAAAGCUCCCCAGGCCUAGGCCGCCGACAGCCCACCUUUCGCUCGCGCUCGAAAUGGCAAGAGAUCGGCCAUCGAUCCCCUCGCAGAUCUUCUUCCUAUCACUAACGCGCGGGCCCAGCCGACCGACCCCGAGAUCCCUGCGGUCACCUUCCUCUCACGUUCCCCUUUCCUUCCCAAUGCCGGCGCCAUCGCGAUCCGCUGAUCCCCUGACAUUUAGACCUCGUCCCGCCUUCAGCAAGCCUCCCUAUAAAUACCCGGCCUUCCGCACUCAUUGCUCGCUCGAAGCCCUCUCACUCACUCCCUUGGGCCAACUCAAUCCCUCGCCGGAGUUAGCCACGUCCGCCCCGCCAUUGCCACGCCACCAAUCCCCUAGCCCUCCCCAACAAACGUAGACACCUACAUUUGCUCUGCCACUCUCGUCUCCACCUCCACGUGCCCUCGCGCGAGCUCUAGAAUGACCGGAGCUAGCCCCCCCUCCCCCCCCCGGUCGACCAUAGAAUGACGUCAUUGCUCUCACGCUCGCCGCCGUCACUCCCGUACACCCCAAGCUCCACCUGGACCACCAGAAGAACCGCCUCGCUCGUCUGCGUCGCUUGGACUCGUCCCCGACGUCGUAAGAUCAUGGGCGUGUCGCCCCGCAUCGCCUCACCGCCUCGGACAUCGCCAAAGAUCUCCACCACCGCGGUAAGUCAUCGACACUGUCCUCGCCCGUCCGAUCUAGCAUCUACGGUGUACAUUAGAUCAAGCGUACCCGUUGGGUUUAUUUAAAGAACCGGCCGGUUUUUCUCUGUUUCUUUAAACCGAAGCAUUUUCCUCGAGCGUGAGGUCGUCCGCUAGUUUACACCACGCGCGCACACUAGUAGGCCUAUGAAAGCGCGCCACAUAGCCCUUGUGUGUUCGUUAGGAUUUUUCUUUUUCUAUUUAAGUUUCUUUUACACAAUUAGUACUCUUUUAAAUUUUUUUAUAUAUUUUAUGUUUUUAAGUGUUUUUGAGUGAUUCCAUUUGCAUUAGUUCACAAAUUUCUUUUAGUUUCUAUUAUUACAAUUAGAUUUGAAAUUUUAUAGUUUUAAUUUUGAAUCCAAACAAAUUUUCUUCAAAUGUUGUUUUUUGGAUAACUUAAGUUUAAAAAUAGGUUUUUAGUUGAUUCUUUUUGCUACUCGUCACUUGUGACUUUAGUUAUAUAUAUGUUUAAUUUGAGGAUUUUAAUUUAUUUUAAAUUAAAUUUUUAAGCAAAACAGUACUGUUUUACUUCAUUUUAGGUUUAUUGNNNNNNNNNNNNNNNNNNNNNNNNNNNNNNNNNNNNNNNNNNNNNNCAUUUUAGGUUUAUUGCUAUUUCUUUUGUUUUAAAUUUUUUUAAUUUGUUUCCUCUUCUGUUUGUGACAAGUUUUGUUUUGUUUUAGAUAGUUAAUAGUAGCUUUUCAAGAUUUUUUUAUUUUAGUUUGUGUUAUCUUAAGCUUGAUUUGCAUAGAAUCAACUCUAGUUUAAUAAAUAACUUCAAAUUGAUUUCAAUGCUAAUAAGAUUGUUUUGAAAAAUACUUUAUAUAAAUUGAUUUAUAAGUUUUAUUUUGUGUUAACUUUAGUUUAGAUGAGAAACAAUUUAUAUUAAAGUUGAUUUUUUUUGUUUAAUUCAAGUUUAACAUUGUUUAGGUCAUAGGAAGAGUUUAAUAAAAUCUUUUCAAUUAAAUUUUUGUUAAUAAAGUUUUAUGAGAAAUAUUUUUUGUUAAUUCAAUUGUUUUAUAUUCUGUAUUUUAGUGUUUAUAUUGCUGUUAAGUUUGUUAGGACAAAAGCUUAUGUUGUUUGGUGUGAUGUUCUUUAUAGUUCUUAGAUGUUCUUUAAAAGUAAUUCUUUUUGCUAGUAAAAGAUGUACUAAAAUACUUUUGUUAGAUUUUUAUCUUGUUGUUGGUUUGUUGCUGUUGAAAAUAGGUUAUUUUGUCGAAAAAACAACUCUUAGUUGCUUUGAUAAAGUUUUGUUGUUUCAACUUUUGUCUUAAGUAUUUCCUUCAUCACAACACUAUUAUAUUUAGUAUUUAUGUUUCUUUUUGAUUAAUAAUAUUGCUUGCUAGAAGUGUUUGCUUAUAUUGACUACAAUGUAUGAUUAUACAGAUUUUCGUCGUAGAGUGACGAAUAGUUCUAUCAGGUUAAUUUUUUGAGAGCGAUAUUACCUUCAUCAACCUUAACACACAAGUUCACUUUGACCAUGUAUUUCAUACCUAUCUUUUAUUGCAUUUAGUGAAAUCAACCAACAAAUUCCUCCAGUGGUGAUACUGAAACUUGGAGUUUGAGUAGAAUCAUGAGGUAGGAACCCUUACCCAUGUCACCAAGCCCCGGGAAUCGUGGUUAAGUUACUCGCAGCUAUGCUUUAGUAGACUGGGAUUGGUAUGAGUGUUUCAUGUGAGAUGUGAGUGUGAUAACAAUAUAUGGAUCAACCUUAAGGCUACAAGACUUGAAGAUUUCAAUACACCUCUGGGUGGAUUGCCUGCAAGAAGAGGGGAUCCUAGGGAUUGACUAGUGAACACCCAGUUCAAGAAGGGAUCCUAGGGAUUGACUAGUGAUCACCCAGCUAUACAGACUCAAGCGGGGAUCCUAGGGAGUGACUAAUGAUCACCCAAUGCUUCGGACUCAAGAGGGGAAUCUCGGGAUUGACGAGUGACCACCCAGUUUUACUAGGGGGUCGUGGGGAUUGACCAGUGACCACCUUGUUUUAUGAGGGGGCCGGGGGGAUUGACCAGGGAUCACCCACAUUUACGGAAGGCCACCCACUCCCAAAAAGGUUGAUGCACUACUGGAAUCCAGAAAUUUGUCGUCUGCCAUGCCUUUGUCGUCUGCUGACACAUGGCAAAGAUCUUAUUUGCCGUCAGCUGGCACAAAGCACACAGCAAACAGAUUCCUGAUGGCAAAAGCACAAAGGAACCAAAGGCAGACGACAAAGGGGAGGCAGACGGCAAAGGGGACGCCACACUAACGGCGCCUAGUCCCCGACCCCUCCCCUAAUGGCUCGCCCGCCCUGCCCGCCCCCUCUCUCUCUCUCGCCCUGCCCUCUCUCUCGCCCUUNNNNNNNNNNNNNNNNNNNNNNNNNNNNNNNNNNNNNNNNNNNNNNNNNNNNNNNNNNNNNNNNNNNNNNNNNNNNNNNNNNNNNNNNNNNNNNNNNNNNNNNNNNNNNNNNNNNNNNNNNNNNNNNNNNNNNNNNNNNNNNNNNNNNNNNNNNNNNNNNNNNNNNNNNNNNNNNNNNNNNNNNNNNNNNNNNNNNNNNNNNNNNNNNNNNNNNNNNNNNNNNNNNNNNNNNNNNNNNNNNNNNNNNNNNNNNNNNNNNNNNNNNNNNNNNNNNNNNNNNNNNNNNNNNNNNNNNNNNNNNNNNNNNNNNNNNNNNNNNNNNNNNNNNNNNNNNNNNNNNNNNNNNNNNNNNNNNNNNNNNNNNNNNNNNNNNNNNNNNNNNNNNNNNNNNNNNNNNNNNNNNNNNNNNNNNNNNNNNNNNNNNNNNNNNNNNNNNNNNNNNNNNNNNNNNNNNNNNNNNNNNNNNNNNNNNNNNNNNNNNNNNNNNNNNNNNNNNNNNNNNNNNNNNNNNNNNNNNNNNNNNNNNNNNNNNNNNNNNNNNNNNNNNNNNNNNNNNNNNNNNNNNNNNNNNNNNNNNNNNNNNNNNNNNNNNNNNNNNNNNNNNNNNNNNNNNNNNNNNNNNNNNNNNNNNNNNNNNNNNNNNNNNNNNNNNNNNNNNNNNNNNNNNNNNNNNNNNNNNNNNNNNNNNNNNNNNNNNNNNNNNNNNNNNNNNNNNNNNNNNNNNNNNNNNNNNNNNNNNNNNNNNNNNNNNNNNNNNNNNNNNNNNNNNNNNNNNNNNNNNNNNNNNNNNNNNNNNNNNNNNNNNNNNNNNNNNNNNNNNNNNNNNNNNNNNNNNNNNNNNNNNNNNNNNNNNNNNNNNNNNNNNNNNNNNNNNNNNNNNNNNNNNNNNNNNNNNNNNNNNNNNNNNNNNNNNNNNNNNNNNNNNNNNNNNNNNNNNNNNNNNNNNNNNNNNNNNNNNNNNNNNNNNNNNNNNNNNNNNNNNNNNNNNNNNNNNNNNNNNNNNNNNNNNNNNNNNNNNNNNNNNNNNNNNNNNNNNNNNNNNNNNNNNNNNNNNNNNNNNNNNNNNNNNNNNNNNNNNNNNNNNNNNNNNNNNCCCCUACCCCCGACCCCGACACCUCUUCGGCCUCUUGUUGACCGAAAAGACCCCCGACCCCGACACCUCUUCGGCCUCUUGUUGACGGAAAAUACCCCCGACCCCCGAUGCCACUCACCCUCAACCCCCGACCACCGAUGCCACUAACCCCCGACGCCACCGUCACCCAACACCACAGACCCUCGAUGGCACAGACUCCCGACGCCACUAAGCCCCGACCCCCGACACCUCCUCUGCCUCCUCUUGAACGAGAAGGUGCUUUUCGGCCUUCUAGAGGCCGACGAGGUCAUAGUUUUGUAAAUUAUGAGUUAGGUCACAUAUUUUCUGAUUAUGUUAUAAAAACAUCAUAUUUGUGUUGAUCGGGUGAACUUCAAUGUGCAGUUAUUUGAUGACCUCCAUGUGCGUUGGACGAGCUUCGCCCCUGCGUUUGUUGGUGAGCACAAAUGGCUUCUCCUCCCACCCCCUUAAUUUGCUCUGUUCCGGUCUUCGUGUCGAUGAAACUUGCUAGCUAUAGGUUUCUUCAAUCAUGAGUAUGCGUGACCAGUAUGCGUCUCCCGUUCGAAAGGGCGGCAUCUAUAAAUAUGCAUGUCUUUGCAUAUUUAUAACCGCCAUCCUUUCGAAUUGUCCAACGUUAUCCAUGGACACCCCGAGUAUGUGUAGAUUGGUUUCGUUUUCCCGUAUGCUCUGCUCCAGAUCCAAUGGGGAAUUGCAUCAGUGCCUCCUUGUUGUUCUCCGGGUACACAUCCUCUCUGCUUAUUGCCGAGACGUGUAUCAGGAGAACAGCAGGGAGGUGCUGUCAAAAUUCUGCGUCAGAUCUAGAGCAGAGCAUGGGAAAACGAACCCAAUCUACACAUACUCGGGUGGGAUUAGGACCUAUAUUUACCUAUUAGCGUGUAGAUUGCAUGGACGUAAUAAAACUCACAAACUUGAUUAGCGGAUGAAUAUAGAUGAUGAAUUAUAUAUAUAUUUCUUGUGUGCCCAUAGGUAGCUAGGCAAGAUAAGUGAUCGUGCUUGGAUGUACACUGGUCACCCUAGUCAAAAUGACAUGACCAAUGAAUGGUUAACAAAAUCCAGGGGGUUUGUGAGAGCCGCAUUUGCAAAUGGCCAGCAAAAAAGAUGGUGCCCUUGUCCCAACUGCGACAACAGGAAAAAGCAGACAUAGUUUGAAAUGGGUAAACACCUGCAGAAGUGGGGUUUUACACCUAAUUAUACGGUGUGGACUUUUCAUGGUGAGUCUGACCAACGUGCCAGAGCUGAGGUGAUUCGUCGUCGCACCGACGAGCAUGGUACCGGGAUCGUAGACAUGGUGCAAGACUUUGAUGAUGCUCGGGAUUCAGACGAUGAGAUGGAGGAAUCUGCAAAGGCCUUCUAUGAAAUGUUGGAGUCCUCAAAAUGUCCUCUCCAUGAGCACACUGAGCUUUGUCAGCUGGAUGCCAUCGCGCAAGUAAUGGCUCUGAAGGCUCAAUUCAACCUAGGCAGAGAAUGCUACGACACGAUGAUGCCGAUAUUUGCACGCUUUCUACCCAAAGGCCAUGUACUGCCUGCAAACCUAUACCAGUCAGAGAAAAUCCUCCGUGUACUUAAGAUGCCCUAUGAGAAGAUACAUGCCUGUGAGAAUGGAUGUGCCUUUUUUAGGCUUGAGUAUGCGGCCUUCAACUAUUGCCCCAUUUGCAAUUCUUUCACGUAUAUUGUGGUAGACAACGGUAUGGAUGAGAAGAUUCAGAGCAAAAUCCCCAUUAAUGUUCUUUGGUAUCUGCCAAUCGUACCAAGACAUCAACGUCUUUUAUGGUCGAAGAUACGGCCAGACAAAUGACGGCAAAAGAACCGAACUAGAUGCGGAUGGGAACAAGCUGUUGGUACACACUUCAGAUGCUUUUGCGUGGAAGCACUUCGAUGCAUUACAUAAGGAUAAAUCGAAAGAUCCAAGGCAUCCUCUGAUGCAUUACAUAAGGAUAAAACGGAAGAUCCAAGGCAUCCUCGAGUUGCCAUCAGCAUAGAUGGGUUCAAUGUGUAUGGUAUGACGGGAGCACAGUACAGUAGUUGGCCUGUAUUUGUCAUUCCACUCAAUCUCCCACCCGGAGAGAUUAUGAAAAGAAAGAACAUUUUCCUGACAUUUAUAAUUCCAGGGCCCAACUAUCCGGGGAAGAAUAUGAAUGUGUACAUGCAGCCGCUUAAGGAUGACUUGCAAGAAGCUUGGGAUAAUGGGAUCAAGACAUACGACGCCGCUACCAUUUUUUUUCAAAAUGCGUGUGUGGUACAUGUACUCGACGCAUGAUUAUCCGGCGUUUGCGCUAUUCGCUGGCUGGUGUUUGCAUGGAAGGUUCCCGUGCACCACAUGCAAGGCAACUCUUCAGUUCCGUUGGCUGCAGGCGGGUCGCAAGUUUUCUUGCUUCGACAUGCAUAGAUAGUUCCUGGAUCCUGACCAUAAGUUCAGAAAAGACAAGAAGAAUUUCAUCAAAGGUAGAGUUGUCAAAAACAUUGUGUUAGAGCAUAUAUCUCCAUUUGUGGUUUUAGUAAUUGAUGACAAUUCCUAUGGACUAAUGGUUGCCUUAAGUUAUAUUUAUAGGAUUUGUCCAUAGGCACUUCUUGAAGUCCAUAUAUUGGGUUCAAGGAGUUUAUAUGAUGACCAAGAUGGUAUUCAAGGUAUUAUCCAAAGAAUGGUCAUAGAGACACAAGGUUGAUCAAGAUCUCAGACAAAGAGUAAAUCAAGAUGAUCAACACACAAAGCGUACAAGAUGUACCGAGAGGGAUCAAGUGAUCCCAUGGUAUGGUAAGCAUUGUCCAUUACGUGUUUGUGUACUAACCCGUAGUCUUUGUGAGAGUUCUAUGUGGGGGUUAGGUGUGCUUCCAUGGGCUUGCGUCAAAAGGAAGAUCUCAUACAACCCAUGAAGGAUGACGUCAAGUGGUGAUCGUCAUCAAGAUUGCGGUGUGCAAGUUCAAGUGGAUCAGCACGAAUAUAUCAUGCUUGAUGCUUGCCGUCCAUUGUGGUGGCAAUGGACUUGUGAAGAUAUGCUGAAGAGCGGCUCACCCAUAGUGUGUAUGGGGGAGAAAUCAACUAGUCUUCUUCAAGCCAACGCAAUCAAAAAAGGUGGUCCAUCUUGAGGAAGCCAAGAUCAUCGUCAUCUAGCUCAAUAGGACGAGGUGUAAGGUAUAGGUUUGCCCUUGAUAGGUUUUCUGUUUUAGGAUAGAUUGUCGUACUGUCAGGGGGGCUCUCAAGUGAUUAGCUUGAUAGUAUUGUUCGUUGAGAGCUCAAACCAUUUGCAUCCUUGCAUCAUACUUCUUGGUUCUUGUUUGUUGUUUCUAUUUGUGAGUUUUAGAGCUUAUGUUCAUUUUCAUGACAAGCUCGAGUUCAUCGAAAACAGAGUCCAUAUGCAUCUUCUAUGAUGUUUUCGAUGUUGGGAGUUUUUACCGGUAUUAUUCGAAUAAGGGUUCUCACCAUUUUCUUAUGGGACUUUUCUCACUUGAUUAUUAUUGAUAUUUCUAUCAAUAUUUUGUUAGCCCAUGUCGUUAGCUUUCCAACAAACUUGGUUUCGUUGAAUUCAGAGUCCGUAUGCGAAAGUUACAGCAGUUUCAGUAUCCAGCGGUAGUACCGCUCCUAGUGCGAGCGGUAGUACCGCUCCUGUAGCGGUAGUACCACCCCCACAGAGGUAGUACCGCCCCCGGAGCGGUAGUAAUUUUUUACUACCGCUCCCUAGCGGUAGUACCGCUCCUGUAGCGGUAGUACCACCCCCACAGAGGUAGUACCGCCCCCGGAGCGGUAGUAAUUUUUUACUACCGCUCCCUAGCGGUAGUACCGCUCCGUCGGGCUGUUUUUGCAUACUUUUUGGCCUCAACAUGGUUGGUGAACCUACCGAUCGGUAGUACCGCUCCAUGAGCGGUAGUACCGCUCUGUGCGGGCUGUGAGGCUUAACGGUUGGAUUUUUCCCCACCUAUAAAAGGGGGUCUUCUUCCCCAUUGAACCUUAUCUCUUUAGCUCGUGUUCUUUCCCCAUUGUUGACCUUCUUCGAGCUUGCUAACUCUCAAUCCUUCCAAUGAAUCUUGCUAGUUCUUGAGGGAAAAGAGAGAGGAGAUCUAGAUCCACAUUUCCACCAAUCACUUUCUCCUCUAAGUGAGGGGAACCCAUUGGGUCUAGAUCUUGGAGUUCUUCGUGUUCUUCUUCAUUCUUCCUCUCAUUUUCCUCCCUAGCAUUAGUUGCUUUGGUGGGAUUUGGGAGAGAAGGAUUUGGGCACUUCGUGUGCCCUUGCCAUUGCAUUUGGUGCAUCGGUUUGAAUUCUCCACGGUGAUACGUGGAAGUGAGAAGUUGAGAAGCUUAUUACCUUUGGGUACUUGAUACCCCUAGAAGCUUGGUGGUGCCUCAGAGCUCAAUCAUUGUGGUGUAAAGCUCCGGGCAAGUGUCAGGGUCUCCAAUUAAGUUGUGGAGAUUGCUCCGAGCAUUUGUGGUCACCUCGAAGCCAUAUGCCAUUGUGGUGAAGCUUUGUGGUGUUGUUGGGAGCCUCCAAUUAAGUUGUGGAGAUUGCCCCAACCUUGUUUGUACGGGUUCGGUGACCGCCCUCAAGGGUCCCUUAGUGGAAUCACGACAUCUUGCAUUGUGCAAGGGCGUGAGGAGAUUACGGUGGACUUAGUGGCAUCUUGGGGAGCAUUGUGCCUCUACACCGCUCCAACAGAGAUUAGCAUCCGCAAGGGUGUGAACUUCGGGAUACAUCAUCAUCUCCGCGUGCCUCGGUUAUCUCUUACCCGAACCCUUUACUUAUGCACUUUACUUUGUGAUAGCCAUAUUGUUUCUUGUCAUAUAUCUUGCUAUCAUUUAGUUGUGUAUCUUGCUUAGCAUAAGUUAUUGGUGCACAUAGUUGAGCCUAGUUGUUUUAGGUUUUGUGCUUGACAAAUUAAACAUUAGUUUAAUUCCGCAUUUGUUCAAGCCUAAACCGUAAUUAUUUCAAAGCACCUAUUCACCCCCCCCUCUAGGCGACAUCCACGUCCUUUCAAUUGGUAUCAGAGCUAGGUCUCUCUUUAUUCGGUUUAACCACCUAGAGAGUAAGGAUGUCGACUAGGGGUUUAGGAUUCACUCACACUCUUAGUUUCGAUUGCACAAAUUUUGAUGUUUGGGUAAUUCGCAUGCUUAAUCACUUUCGGGUCUUGGACCCAAAUUUAGAGCGAAUUGUAGAUAUGAGUUUUUCUCCUCCAAAGGAUUCUCAAAAUAUAUCUUUAGAGGAUGAGAAAAACUCUUAUCUCAAUGCUCAAGCUUCUAAUGUGCUUUUUGAUGCUUUGAGCAAUGUAGUUAUAUUUCAACUCAUGCCAUUCCGGGAUGCUCAUGAGUUGUGGACAAAGCUUCAAGAUAAAUAUGGUGUGUCCAAGAUUUGUGGCAAUGAUUGUUCUCCCUCCACCUCCAGUCGUGUGGUAUUCUCAACUUCAUCUACUUCACCUACAUGUGGAUUGCCACAAGGUAAUGAUAUGGUGAGUAGUGGUGAUCAUUGCAACGAUGAUAGUGGGUUUAUUGUUGAUGAUCCUUCAUCACUAUAUUAUUGCAAUGCUUCAUCUUUGGGCAUUAACACUUCGAGCACUCUAAAUGUUUUACAUGCUUGUGUUGAUAGUCCUUGCAUAUCAUGUAAAACUGCUUGACUAAAUCUCAUGAUGAUAUGCUUCCUAUAUCUUGUUGCCAUGAUAAAAAUGUAUAUAUUUCCUCGAGUUGUUGUGCUAACAAUGUAGAGGAAAAUCAUAACUCCAUGGAACAAGAUGUGGCUUGAAUGAUGCUUCAAGGGAUCCUACAUCAUCAUCUAUUGCUACUCACUUUUGCCUUAUGGCUAAGGCUUCAAAGGUAUCUCCUACUUUGAAUCCCAAUGUAUCUCAUGAUGAUGGUGUUCAUGAUAAUGAGGUUGAGAAUAAUGAUGAAGAGAGUGAUAUUGCUGCAUCCUUAAAAAUUAAGGGUGAAAUGAUUUUUAAAUCUCUUUAUAAGAAUAAACUUGCUUGUUCCAACUUCUUGGAAAUCAUGUCUAUUGCCACUGAGGGCAAGAAAUACAUUGAGGAAUUGGAAGCUCAUCUUGAGGAGCAUGAGGCCACCAUUGAGACAAUGGAAGGUCAUGGGCGUGAUUACGCUAAUGAGAUGGCAGAGCUAUCUCAAGCUCUUGAAAAUGAACAAACCACCAAGGAAUCUCUUGAGGAAACCUUUGCUCUAGAAUUAUCUAGAUUAAAGGGAUCCCAUGAUAGAGCUCUCGAGGUGGCUAAUGAUUUUAGAACUAAAAAUGAUAAGCUUGGAGUUGCACAUGCUAAACUCCUUGAGAACUAUGAGCACCUCGAAAAUGGCUCAAUGGAUAUUAAAAGUUCGCUCAUCGAACUCACCGAGUCUCAUGCUCAACUUGAAGCUUCAUAUGCUAAAGAGCUUGCCAAGGUGCCUUCUCCUCUUAUUGCUAAUGAUGAUGCUUGUGCUACUAACUCUACUUCUUGUGAAGCAUCCAUUUUAAAGGAGAAUGUUGAGCUAAGGGCUCAACUUGAGUUGCUAUCUAGCAAUUAUGGGAAAUUGGAAGAAAGUCAUGUAAUGCUCACAAGCUCUCAUGAUGAUCUUCUAGCAUCCCAUAAUGCGCUAAAAUUAGCUCAUGAGGCUAUUACUACCAAGGUAACAUCAAGUGAGCCUCAUGUGAACAAUGGCACUACUUCUAGUCAAAAUGCUAUAUUGCCAUGUGCUAGUCCUCGUAAUUCUUCUACUCAUAAUGUUGCUACCUUUUGUGAUGAAUUACAUUCCUUGCCUUGUUACUCUAACAAUGAAGCUUAUACUUCCUCUAGUACUUGUGUUGAUACUAACCAUGUAGAGGAAAUCGAAGAGCUCAAGGCCCAAGUCACUUCUUUGAAGAAAGACUUGGAAAAGAGUCAUGAAGGGAUGUCCACACUCAACAAUGUCUUGUGUGGGCAAAAAUCCAUGAAUGACAAAAAUGGGCUUGGAUUCAACUCCAAAAAGAAGAAGAAGUCCAAAAACUUAAAGAAGAAGGGCCAAGAACAAGUCAAGAAUUCGGCCAAGAUUAUUUGCUUCAAGUGCAAAGUUGAAGGGCACCAUGUUAUAUCUUGUCCACUAAAGAAGAAGCCCCAAAGUCACAAGCAACAAGGGAACCGGCCACAAGUUCAAUCACAUACUCAACUACAAGUUGAAGAAAGGCCCCUUCCCAAGAAUACCCAAGCCAACACUCCUCAUGUUGAGAAAUCAAUAGGGAAGAAAUUAAAGGGUAGAUGUUGCUACUUAUGUCGUGAGAAGGGUCACUUCGCUUCUUCUUGCACGAGAGGUAAUUUAUCCAACCCAAUCAUUAUUGAUGAUAUCUAUUCUCUUAGGAAGGAUAAGGUUGGCAAUGUGUUUGCCAAGUUUGUUGUUACUCAAAGUGGUGUCAAGAAAAGUACCAUUUGGGUUGCCAAGCCUAUUGUGACUAACCUCUUAGGACCCAACGUGGUUGGGGACCAACAAGCUCAAACUUGAUCAAUAGGUGAAUGUGGAGGACAUUAGAGACUUGGAUACAUAAUGAAUAAUUAAGGGGUCUUCAUCAUUCAUAUUUUCUCAAGCCAAGUCAUUUGGAUUAUCGAGUUUCUAUCUUAUAUCCAAUGUGCCUCCUUACGGUAACUUGUACUUAAACUGUUUACAUUGUUAGUUGCUUGCCGCUUUGCAUUUUGUGGUUUUGUACCUUGCAUGUGUUUGUAUAUGUUGUUCUUCCAACUUGCUUAUCUUGAGUAAUCGAGUAUGUGUAUGUUGGUUUGCAUAUCAUGUACAUGUGAGUCUUGUAUUGAGCCUUUUUGCAUCUUGUUUGUAUCUUUGUUGGCUCUUGUGGGAGAUUAAUGGAUUAUCCCAUUGUGGGGGAGUGAUGUGCUUUGCACACCUCACAAUCCUAUAAAUGUGUAUACAUGGGGAAUACCACUUAGUAUUGAUAUUUCAAGAUUAUCUAGUUUCUAUGUGGUAUGUCUUACUCAUGAGAAAUUCAAAUUCUAUAUGGUCCAUUAAUUCUCUCUUGUUGGUUUUAAUUUUCCACUUGUUAAUAUUGUUGGUUUAUCACAUUAUGAGGGAGUAAUAUGCUAUGUGCAUAUUAUAAACCUAGAAAAUGUGUACAUUUGAGGUGUUGCCACUUAGUGUUGAUAUUGUAAACUAUCUUGUUCCAAGGCGGCAUGUUAGCUCUACAAGUGUCAUUUGCUUGUGUUUUAUGGGUAAAGAUGAUCUUGGAUAUAUUUGCGAUCUACCAAUGAGUAUCAUUUCCAAAAUACUUCUUGUCCUUGACAAUUGGUAUUCCCAUCAUGUGGUAGGAAUUUCUAAUCGUCUUUACAUUGGAUUUUGUGUUUCGUUUGUCUUCCUUGCCUCUUGUGGAUCUAUUUUAACAUGUCUAGUGUUUUUAUAGAUAUAGAGAAAGUGAUGAUCCCAUCUUGUGCAUUUUGUAUUUAAAUGCAAUUUCUAUAUAAUGCACGUCCCUUGGGGGAGCUAUCCUAUUUUCCUUAGAACACUCUCUUUAUUCACCCAUCAUAAAAUCUUUUGAUCCCCAUCAAUUGUAUGUUGAUGGGAGGCAAGUCUUGCUCUUUAUGAUGCUUUGUGCCAUCAUGAAAAUUUGUUAAGGGUUUGGUUUGUUUGAACCUAGCUCUCUUUUGGAAAUUAGAUACCUCGUGUUUGUUUUCCUUCAAUUGGUAUCUUGUUUCCUUUUAUUUGGCAUGUGUCAAUGGAUAUCUCAUUCCUUGAGGUAUCUUUUAAUUGAUAUCCUUCAAGUGAUAGUUUUUUUUGUUUGGGAUCUUAUUAUCACUUGAUACCUUGUCUUUUGGUGACUUAUCAACUUUGUGUUGAGUUGAUUCUUGAGAGUCUUGAGCAUGCAUAUCUACUAUAUACAGCUUCUUUUGCUUUCUUUCUUUCUUUGACCCAAUAUAUAGGGGAAACUCCACCUUGUCAUAAAUUGGCUAAAGUGUGCAUGAAAUUCAAAUUCAUAUCUAUAUGCACAUAUGUAUGUGGAGUUUGUCCUAUGUAUUGUUGGUUUUCUAACUCUUUUGUCCCAAUGAGUUUGGGCACCAUUUUGUUUGUUUUGCUGUUCCAGGAACAACUGGAGAUGCAUUGGAUGCUCGGCUCACCUAUAAGGAAGGUGUUGAGACCAUGUGAUUAUUGGAGCCAAGUUAGGAUGAUCAAAGAACAACUAUCUACUACAUCAAUCCAAUGUUGUCUCGGUUACAAGUAUCCACUUCAUGCAUUCUUUUCUUGCAAAGGCCCCAACCUGUCUUUUCUUUUCCAGGUUGCAUCAUGGCAUGAAUCUCAUGAUUCGUUCUUGUAGUACUUGUUUCCUUUAUCAAAGCAUCCGAACGAUGAUGUCUUACUACUAGUUGGGAUGUCUUUGAUGUUCGUAUGUUGGAAGUUCAUAUUGUACAAUAAGAAAAUAUUAGGCCAUGUGAUAUGCUUCCAAGCAAAAGAUCUUAUUGAUAUAUUUAUGACUUCCUUUUGGAUAUCUAGUUUGUUCCUUCUUGUAACCAUUUCAUGUGUACAUCCUUCUUUGUGGAUAUAUAUCAUCAUGAUUGUCUUCUACUUAGAAUCUUUUACACAUGAGAGAAGUUACAUCUCUUAUUGAUAUCCUCUUUUCUUUCACGUCCACCGUUGCAUUUCCUUUUUCAGUUUUUGGUGGCUUCGUGAAAGGAUUUGUCUUGAGUGUGUAUCUUAUUUUCCUACAUCUUGAUGCACUCUUUGGUCGUGAAGAUUAUUUUUCCUCAUGCUUGUCUUGAUGAGGGUUUUGCCAUUUCGAUUGGUAUCCCUCCACUUGACAAGGUUCUUACUUCCUAUCUUCACCAUGGGUUGUCACAAGCGUUGGUUCUUAUUUUGUUUAUUAGUAAGCUUGUGAACCCAUUUUCUAGUAUGUGUGUGUGGGAAUGAUAUGUCUUGCACUUUGUGUCUCAUUUCAUCAAGACUAUGUUGAUGAGUAAUGCUCAUCCUUAUCUUAGUCUUCUCAAGUGCUUUGCCAUGACUCACACACAUUAUUUUGGUUGAGCCUAUUCUUAAGUUGCUUCUUUUACAUGUUGCUCAACCAUUUGUUUUGUGCAAUUGAUAUGCUUAUUUUCUCAUCUAUCUUCUUGCACUCGUUGUGUGUUUUUAUUAAUUUUGGGGGAGCAACGAUCCUAUUUUGUGCACUUGUAUCAAAUACAAAAAUCUCGUAUUAGUGCACAAAUCAUGGGGAGCUUUCCUAGUUUUGAUAAAACACUAUGUUGCCUUUAUCAUAUUAUCUUUUAUUCAUGUGGUUCGAAGGACCAUAUUAUUGUUUGUUCCAUCUGGUAUCUUUUGAUUGCUUGCCUCUAUUUUUGUAUGUCUUUGUGGCAUACGAUCCUUUUAUUUGCAAUCUUUGGGUCCUCAAUAUAGUUUGUUUUCCUCCAACUACUUAUCAUUGUAUUUGUGUAUUUCUUUGCACUCAUUUGUUGAGAAGUACACACUUUUUGGAGGACCACCUACUAUAUUGGCUUUCUAAAUUUUCGUCCAUUUUGGCAAAUGAUGCCAAUGGGGGAGAAGUUUAGAGAGUUUACUUUGGAUAUGUUUAGAGGGUUUUGCUUUUAUUGCGUAAGCAUUUACAUCUUGCACGCAUGCAUUAUUGCUUUGUAUGUGUGAGCUUGGUUAUGCUUAUUUCCUUAUAUAAACUCUCUUGAAGUGGUUGUCAUCAAUUACCAAAAUGGGGGAGAUUGUUAGAGCAUAUAUCUCCAUAUGUGGUUUUAGUAAUUGAUGACAAUUCCUAUGGACUAAUGGUUGCCUUAAGUUAUAUUUAUAGGAUUUUCCAUAGGCACUUCUUGAAGUCCAUCUGUUGGGUUCAAGGAGUUUAUAUGAUGACCAAGAUGCUAUUCAAGGUAUUAUCCAAAGAAUGGUCAUAGAGACACAAGGUUGAUCAAGAUCUCAGACAAAGAGUAAAUCAAGAUGAUCAACACACAAAGCGUACAAGAUGUACCGAGAGGGAUCAAGUGAUCCCAUGGUAUGGUAAGCAUUGUCCAUUACGUGUUUGUGUACUAACCCGUAGUCUUUGUGAGAGUUCUAUGUGGGGGUUAGGUGUGCUUCCAUGGGCUUGCGUCAAAAGGAAGAUCUCAUACAACCCAUGAAGGAUGACGUCAAGUGGUGAUCGUCAUCAAGAUUGCGGUGUGCAAGUUCAAGUGGAUCAGCACGAAUAUAUCAUGCUUGAUGCUUGCCGUCCAUUGUGGUGGCAAUGGACUUGUGAAGAUAUGCUGAAGAGCGGCUCACCCAUAGUGUGUAUGGGGGAGCAAUCAACUAGUCUUCAUCAAUCCAACGCAAUCAAGAAAGGUGGUCCAUCUUGAGGAAGCCAAGAUCAUCGUCUUCUAGCUCAAUAGGACGAGGUGCAAGGUAUAGGUUUGCCCUUGAUAGGUUUUCUGUUUUAGGAUAGAUUGUCGUACUGUCAGGGGGGGCUCUUAAGUGAGUAGCUUGAUCGUAUUGUUCGUUGAGAGCUCAAACCAUUUGCAUCCUUGCAUCAUACUUCUUGGUUCUUGUUUGCUGUUUCUCUUUGUGAGUUUUAGAUCUUAUGUUCAUUUUCAUGACAAGCGCGAGUUCAUCGAAAACGGAGUCCAUAUGCAUCUUUUAUGAUGUUUUCGAUGUUGGGAGUUUUUACCGGUCUUAUUCGAAUAAGGGUUCUCACCAUUUUCUUAUGGGACUUUUCUCACUUUCUUCUUAUUGAUAUUUCUAUACAGAUUGUGUUAGUCCAUGUCAUUAGCUUUCCAACAAACUUGGUUUCGUUGAAUUCGGAGUCCGUAUGCGAAAGUUACAGCAGUUUCAGUAUCCAAUGGUAGUACCGCUCCUGGUGCGAGCGGUAGUACCGCUCCUCUAGCGGUAGUACCGCCCCCGGAGAGGUAGUACCGCCCCCGGAGCGGUAGUAAUUUUUUACUACCGCUCCCUAGCAGUAGUACCGCUCCGUUGGGCUGUUUUUUGCAUACUUUUUGGCCUCAGCAUGGUUGGUGAACCUAUCGAGCGGUAGUACCGCUCUGUGCGGGCUGUGAGGCUUAACGGUUGGGUUUUUUCCCACCUAUAAAAGGGGGUCUUCUUCCCCAUUGAACCUUAUCUCUUUAGCUCGUGUUCUUUCCCCAUUGUUGACCUUCUUCGAGCUUGCUAACUCUCAAUCCUUCCAAUGAAUCUUGCUAGUUCUUGAGGGAAAAGAGAGAGGAGAUCUAGAUCCACAUUUCCACCAAUCACUUUCUCCUCUAAGUGAGGGGAACCCAUUGGGUCUAGAUCUUGGAGUUCUUCGUGUUCUUCUUCAUUCUUCCUCUCAUUUUCCUCCCUAGCAUUAGUUGCUUUGGUGGGAUUUGGGAGAGAAGGAUUUGGGAUGUGGGUGGGAGCUCUGUGGCGUUUCUAAUAUUAUAUGUGGAUGACAUAUUGUUGAUUGGAAACUACGUAGAGUUUUUGGAGAGCAUAAAGGAUUACUUGAAUAAAAGUUUCUCUAUGAAGGACCUAGGAGAAGCUGCUUACAUUCUAGGCAUUAAGAUCUACAUGGAUAGAUCAAAAUGCCUGAUAAGACUUUCACAAAGCACAUACCUUGAUAAAGUUUUGAAGAGGUUCAAAAUGGAACAGUCCAAGAAAGGGUUCUAGCCAGUUUUACAAGGUACGAGAUUGAGUAAGACUCAUUGCCCAGCAAAUGAUGAGGAUAGAGAGCAUAUGCGCUCCGUCCCCUAUGCUUCAGCCAUAGGUUCUAUCAUGUAUGCAAUGUUGUGCACUAGACCGGACGUUAGCCUGGCCAUAAGUAUGGCAGGUAGGUUCCAGAGUAAUCCAGGAGUGGAUCACUGGACGGCGGUCAAGAAUAUCCUGAAGUACCUGAAAAGGACUAAGGAGAUGUUUCUCGUGUAUGGAGGUGACGAAGAGCUCGCCGUAAAAGGUUACGUUGAUGCUAGCUUUGGCACAGAUCCGGACGACUCUAAGUCGCAAACCGGAUACGUAUUUAUUCUUAAUGGGGUGCGGUAAGCUAGUGCAGUUCCAAGCACAGCGUCGUAGCAGAUUCUACAUGUGAAGCGGAGUACAUGGCUGCCUCGGAGGCGGCUAAGGAGGGUGUCUGGAUGAAGCAGUUCAUGACGGAUCUUGGAGUGGUGCAGAGCGCACUGAAUCCAAUAACCUUGUUCUGUUACAACACAGGUGCCAUUGCCCUAGCAAAGGAACCACGCUUUCACAAGAAGUCCAGACACAUCAAACGACGCUUCAACCUCAUCCGCGACUACGUCGAAGGGGAGGACGUAAAUAUAUGCAAAGUGCACACGGAUCUGAAUGUAGCAGACCCGCUGACUAAACCUCUUCCACGGGCAAAGCAUGAUCAACACCAGAACUGUAUGGGUGUUAGAUUUAUUACAAUGUAAUUCGCAUGAUGAUGUGAGGGCUAGAUUAUUGACUCUAGUGCAAGUGGGAGACUGUUAGAAUUAUGCCCUAGAGGCAAUAAUAAAUAUAGUUAUUAUUAUAAUUCCUGUAUCAAGAUAAUCGUUUAUUAUCCAUGCUAUAAUUGUAUUGAAUGAAGACUUAUAUACAUGUGUGGAUACAUAGACAAAACACUGUCCCUAGCAAGCCUCUAGUUGGCUAGCCAGUUGAUCAAAGAUAGUCAGUGUCUUCUGAUUAUGAACAAGGUGUUGUUGCUUGAUAACUGGAUCACGACAUGAGGAGAAUCACGUGAUGGACUAGACUCAAACUAAUAGACGUAGCAUGUUGAUCGUGUCAUUUUAUUGCUACUGUUUUCUGCGUGUCAAGUAUUUGUUCCUAUGACCAUGAGAUCAUAUAACUCACUAACACCGGAGGAAUACUUUGUGUGUAUCAAACGUCGCAACGUAACUGGGUGACUAUAAAGAUGCUCUACAGGUAUCUCCGAAGGUGUUCGUUCAGUUAGUAUGGAUCGAGACUGGGAUUUGUCACUCCGUGUGACGGAGAGGUAUCUCGGGGCCCACUCGGUAAUACAACAUCACACACAAGCCUUGCAAGCAAUGUGACUUAGUGUAAGUUGUGGGAUCUUGUAUUACGGAACGAGUAAAGAGACAUGCCGGUAAACGAGAUUGAAAUAGGUAUGCGGAUACUGACGAUCGAAUCUCGGGCAAGUAACAUACCGACGGACAAAGGGAAUGACAUACGGGAUUAUAUGAAUCUUUGGCACUGAAGUUCAAACGAUAAGAUCUUCAUAGAAUAUGUAGGAUCCAAUAUGGGCAUCCAGGUCCCUCUAUUGGAUAUUGACCGAGGAGUCUCUCGGGUCAUGUCUACAUAGUUCUCGAACCCGCAAGGUCUGCACACUUAAGGUUCGACGUUGUUCUAUGCGUAUUUGAGUUAUAUGGUUGGUUACCGAAUGUUGUUCGGAGUCCCGGAUGAGAACACGGACGUCACGAGGGUUUCCGGAAUGGUCCGGAAACAAAGAUUGAUAUAUAGGAUGACCUCGUUUGAUUACCGGAAGGUUUUCGGAGUUACCGGGAAUGUACCGGGAAUGACGAAUGGGUUCCGGGAGUUCACCGGGGGGGCAACCCACCCCGGGGAAGCCCAUAGGCCUUGGGGGUGGCGCACCAGCCCUUAGUGGACUGGUGGGACAGCCCAAGAAGGCCCUAUGCGCCAUAGGAAGAAAAUCAAAGAGAAAAAAAAGAGGAGGUGGGAAAAGGGGGAAGGACUCCUCCUUCCAAACCUAGUUGGACUCGGUUUGGAAGGGGAGGGUUCCCCCCUUAGGCUCGGCCGACCCCCUUGGGAGUCCUUGGACCCCAAGGCAAGGCUCCCCCUCCUCCCCCUAUAUAUACGGAGGUUUUAGGGCUGAUUUGACACAACUUUGCCACGGCAGCCCGACCACAUAUCUCCACGGUUUUACCUCUAGAUCGCGUUUCUGCAAAGCUCGGGCGGAGCCCUGCCGAGACAAGAUCAUCACCAACCUCCGGAGUGUCGUCACGCUGCCGGAGAACUCUUCUACAUCUCUGUCUCUCUUGCUGGAUCAAGAAGGCCGAGAUCAUCGUCGAGCUGUACGUGUGCUGAACGCGGAGGUGCCGUCCGUUCGGCACUAGAUCAUGGGACUGAUCGCGGGACGAUUCGCGGGGCGGAUCGAGGGACGUGAGGACGUUCCACUACAUCAACCGUGUUCACUAACGCUUCUGUUGUACGGUCUACAAGGGUACGUAGAUCACACAUCCCCUCUCAUAGAUGGACAUCACCAUGAUAGGUCUUCGUGCGCGUAGGAAAAUUUUUGUUUCCCAUGCGACGUUCCCCAACAGUUCGGUGACCGCCCUCAAGGGUCCCUUAGUGGAAUCACGACAUCUUGCAUUGUGCGAGGGCGUGAGGAGAUUAUGGUGGCCUUAGUUGCAUCUUGGGGAGCAUUGUGCCUCUACACCGCUCCAACGGAGAUUAGCAUCCGCAAGGGUGUGAACUUCGGGAUACAUCAUCGUCUCCGUGUGCCUCGGUUAUCUCUUACCCGAACCCUUUACUUAUGCACUUUACUUUGUGAUAGCCAUGUUUCUUGUCAUAUAUCUUGCUAUCACUUAGUUGUUUAUCUUGCUUAGCAUAAGUUAUUGGUGCACAUAGUUGAGCCUAGUUGUUUUAGGUUUUGUGCUUGACAAAUUAAACGUUAAUUUUAUUCCGCAUUUGUUCAAGCCUAAACCGUAAUUAUUUUAAAGCGCCUAUUCACCCCCCCCCUCUAGGCAACAUCCACGUCCUUUCACACUGCACCAGUUGCGUUGACAGGCCAACGCACCCUUGAUCAGUUAAACGCUCUCGAGCCUGAUCCUUUGCGUCCAGGGUAUAUCAAAGGGUAUAAUACGAAACACGCCUGAACUCACAAGUCAUGCUUAUGGGAUCUGCCUUACUUCAAAGACCUCCUUUGCCCACACAACAUAGACGUGAUGCACACUGAAAAGAAUAUUGCGGAGGCCAUUUUUGGUAUAUUGUUCGGCAUAGAGGGGAAGUCAAAGGAUAAUCCUAAGGCUAGAAUCGACCAGGAGGCUCUAUGUGAUAGACCGUUACAAAACUUGCGACAACGGGAAGGAAAGCAAAGCAUAGCGAAGCCAAAGGCAUGGUUCAAUCUUGAAAGGCCAGCUAUGAGGGAAAUGCUAUUGUGGGUGAAAAUGCAGUUGAUGUUCCCCGAUGGGUAUGUUGCGAAUCUAAAGAGGGGAGCGAGUCUUGAGAAACUGAAAAUAUUUGGUCUCAAGAGUCAUGAUUGACACAUAUGGAUUGAGCGGGUAAUGCCGGUGAUGUUGCGUGGAUUUAUCCGUGAGGAUAAAUGGCUAGUACUCGCAGAGCUGAGCUAUUUCUUCCAUUCUCUUUGUGCGAAAGAACUAUCGCCUGGUGUGCUAGAUGAAAUGGAAGAGUUGGUGGCGGAGUUGAUCUGCAAAUUAGAAAAGAUCUUUCCACCGGGCUUCUUGAAUCCAAUGCAGCAUUUGAUUUUGCAUGUCCCGACCGAGGCAAGAUUGGGGGGCCCGUUCAAAAUAGAUGGUGCUUCUCACGUGAGAGGAUGCAGAAGACGCUUCGAGCUAAAUGUAAAAAUAAAUGUAGAAUUGAAGCAUCGAUGGCCGAGGCAUUCAUUACUUAGGAGGCGGCAAACUUCGUGACAACACAGUAUGAAGCCAAAAAUCAUCAUUUGCAUAACCCGAAGCCUCGGUACAAUGAUGGCGAUCCUAAAAAAGGUCGAUCCAACCUCAGCCUAUUCAAAGGGAAGCUCGCACCAUCCGGUGCUUCGAAAGGGAAAUUGUUGGAUGUCGAAGAAUGGCGGACCAUUUCAUUGUAUAUCUUCACCAACCUAACAGAAGUGCGGCUGUACAUCGAGUAAGUUCUCGGUAAAUUAUUGUUCCGCGACUUCUAAUUCCUUUGAACUGCUCUUAUUCCCGGAUAUUUGAUAUAGUCGAUACGUCGCUGAAUUCUCGGAUGGAGCGGUCAUCGAAAAGGAUUCCGUCGAAUAGUAUGAGCUUCUCGCAAAGCAUGGAGGCGACUAUCUCGGUUUCAUCUCUUGGUUCAAACAAAGGGUAAUUAAUUACCAUUAAUGGGCCAUUUGAUUUCUUGGUCUAAUUUGAGGCUAAUGCAUCCAUUCUUUCAUAUUAAACUUGUAGGAUGAUGUAGAGUCUAUGGACGCCAAGUUGAGACAAGUCGCUAACAGUUUUGACUAUAAGGUUCGUUCAUUUGACAAAUACAACAUCAACGAGUAUCACUUUCGUACCUUUGGCUAAGAACUAUCUAUGCCUGACCUAAAGACUACAAAUUGUUUUGUCUUUGCUAUCGGCGAAGGAGGUACCGAUUAUUAUGGAAGAGUUGAAGCAAUUUAUGAACUUCUAUUCUAUGGUGAAAACCCACCAACCGUCGUAGUCUUCAAAUGUUAUUGGUUUGAGCUAAGGGAGACUAGAAGGACUCAUGAACAUAUAGGACUAUUGGAAAUCAACCAAAACACCCACUUAGAUGUUAUCGAUGUCUAUAUUACGGCUCAACAGGUGACACAAGUUUUAUAUCUACCGUGGGCCUGCCAAACUGAUCCAAAUAUGAAAGGUUGGGAUGUCGUUUAUGAAGUGUCGCCAUGUUUUAGACCACCUACCCUCAAUGAAGAGGAUUACGAACCUCACAUUAACCCAGACACAUAUGAAGGAUAAUUCUUCCAAGAAACACGUAUGUCCAAGAAAUGUUUCAAGAACUGCUCUACUUCACCCCAGAACAUUGAAGUAGACAGCGAUAGUGAAUCCGUCUUAACCCCUGAGCCCGAACAGGAAGAGUCGGAAGAAGAAGAGGUUACUACUGCGGAUGACCUGUCACUUCUUGACCGAUUACAUAAUGGUGGCCUUCCACAUGUUCUUCCUGAUAGUGAUGAUGAUGUAGCAUUUAUUGAUGAUAGUGAUGAUCAAGAUGCAUUUAUUGACCCCGAAGCAUAUAUAGACGAGCACGAUUGUUAUUAGUUCAUGUCAGGUAUUCAACUAUUACUAUAUAUACAUAUAUAAAUUUUUAGUUCAUGUUAGGUAUUCAUUUUUUAUUAGUCAUGUUGGUAUUUAUGAUGAUGAUACACUUAAAUUAUAUACAUUUUAUUACUCAUGUUGGCAUUUAUGUUGUACUAAUUAAUUUCAUUUACUCUUUGUCAUGGCAGGUGUUGAAAGAUGGUGGAAAAGGGUCGAAAGCAUUCAACGGAUCCUUCUUCGUCGGCGGGUGGUGGGAUGGAUACUUCCAUUCCUGCCUCGCCUCUCCGGAGAGUGUUGCUCUCUACUCUGCAUGGAGUGGUCGCUUCUUCGACUCCUGCAGCCCCCGUGAGAGGAGGUCGACCCCCCAUGAAGUCGAGAGGUACUAAAGGUACACAUGGCCGCAGGAGAGGUAGGGUGGCUGCCACGCCUUCCUCGCCGCCACCCCUAGCUGAUUCACCUGAGCACAGGACUACUAGGGUGGACCCGUCUGAGGUGGAGGCUACACGGUCUCCGGUUCACAAUCCUCAGGUCGAGGAGCCUUCGACCCACGAGACUCGUGUCCCAGAGGCUUCGUUCCAGGAGACUUCGGAGCAAAGCAGGGAUGAGAGUACGUCCCAAGAGUGGGAUACAUGGACUGAUCUAGGGCAGUCGGAGCCAACUGGCCAUGCUGAUAGCGACGAGGAGCUGGGUGAGGGGGCCACCCUGUACCAGCGUGGUAGUUCGGGGCUCCCGCUCGUGCCAGCAACCCGCGAGCAGAGGUGGUCGAUUAAGCCAAAUGGGGACAAGUUAAUUUACUCUUAUUUAACCUUUUGCCUUGACGUUUUCUCAAAUAUCUAAUGUUCUGGCUUUAAUUUUUCAUACUGCAGGUGUUGGAUUGUUGCCAAGGGUCUCCGCAAGCCCAACAACGUCCUUGUUGUGAUUUGCUAGCAAAACUUCCCGAGGUUUGUUACGUUGCCCGGUCGGGAGCGAGAGGUAGAAAUGACCUGGGAGCACUACUUGGGUGCCCCGACCCCCGGUAGGUGUGCCACACCAUUAAGGGAGCGUCAACUUAAUCCAAUUUGGCGAGAACUGGGUGUGUGGUUUGCUUCAUGACUCAUGCAAUUCAUUCUUAAUGCUAGCUUGGUCCCUUUACUAAUACAUUUUUCCUCUCUCUCUCUUUUAGGCGCGUCACAAUAAGACGGAGGUACCACAGAUGUACGACCUCGAUGCGUUGUCCCAUACUGCCUCGUACAAGAAGGUCAAGGCAUUCUCUGAGUCUGACCUCGAGCAUCCUGAAAACUUCACCAACAUCUCCUCCCACCACAAGCUCGUGAAGUACAGAGAUCACGGGAAGGCGAGGAAAGGGGAGGACUUUAACCCGAGCCAGGGGCCUAUUGAUCCAGAGCUGGUGAUGAUAGCUCGCAACGGGAGGCCCCAUGGCUCGAUCGCCGUCAGAGACGGCCUUAUACGUUGUCCUAGCACUCUCCGGCAAAUAAAGGCACGCCAAACAAGCUCCUGUCCUGAGAUAACACCUUGUCCACGGCCAGUCGAGCUCGCCAUCGAGGUUAGUUUAAUGGACUCAACUAUCUUUCCGCAUUACGUUGUGUGUGCGAACCAAUAUGAUUACAAUGCUAACAAUGAGUUGUGUUGCAGGCUGCUAUUCUGAAAGAGAGAGAGGCAAUGCAGGCGCUUUUGGCGGAGAAGGAUAAGGAGAUGAAGGAGCGGGAGGAGAGGAUGGCUACGUUGGAGGAGGCGGAAAGGGCAUGGAAUGAUGCGUCUAACAGGGCGAUGUAAGAGCUUAUCGUGGUAAGUUUCUUAUUCAUAUUUGUCAAAUCUUGCAUUUUAAUGUGCGUUUCAUUAAUAAUUAAAAAGUUUGACUUGUCGAAACCAAAUGUACAGUCUAUGUGCGAGAAGACCGGCCACGUCCCUCCCGGAAUGCCAGUCAUUAAAAUGGCGGGGACGGUUAGUUUCAUUUCAAUGCAGUGAUCUUUUGAGUGUCAUCAUGAUAACGACACAUUGCAAACGAUGUUUGGUGCAGAAUAUCUCCCAAAACGCAUCGCACGACCCUUCUACAGUGGAGCCUUCUCCAGGGCAGCCUUCUCGAGGUGAAACAAGCCAGAGCCACCAUGCUUCACCGCCGUGAUGACGAGAAUGGUAUGUUUUUUCUAGUGUUUUGCUUAACAACCGCAUAAUGAUCUUUACUUACCUUACCUUAGCUCCAAAAUGACAUAUUUUACCCAAGUUAGCUCUAGAAUGACCUAUACUUGGCUUGGCUUCCACCUAAAUGACAUAAUUAGCUUAGUUAGCUCCAAAAUGGCCUAUUUGAUAAAAAAAAUGACCUAUACUUAGCUAAGUUCUCUCCUAAAUGACAUAAUAAGCUUAUGUAGCUCCAAGAUGACCUAUUCCCCCUAACUUAGCUAUUAAAUGGCCUAUAAUUAGCUUAGUUAGCUACAAAAUGGCUUAAUAAGCAUAGUUAGCUUUAAAAUGACAUAUUUUACCCAAGUUAGCUCUAGAAUGACCUAUACUUAGCUUGGCUUCGACCUAAAUGACAUAAUUAACUUACUUAGCUCCAAAAUGGCCUAUUUAAUAAAAAAAUGACCUAUACUUAGCUAAGUUCUCUCCUAAAUGACAUAAUUAACUUACUUAGCUCCAAAAUGGCCUAUUUAAUAAAAAAAUGACCUAUACUUAGCUAAGUUCUCUCCUAAAUGACAUAAUAAGCUUAUGUAGUUCCAAGAUGACCUAUUCCCCCUAACUUAGCUAUUAAAUGGCCUAGAAUUAGCAUAGUUAGCUUCAAAAUGACAUAUUUUACCCGAUCCUGAUUAUCCCAAAACCCAAUGUGAGUUUUUUCUAUUUUUACAUACUCCCCCGCCACGAGCUAACGAGUUAGCUCUAGAAUGACCUAUACUUAGCUUGGCUUCCACCUAAAUGACAUAAUUAGCUUAGUUAGCUCCAAAUUGGUCUAUUUAAUAAAAAAUGACCUAUACUUAGCUAAGUUCUCUCCUAAAUGACAUAAUAAGCUUAUGUAGCUCCAAGAUGACCUAUUCCCCCUAACUUAGCUAUUAAAUGGCCUAUAAUUAGCUUAGUUAGCUACAAAAAGGCUUAAUAAGCAUAGUUAGCUCCAAAAUGACAUAUUUUACCCAAGUUAGCUCUAGAAUGACCUAUACUUAGCCUGGCUUCCACCUAAAUGACAUAAUUAGCUCAGUUAGAUCCAAAAUGGCCUAUUUAAUAAAAAAAUUGACAUAUACUUAGCUAAGUUCUCUCCUAAAUGACAUAAUAAGCUUAUGUAGCUCCAAGAUGACCUAUUCCCCCUAACUUAGCUAUUAAAUGGCCUAUAAUUAGCUUAGUUAGCUACAAAAUGGCUUAAUAAGCAUAGUUAGCUUUAAAAUGACAUAUUUUACCCAAGUUAGCUCUAGAAUGACCUAUACUUAGCUUGGCUUCCACGUAAAUGACGUAAUUAACUUAGUUAGCUCCAAAAUGGACUAUUUAAUAAAAAAUAACAUAUACUUAGCUAAGUUUUCUCCUAAAUGACAUAAAAUGCUUAUGUAGCUCCAAGAUGACCCAUUCCCCCUAAGUUAGCUAUUCAAUGACCUAUAAUUAGCUUAGUUAGCUCCAAAAUGGCUUAAUAAGCAUUGUUAGCUCCUAAAUACCUAUUUUUACCUAAGUAGCUCCAAAAUGACAUAUACUUAGCUUAGUUUCGUCCUAAAUGAUGUAGUAAACUAAAUUAGCUCCGAAAUGACCUAUACUUCUCUUCUUCAUCUAGUCUUCUUCUUCUAACUUACUUAUUUCCCAUUUUGCAGAUUACAUUCACUUCACGGAAGUUUGGAUUGAUGGAGUGCUUCAAUAUGGUUUCUUCUAAAAUGGCGUCACGAAAGCUUGGAUUGAAACUAUUGUAAUAUAUGGAUAUGAAACUUUGUAUGUAUGGAUGAAACUAGUGUAAUAUAUGGUUUUGGUACGGAUGAAACUUGCAUAAUAUGUAUGUAUUAUGGAUGAAACUUAUUUUAAUAUGGUUAUCAGUAUGGCAACACAACAUUAUUUAUGUCAUAUAUAUAUAUGAUUUAUGUGAAAAUUGCUGGAUAUAAUAAAAAAUAAAAUAAACAGGGGCAGUUUGGAGCCUUUGCCGUCCGCCCACCGACGGCAAAGGGGUUGCAGCAAACGACAAAGGGUCCAAAGCCCUGGGCUGAAGAAGACUGGGUGCCCCCUUUGUCGUCAGCCCACUAGCAUGGCAGACGGCAAAGGGGGCAAGGGCAGACGACAAAGGGUCUGAAGCCCUGGGCUGUAGCAGAAUGGGUGCCCCCUUUGCCGUCAGCCCACAAGCAUAGCAGGCGGCAAAGGGGGGCAUGGCAGAUGGCAAAGGGUCUGUGGGCCCAACAGGCUGCCGUUAACACUUGACGGAGGUGCCCCACGGAUCUGCCGUCCCAUGUUCUCUGCCGUAUGCCCCCCACGGCAAAGGUUCUUUGCCAUCCGCAGGACCAAUGCAGACGGCAAAGAACCCCUUCACCAGAUUUUUCUUUGCCGUCCAUUUUGUCGUCUGCAGACGGACGGCAAAGGCCUUCGCCGUCCGGGGUGCUUCCCUUUGCCGUCAGCCAUGGCAGACGGCAAAGUCUUUGAUUCCUGUAGUGAUGGAUCAUUCAAGACUAGAAGCUUCCAUGUGCAGCCGCAAGCUAUUAUGGGCUCCAGCAUAGUUGUGUACUCCAGAAAUACUGUGUCUCGGUCAUCCUAUUCUCAAACACCAUGUAGUGUGAGGACUUCAAGGGAGGUGAUCGAGUCUUGCGGGAAAAGUGUGGAAACCUCUGUAGAGUGUUAAACUAACCGAUUAGUCGUGUCCCCGGUUACGGACAAUUUGAGCGACUAGAAUUGGAUUAUCUAGAUAUUCUCAACACUUGAUACAUUAAAUGAACAUGGGAUUAUUGACAACCUUGGGUUAUGAGAAUUUGGUUGGUGGAACCAUCUCUUUAGUUACACCAUCUUUGUAGAAAGAAAUCUGAUUUAACUUUGAUUUAGGACAAAACUGGCUUUUAUGCAAAAAAAACUCAGACAUAGAGCCUCCACUGCCAUAUUGCAUAUAGUGAUAGACUUAUUUUCAUCUCCCUUUAUAUGUGAUCUUGCCAGUACUUUCAAUGUAUUAACCUACAUGGCUCCAACGUAUUAUGUUGUAGAUAUUCAUACGAUGAGUAAGAGUACGACUUAGGGUUACGGUUUACACUCAACCUGUCGUUGGUGUUUAUUGGGACUCCGCUCCCGUUGACUGUUUCUGCUGAGAAAGAGGUGUAUAUCAUUAUUGCGUUAUUUACACGUGAUUGCACUUUGAGAUAUACAUUGAUGUAUUGUGUGUGCCAACAUACUGAUCCAGGGAUGGCAGAGAGACAUAGAGGCUUGACUCGUUUUGAUUUGGGUCACUACACCUUAGUUACUUCAUGCAUUUUUAAGAUCAAUUCAGCAUGUUGUUAGCUUCAAAAUUAACCUUCUUCGAAGAUGGGAGAGACAACAAAUCAAUAGGUGCACGAGGUAGGAAACCAUACAAAAUUUCAAAAGGGCUCAUCUUAGUAGUAGAAUGCAACGAACGAUUAUAAGCAAAUUCAAUAUGAGGCAAGCAAUCUUCCCACAUUUUCAAGUUAUUCUUCAAAACAACCCUAAGCAUAGUAGACAAUGAUCUAUUGACUACUUUAGUUUGUCCAUCAAUUUGGGGUGACAUGUAGUACUUAAAAGCAGUUUAGUCCCCAACUUAGCCUAUAAACAUCUCCAAAAAUGGAUAAGGAAUUUAGCAUCACAGUCUGAAACAAUUGUAUUUAGCACAUGAUGCAAGCGAGUAAUAUCACAAAAGAAAAAUCAGCAACAUUAGCGGCAUCAUCACUUUUAUGACAUGGUAUAAAGUCUGUCAUUUUAGAAAAUCUAUCCUCGAAAACAAAUAUGCUAUUCGUCCCCUUCAUUGUUCGAGGUAAACCUAAAAUAAAGUCCAUAGAUGUAUCCUCCCAAGGAACACUAGGUACAGGCAAAGGCAUAUAUAAACCAUGAGGAUUGAGUCAUGACUUAGCUUUUUGACAUGUAGUGCAGCGAGCAACAAAACGCUCCACAUCCCGUCUCAUAUUUGGCCAAAAUAAAUGUGUAGCAAGUACGCCCUCUGUCUUUUUCAUGUCAAAGUGCCCCAUUAAUCCUCCUCUGUGCGCCUCCCGCAACAACAAAAGACAAACAGAGCUACCUGGAAUGCACAACUUGUUAGCACGGAACACAAAUCCAUCAUGAAUGACGAACUUGUUCCAUGUUCUCCCUUCUUUACAAUUAUGCAACACAUCUUUAAAUUUUACAUCAUGCACAUAUUGAUCUUUGAUGGUAUCCAAACCAAAUAUUUUAAAGUCAAGUUGUUAAAGUAAAGUAUAGCGAUGAGACAAUGCAUCGGCAAUAAAAUUUUAUUUUCCCUUCUUGUGUUUUAUGACAUAAGGGAAAGUUUCAAUGAAUUCAACCCAUUUAGCAUGUCUACGGUUCAUUUUUGCUUGACUUCUAAUAUGUUUCAAAGAUUCAUGAUCAAAAUGUAUAACAAAUUCUUUGGGCCAUAAAUAAUGUUGCCAUGUUUCCAAAGUCCGAACAACACGUAAAUGUUUCAAGUGUUCCUCCAAGGAUCUACUACAAAUCAAUAUAUCAUCAAAAUAGACUACCACAAUUCGUCCAAUGAAAGCACGUAAAACCUCCUUCAUUAAUCUAAUGAAAGUACUAGGUGCAUUAGUUAACCCAAAAGGCAUGACUAACCACUCAUAUAAUCUAAAGUUAGUUUUAGAUGCUCUUUUCCAUUCAUCCCCCAAUUUCAUAUGAAUUUGAUGGUAUACACUACGCAUAUCAACUUUGGAGGAAAUUGUAGAGCCACUUAAUUCAUCAAGCAUAUCAUCUAACCUGGGAAUAGGAUGAUGAUAAUGAAUAGUAAUAUUAUUAAUGCCUCUACGAUCAACACGGAUACGCGAUGUACCAUCCUUUUUCGGCACUAGGAUAAUAGGAACAAGACAAGGACUAAGGGAUUCUCAUAUAUAACCUUUGUCAAGCAACUCCUGUACUUGACACAUAAUUUCCUUCGUCUCCUCUGGAUUUGUACGGUAUGGAGCACGGGUGGGUAGUGAUGCACCGGGAAUUAAGUCAACUUGAUGCUCAAUCCCUCUAACAGGUGGUAAUCACGGGGGUACGUCUUGUGUAAAGACGUGUGCGAACUCCUCAAAAUGUUAAUUACAACAAAAGUCAAAGAGGGAGGCAUGUCCUCGAAUGAAAAUAAUACCUCUUUGCAUAUGAAAGCAUAGCAAACAACUAUAGUAACAUCCAAAUCAGUAAUAUCAGAUUUAUUCGCAAGUAAACAACCACUCUUCAGUUUUAUUUCAGAUGCAACACUAGAUGAUGGUUUAUUAGGCUUAUUGUGUUGCUCAAAUUCCUUUGCCGCAAUCUGAUUUUCACUCUCAUUUUGCUCUUGUUUUGCUUUACUAGCUCUAGCAAUGUCAUCUUUCAUAAUAUGUUUAGGAGACAUAGGAAGCAAAGUUAUAUUUUUAUCCUUAUGAACAAGAGUAUAUUGAUUUGUCCUACCAUGGUGUACAUAUUUUUUAUUUAUCAAAUUGCCAUGGUCUACCAAGUAAAUCGGAGCAUGCUUGCAUGGGUACCACAUCACAAUCAGCACCAUCAAAAUAUGUAGCAAUGCUAAAGUGCACACGAACAAUACGUGUUACCUUAACCUUGCCACUGUUGUUGAACCAUUGGAUGUAAUAUGGAUGAGGAUGUGCUCUGGUGGUUAGAGACAACUUCUUCACCAUCUCCAUGCUAGUCAAGUUGUUGCAACUCCCUCCAUCGAUGAUUAUCCGAACAUAACGUUCCUUCACUACUCCCUUUGUAUGGAACAAGUUGUGGCUCUGAUUUUUCUUAGCAUGUGUUACUUGCACACUUAAAACACAUUGAGCGACUAAACUUUCAUACCCGUCGGCGUAGUCAGCAACCAUGUAGUGUGUCUCUUGUUGAGUCUCAUCAACACCCUGUUCUUCACUUGCAGUAAGAGGCAGAGUCUCCUCAUUAUAAUCACUAGCAGAGUAAUAUGCACCAUCCUAAGUAACAAUCAUGACACGCUUGGACGGGGCUGUCUCUCGCAUAGUGACCUCCACCCAGGCAACGGCGACAUAUAACCUCAUGUGUUCUCCCUAUUGAUGCAAUGGAUGAAGAAGAGCUCUAUGCAGACCCGGAAGGUGUGCUCUUGGCGGAGGGUGGGCAUGUGCCUGUUUCCUGGUAUGUCAGUUGGAGUUGAUUGCUGAAGUAGGUGGUGCUGCAACAGGAUGUGUGGAAGUAGAUGAGGUACGUGGCGUCCAUGAUGAAGUGCAACCUAUAGAAAAAUUAGUUAUGGCCAAUGCUUGUCGAUCCUGCACUUCAUGUUCAGCUUUGCAAGCAAUAUGGAAUAAACGAGUGAUAGUGUUGUACUCUUUAUAUUAUAAAAUAAUAUGAAUAUCUCUAUUUAAUUCACCCCUAAAACGUGCAAGCAUAGCUUCAUUGUCCUCAACAAUACCACAUCUAACCAUGCCAGUUUGUAAUUCCUCACAAUAUUCUUCUAUAAAAUUCUUUCCUUGUCUUAAAUGCUGCAAUUUUGAAGUGAUUCACGUUGAUAAUAUGGAGGAACCCAACGAGUACGCAUAGCUGUUUUCAAAGCAGGACAAGUAGUUGGUAUAUUAGCAUGAUGUAUUCUACAAUGUUCAGACCACCAAACACAAGUAAAACUAGUGAAUGAACAAACAACGAAAUCAACACGUCUAUCAUCAGGAAAUUGUAAGCAUGUAAAACGUUGCUCUGUUUCUAACUCCCAAGUAAGAUAUAUAUCAGGAACAUAUAUACCAUCAAAUGUAGGAAUAUUCAAUUUAAGUUUAGGGAUAUGGUCAUGAUCCCGUACCUGAGGAGGUGGUGCAACCCUACCAUUGCGAUUGUAUCCAUGUGGACGACACGGUUCUUGUGGUGGUGGAUGUUGUCCCCGGUGCUGAUUUGGAGCAACCUCUCCGUCAUCAUCGUAAUCACCAUCAUAAUCCUCAUUCUGCUCAACUACAGUAGCAGCAGCAUCCACGGAAACCACAGUAGUAGCAGCAGGAGCAACAACACCAGGGUUCUGGACUUGGCCGGCAGGCACACGUCGCGCUCGUCCCACACAAUUCUGGCCUUGUUCCUGUCGUUGUUGUUUUUGUUGGACUGAGACGGAAGCUGCAGCUGGUGGUGGUAGACGGGCAAGCACCUCAUUGAACUUGGCGUCCAUCCUGGUGUCGAAUGUCUUAUCCAAACUGUCUAUCUUCUCCAUGGCCUCUCCAAGGCUAGUCAUGAAGUCUUUUACCUGGUCAGCCAUAAUUUGCUGAAAUUUAUCAUGGAGAUCCUGGUUGGUCAGGCUCUCCCAGUUGAUCUCGUCGGCUUGUGAUCCUGGCAUUGUUAGUAGCAAUAGGAACAUAGAAUAAUAUGAACCUACAGACUACUAACAAGUGUUGUUGGUGGUGGUGUGUCAUAAAUCCGUCAAGCAAAUCUGAAAUUCUUACCAGUUCUUACCCGCCAGCAGGUGGUGAUCGGUAACCAUUGUAGUCAAAACUCUCAAAGCUUGGAUAAAGCGAUUGUCAGGUGGUGUCAAACACACGAUGUAGAUGUAUGUGGAGCUAGGAAGUUUUAUAAUAUGGUAGCAAAAAGAAUCAACAAUAAUCAGUUCAAAGAUGCAAAGUUGAAAGGACGCUCAAUGAAGGUACCGUGCUGGUCCUAGGCUAGACUGUACUAGAGACGCGAGCCUAGAACACCAAUAAAAUCAUGACGCUACACGUAAUCAAGGGAAGAGCCACUCUGUUUUUUUUUCGUCUUUUUGUGCUCUUUUUUCUCUCUAGAAAAUCACUAUAAUGGCGAGUAUCUCAAAACUCUUCCAAUUUUUUUGACUAUUCGUUUCCGGGAGCGAUUCGGGGCUGCAACGACCAAAAAUUGCAACAAAAAAUCGCUAUGAUGGCGAGUGUCUCAAAACACUCUGGAAAGCCUAAGACAGUAUAGGGAAAAAAUAUUUUCAUCCGUUGAAAUUUUAGCCUAAAAACUUGUAGUGCCCCAAGUGUAAAGUUUUCCCUUUUCGCAACCUUCCAUGUGGGACCACCUUGACAUUGAUAUGAGAGAGUCCCUUUGCCUGUAUGAUUUCAUGUGUCUCUUAUUUUUUGUCUCCCUUGCAUGCAUGCAUACCAUAAUGUUUCAUGCCAUGUGUUCUUGUUGUGAUUGCUUGUGAUCUUGCUAGGUGUGAUUUUGUGAAUUCAUGUGUUGAGGCACUUGUGAUGAUGUGGUGUGAAGUAGUGAAGUGUGGUGCUUGGCAUUAUUUUCAAACCCCCUUGUUUAGUUUCAAACCUUUUUUCUCUUUUUCUCCCAAGUUCAAAUCCUAUUUGCUCCUAUGUUGUGUUAAAAAUGUUACACCUUUAGAGCAUUUUAGUUGGAGUGUGGGCAUGUAGGAGAGGGGUUUUUAAAACCUAUUUUGUUUGGGGUUUUCCUUUAUUUCAGAUUAUUUAAAUCUGAUUGGCAAUUAUUUUUAGUUGCCCAAAUAGCCAUUUUGGUAUGUUAUUUAUUUGGGGUAUAAUUCCCUUAUGCCCAGGGAUAUUUUAUCUCUAUUUUUUUAUGCCUUAGUUUUUCCUAGAAAUAUUAGUUUCUGUCAUGUUGUUUGUAUAUUAGAGAGGGCCAGGUUUCCCUCUUUCUCUCAAACCUUCGCAGCAGCAGCCCAACUCCUCCCAGGCCCAAUAACCCUUCGCAGCACAGCAGCCCAGCGCCGUUCCUCUCCUACCUCCCGUCGACGUCACCUUGUACGACCAUGGCUCGACCUCCCGAUCGCCUCCCCCCAAUCCAGCGGCUCAUGCGCGUCCCCCGAGGUGUUUUAAGCUGCAGGAACCCUCCUCCGUACCUAGGGUUCCCUCUCCUUCCUCCAGUGCGCCGCCAUCUUCCUCCUUCUCUCUAACCCCCCCUCCUGGUAAGGUCUGUAGCUAGGACAGAGAAGGAGCUUGUCGCCGAUCGCCGCCCCCAUCGUCGUCCAGCACCGGCGGCCAUGUCUGGGGGCUCGGGGAAGGCGCCCGCGCUCCAUUCCCGCCAUCGUUGAGGUCGAGGGGCGACCACAACGACGGGCAGAAGCUCGUCACCGGCGUGUUCCCGGCGAACUCCCUCCCUGCUUCGGUUCUGCACACACGUCGACAUCUUCGUCAGAUCUUCCCCGGUUCUUCUUCAGGCUGCCUCUUCGAUCGAUCCUCUCCCUCCUUCCCCUUGGUGAGCCUAGAUCCCCCUUAGUUUUCCCCGCGGUAGUGUGCAGAAGAGCUCGUGGCCGAGCCUCUCAGAUCGGCAGGACCGUGGCUGUGUAGAGUUGUGUUGUGCUCGGCUCGACGUGCAGAGGGAGUCAGCUUCCCAAGCGGCUGUAGAUGUGGUGCACGUGUCCCGUAGAGCAGCAGUAGCCGAUUAGAGGUGCUCCGGCGAAGUCACUGUCCUCGGAUCACCGUGUAGAGCAGGGCAGGACAUCGCGGUAGAUGUGUGUGCGUGCAUGCAGCUUGAGUGUUGCUCGUGUAGAGCAGAGUUGGCGCGGGCGAGCAACGCGCAGCAGUGCUGUAGUUGGCAUAGAGGUACCCCUCGUGGUGCAGCAGCAGUGCAGAGAAGCCACGGCGGCCUUCCUGUCGCCGGUGCAUCUCGGUGCAGAGCAUAGUACGCGGAAGAGGCAGAAUACUUUGCAAACUACCUUUAUCUGUCAAGCUUCCAUAACGUAGCGCAGUGGUGUGUGCCUGUGUUUGAAACCGGGAGAUGCAGGGAUCGAAUCCCCCUGGCGCAACCCCCCUUUUUUUAGUUUCCUUUCGGCAGCAGUAGCAUUUGCAUCAGCGGGGCAGUUUUACCUGCUUAGUUAUCUUACCCUGUCGAGCUAGCGCAUGGUAGCAGGGUGGUUUGCUCCACAGGGCAGUACCAGGGGCACCUGGGAUCGAAUCCCAGGCCUGCCCAUUUUUUCCCCUUUCCUUGCUCCUUUUAUUUUCUUUCCCUUGCUGUUGAUUUUUAUGCAACCCCAUGCUCUUUGUAGACCUGUAGUUUUUCUACACAUGUAGGUUGGGAAUUACCCCCUCUCAUAAUCUGCUUGGAAGUUUGUGUGCUGCUAGUUAUGAUCCAUGUUGAUGCAUUGUGAGUGAAGGAGAUGUAUUUAGUAGAUGAGGUUGUGCUGGUCAUUGUGUUGUGAUCUAGCCUUAGUUCAGUGCUAGGAAUUUGGACCUGAUAUGUUUGUGAAGCUCCCUGUCAAAUUUCAUCUCAUUUGGAGUCCUGUAGGUUCUGUUUGGGUUGCUGUCAAAAAGCUUCAGAACUAAGACAAAAAGUCAGGUGCAGUAAUUUUCACUAAGUCCCUGAGAUCUGAUGGUUUUGGGAAAGUUUGUGGCCUUGUAUCUUCUUGUGUUUAAUUCCUUUUGGUGUGACUCUUGCUGGUUCUUGUAGUGUUCUUGGUUGGAUACAGCCACAUAUAUAAUUUUUCAUAUUUGGAGGGUUGUAGCUAUGUUGCAUGUAGCUCACAAAGAGCUAAGAUGCAGAUUAUGGCAGAUUGUGUAGUAUAGUCAUUUUGAUGAUUGUGGGUGAUUACUUGAUGUUGUGGUGUUCUUCCUUGCUCCAAUCCAUUCAUGAUGGGUUGUUAUAUGUCUUGGCAACCUGGGAAUACCAGAUUGUGCCAUUGGAGUGUGUGGUGUUGUUUUUGACACGUAGGGCUUCAUAUCUUGUUUCGUUGAUUCCCGUUGAUCCGUAGCUCCGAAUGUUAUGUUCUUUAUAUGGUUUUGCAUCGUUUUCAUGAGACGCAUCUGUUCAUGCCAUUAUCAUGCAUGUCAAAAUAGCCUAGUAUACAUCUCUGUCCAGAAACUUGUAGUGGUUUCUUUUGCUUGUGCUAGUGAUAGAAAUAGUGAUGCAUGCUCAUUUUUCAUCUCAUGCAUCUUGUGCUUGUUGCAUCUUGUGGUGCUGCUGUUCAUUGGUUGUUAUUCUUAUGUUGGGUAGCACCGGGAUCGGAGAACGAAUACGUGGAGUCAGGAGAGUACGUGCAGGACGAACCAGAACCAUUCCAAGCUGAGGAUAUCACAGGCAAGAUGAUAUGACCUUGAUUCCAUCUCUAGACUUGUUAUGCUAGUUUGCGUUUCCAUGUCAUAUUGCUCGCUGCCUACCACUGAAUUAGAUUGCCUCUUGAUAUGCCAUGAACCCAAACACUGAUCCCUUCCUAGCAAAACUUGUAUGGCUAAGUAGGCUUUGCUCAGCUACUAAUGUUAGCGUUGCUAGAUGCAUGUGCUUUGACUCAUGUGACAAGAGCUUGAUAUCAUUAUCUUAAAUUCUGUUAUUUAAUUAAUGCACUCAUAUACUUGGUAAAUGACGGAAGGCCUAGCCUUUUGCCAGGUGCUUUGUUCUGUUAUUGUCGCCUUAGUUACCGGUUACCGGUGUUUGAUUCCAUAUUGAUCGCUCCUAACACGUUCGGGGUUGUUAUGGGAACCCCCUUGAUAAAUCGCAUAGUGUUAAGGCUUGUCCGGCAGGACCCAACAUUGGUGUUAAUUUGCUAAUCACUUAAUAAACUGCAUAGGGAAUGAUCAACCCGAGGAUCUUCAAUCAACAACCCGGGCCAGUGCUCCUCAUGAGUGUUGGUCCAAACUGGUCUGCCUCCGGGGCCACCUCAAGGAAACUUGAGGUUUGGUACCUCUAGCUAGUUCCAUCCAGCGUGUCCUGAGACUGAGAUACGCGGCUCUUAUCGGGGUCGUCAACACGUCGGGAGGUCCUGCUAGUCUUGCCUUACCUUAGCGAUAUAUCUUGCGUAUAGGAAUCCCAAUGAAGCUUUGGUUUCCCCCAGAGUUGAGGUUUUUCCUCUAAGGAAUCCGACGAGAUCACGAGAUUCAUGAUAGAGGAUUACUUUGCGGCCUGUGUACGUUUAUGAUGGACUAGUUGGAGCACCCCUGCAGGGUUUAAUCUUUCGGAAAGCCGUGCCCGCGGUUAUGUGGCAACUUGGAAUAUUUUGUUAACAUCCGGUAUUAGAGAACUUAAACAUAAGCUAAUAAAAUUGCCAACUGUGUGCGUAACCGUGACUGUCCCCCUCGAAGAUCUCUCUUCGAUCGGGAACACGGUGGGGUUAUGAAUGUCAUAGGUCGGUGUUCAGGAUCACUUAGUGAUCAAGUAAUCAUGACCGCUAGUGUAGAGCACCUUCAUAAUUGCCUUACGUAAGUUAGCCACUAAAUCAAGCUUAGGAUGUUGCAGCCUUAUACACCUCACCUUACCCUACCUAAUAACAUGACUAGUUCUGGCACCAAGGUCUUAGAUUGCUGAGUCCCCGUGACUCACGAAUUCCUCCAAAACUCCCAACAGGCACAGGUACCCCAGAGAGAGAUGAUCCCGACGGCACUCAGCUGGCGUGGCAGUACGACGAGGAGACAGACCGCCUCUACGUGAACUAUCCAGGGGAUUGAGGCAUGGUCGUGAUCGUGGGCCUGCAUGCAGGGUAGCAUACCAUUUCCAUGUUUUGUAGUCCAUAGCGGAACUACCUUGAUUGUAUAUGUGAUGUACUCUGAGUUAUUAAUGAGAAGACAGUUGAAUCCCGAAUUGUCUACUUUUAUUAUUAUUUAUGCUAUGUUACUUGCUUGCGAAACGCUUAGAUGCGCUUCUUUCCUAUUUGGGGCCUCGACCCCGAGAUCGGAAAGGACCGCAUCUUGGUCGUUACAAGUUGGUAUCAGAGCCUUACGACCAUAGGAGCCUUUGUGUGAUCGUACUUGGCCGAGUCGAGUCUAGAAAAUGUUUUGAGUCUUAGUUAUAUCGGAGAGUAGGAUUCUUUUUUCUCUUCUUCUAUGCUCUGGUGAGGUUCCCGUCUUAGGAAAUCUUUAACUCUACUCCUUUUCUCGCUCAAAUUGUUUUUAGGAUCACGCGGGUAUUUGUGAAAUCUAUAUGAUUUCGAUGUGAUGGAAUUCUGUCCUGGUGCCUCCUAUCUGCUCUAAGUAUCAGGGGGGUUGAGUUCCGGGGGAUUCUUGCGCACAUCGCCAUCAUUCAGAUUUCUGAGUAUCUAAGAACGGAGGGUGAUCGUUAUUGCUUCAAUACUGGUAGUGGUGAGAUAACCCCGAUGUCCCCAGUACUGGUGUAGAUUGUUCGGGGGUACUACCACACUUGGUAUCGCUGUGAUCACGAGGAUCUGUUGUAGAUGAAGGUCCGAGAUGCUGGUUGUGUGUUGAAGGAUGUGAUACAGGUGACGGGUUAGUUUAGGAGUUGUGUGAAAUACUCCUUGUAUCCGUGUACCUGAUUGCAUGACCAGUUAUUUCGGGAAUUCAUAGGUGGGAUAUCUAGUAGUAUCUUAUAGGACUAUCUUCCUACAGACGCUUGAUUGAGGUUUGGGAAAUCUCGGUCAUAUGUUUGUUCCGAGCAGUUCUAGCUCACACUUGUUUGCAGUGGUCCUUAUCGGAAUUUUGUCGUCUGUUACUUUGAGGAUGCACUCUUGCUAUGUUGUUCGAGUGCAAUGCUAAAUUCUGUUCAGAUAUUCCUGUCUUUUGAUUCAGCAAUAUCUUCAAUUAUUCUGUGGACUAAUAUGAUGUCCGUCUUCAGGAUGGCUCCACCGACUCGUCAGACCCCAGCGCGUGAGGAUAUGCCACCUCCUCCUCCUCCUCCGCCGCCGCCUCCUCCUCCUGCAGAGGCCUGGCAGGCGAUGAUGGCAGCUACUAAUGCAAACACUCAGAUGUUGUUGCAGUUGAUCCAGGAGAGAGCCAAUCAUCAGCAGGGCAAUUUCCAGCAGGGUGGCAAUCACUUCGCCAAUCUGAGUCAGUUCCUGUCAAACCAGCCUAAGACGUUCACUUCUUGCGACCAGCCAUUUGAUGCAGAAGAUUGGAUCCGUGAUAUGAACAAACACUUCGAGUGUAGCAAUGUGCGUCCGGAGGACUAUGUCAAGUUUGCAACGUUUCAGUUGAAGGGACAUGCUUCUAUAUGAUGUCUUGGGACGAGUUUUGUCAUGACUUCAGAUCCCACUACAUCCCUUCCAGUUUUGUGGAGGAAAUGCGUGAGAAGUUCAGGCGUUUGAAGCAGGGCAGCAAUUCUGUGUACAAGUACAAUUUCGAGUUCCAUGAGCUUGCCCGUUAUGCGCUGCAGGAUGUCCCGGAUCAGAAGAGCAAGAUCUACCAGUUCAGGGGUGGCUUGAAGGAAGACUUGUAGUUAGCUCUUGCAUUGCACGAUCCUGAGGAGUUUGACAAGUUCUACAACCUAGCUCUCAGAGCAGAGGCAGCCUUGCUCAGGGUGGAAAACUCCAAGAAGCGCUUCAGAGAUUCCAGCUCUUCCUCGACUCAGGUGGUUCAGAAGCAACAGAGGUUUUGGGUUUCUCCUCCUCCUCCUCGGCACUCACAGCAUCUUAAGAACUCAGGUGGUCUUGGUUCUUCCCACCCACCCAACCCUGGCUUUCAACAGAGAUACCAACAUCAGAAGCAAGGGCCUCCUCAGACUCAGUUUCGGCAGCCAGCAGAUGUCACUUGUCACAACUGUGGGCAAAAGGGUCACUAUGCCAACAAAUGUACUUCUCAGCUCCGACUACCGCCUCCUCCUCCAGGCAAACCUCCAAGCAACGCUCUUGUCAAAUUCAACCCCACUCAGCUCUAGUCAACAUGGUGAAGCAGACAACUCCUCUGAUGUGAUCAUGGGUAACCUCCUCGUCAAUGAUAUCCCUGCUAAAGUGUUAUUUGAUUCUGGUGCUUUGCAUUCCUUCAUGUCAUACCCCUUUGCAUUUGGUAAUAAUAUUGCGACCGAGUUCCUUCCCAAGUAAUUGCAAGUUGUGUCUCCGGGUAUGCGGAUGAGCUCUCAGUUGUUCGUCCUAGAUGUUUCUGUCAAGAUGGGCGCUUAUGCUUUUCUGGAAUCUCCUAUUGUCUUGGGCAAUUCCGACAUUGAUUUGAUCCUUGGUAUGGACUGGUUGGCCAUGAACAAGGCGUCAAUUGAUUUUGAAGCCAAAGAAGUGAAGCUUACCCACUCUUCGGAGGAUGUGAUUAUAUUCGCGGCGCGCGAUGAUACAAUCCGUCUGUUCUCCUUGAAUGAAAAGGGUGAGAUCAAUCCUAUUGAGCAAGUUCCAGUGGUCUGCGAAUAUCAAGAUGUGUCUCCUGAAGAGCUGCCAGGCAUGCCUCCGCACCGUGAAGUUGAGUUUGUCAUUGAGCUUGAGCCAGACACAGAGCCAGUGUGCAAACGGCCGUACGUAAGUUAGCCACUAAAUCAAGCUUAGUGAUCAAGUAAUCACGACCGUUAGUGUAGACCACCUUCAUAAUUGCCUUACGUAAGUUAGCCACUAAAUCAAGCUUAGGAUGAUGCAGCCUUAUACACCUCACCUUACCCCACCUAAUAACAUGACUAGUUCUGGCACCAAGGUCUUAGAUUGCUGAGUCCCCGUGACUCACGGAUUCCUCCGAAACUCCCAACAGGCACAGGUACCCCAGAGAGAGAUGAUCCCGACGGCACUCAGCUGGCGUGGCAGUACGACGAGGAGACACACCGCUUCUACGUGAACUAUCCAGGGGAUUGAGGCGUGGUCGUGAUCGUGGGCCUGCAUGCAGGGUAGCAUAGCAUUUCCAUGUUUUGUAGUCCGUAGAGGAACUACCUUGAUUGUAUCUGUGAUGUACUCUGAGUUAUUAAUGAGAAGACAGUUGAAUCCCGAAUUGUCUACUUUUAUUAUUAUUUGUGCUAUGUUACUUGCUUGCGAAACGCUUAAAUGCGCUUCUUUCCUAUUUGGGGCCUCGACCCCGAGAUCGGAAAGGACCGCAUCUUGGUCGUUACAAAACUACUAUGAAAACUAUGCCAGACUAAGGCAAGGAAACGCAAAACCGAAAACAAAGGAAUCUCAAAAAUAAAGCUAAUACGUGAAGGACUCGCAUUGGUGGCGGAUAUGUGGACUCGGAUUGGUGAUGAUGAUGGUGUGGUGGUGGUAUAUGGCGGCAACAAUGAUUGUGGUGUGGUGGUGGUAUAUGGAGGCAACAAUGAUUGUGGUGUGGUGGUGGUAUAAGAUAGCAGCAAUGAUGGUGAGGCGGCUUGACAACUUGUGAAUAGAACUUGAAACUCUAAAAGACUAGACGCUAAGACCAACAACUUGACACGACGAUGCAACCGCAAAUUCAACAAAACAAAUAUCGAACAGAAUAUUGCAAAGGCUCAGAUUGGCUCGGAUAUGAUGAUCUAACCCUAAUUCUUCUUUUUGGUUUUUUUGUGGAUGGUAGGUAUGAAGAACAAAUGGAAUAUAAACUAUGAAAAACUGGUAAAUCUCACCGAGCAACCUGGAAAUCUGAUACCACUUGAUAGAGGCAAAGUUGUCCCGGUCUUUCGAUGAGACGUGUCUAUCAUUUUUGGUAGAGUCGACUUUGAUGAUCAGACUACAAACAUGCGAGGACAUCGCACCUUAGUAAUCGCUAAACCAACUCUGAAAGGUUAUUGACCAUGCUAAAGCAUGGUCAACCUGACCACGAGGGUGUGUUUCCUGCACGUAAAUGAAGAACAAGCAAGAAACUGAAAUUGCAAACUGGAUAUUGCGAAUAUAAGAUGAAAGCUUUAUUGAUGAAAGUGGGGUUCUGUGACGUCUUGGUCUGGUUGUACAACACAAAUGUGCAGCUAUGACGAACUUUUAAUUAAAAAAACCCAAGUCUAAACGGUGUCCUAAGGGCUGUAUAUAUGGGGGAAUAGAGGGGAAUUUCGUGAUCCCUUGGAGGAGGGGUCAGAAAACAACCCUAACUCCGUUUCCCCACACAUACAGACUCUAAAAAUAACCUAUAAUGUGGUAUUUCGAAAUUACAUGGACCUGGCCUAAAAAUAAGGUGACACAACAUCCAUAAUGGCAUAUGGACGAAAUUUAUGAAGUGACAUCUUGUAUAUUUCGUCCAAGCCUUCAUGCUCUCAUUAUGGUGGCUUCAACGUGCGAAAAUCACCACGGAUAGCUCCAUUGUUCUUUCCUACGCGCGCAUGUUCUCCUCCAUGCUUGUUCCUGUUCCAAUGAUCACCCUUCUUGUCCAUGCUAGGUCUUCCAUUCAUAAGUAAAACAAAAGUAUCUAACUUAGGCAACAUCAUAUGUUCAUGAACAUUAGAAGGAUUUCUAAAAAAUGAAAGUACGUGAUAAUUCAAUUGAUAUGUGCGUGCUUUAGUAACAGGUCCAAUAUGUAUAGCACUAUAGCAGCAGAUAUUGUGAGUGUAACAAUGAUAUUGAUGUCCUCAUCAGAAUCAUUCUAAAGAUAGAUGCAGGUGUACUGAAGCAGGCAAUCACAAGCGACCAGUAUGACGAAUCGAGUCUAGGCGUAGUGUUUAAAGAAAUUUUAGCAAUGAUGCAAUCCUUUUUCAAUCUUGUAAAGCAGAAACUUGUCUUAGGGCUUGUAAUAUCUCUGCGCACUAUUUAGCUGCUCAUGGUGCAAUGCACAGAACCUAGGAGUAUUAGAUAUGGUUGGAUCCACUCCCUAGAUAUGUAAAAGACCUUGUCGCUGUUGAGUCCAACUUGUAUUAUUAAGGAUGCCUUAUUAGGGAUGUGUUUGGUUGCUCUCAUGGACUAAAAUGUCACGGGUUGAAUCCGUUACUAAGGCCCUGUUUGGAACCACUCAGAUUAUAUAAUUCAGUUUUUAUAAUCUAUGAUGUCUCCAAACAGGACAGAUUACGAUGUAGAUUAUAAAAACUAGUUGGACAGAUUAUUAAAAACUCAUAAUCUACUCUACCCCACCUAAAAUCAGAUUAUGGAUUGCUAAUGACCCAUUACCCUUGUAAAAUUAGAGUUAAUUACAUUCCUACCACCGUCGUCCUCCUUUUUUUUAAAAAAAGACAAACAAGUCAUUAUGCAAUGUAAAAUCUGGAUUACAGUUCAUAUAAUCUGGCCUACAAACAUGUCCACCUAGAUUAUUUUUAUAAACCAGAUUAUAUAAUCUAUCUUCAUAAUCCAGAUUAUCAUAAUCUAUUGUGGUUCCAAACAGAACCUUAAGUUUGUUUCGAGUCCCCGAUCAUUCCACCACUGAAUAUUCUAUCCAGAUUCGAAAUGUGCCGAUACCACCAAAUCCACUGAAUCACCGGGAACCAGGCUCCUCCGCUCGACCGGCUCCUCCUCUCGUCCUGCUCAGGUGCGCCGGCCUCUUCCUCCCUCCCUUCCCUGCGUCGCCGGCCCUCUUCCUCCCUCCAUUCCCUGCGCCGCCGGCCCUCUUCCUCCCUCCCUCCGUCUGCCGCGCCGCCGUCAACCCUCGAUGUGCUGCGCCGCCGUCAACCUUCCUCCCUGCUGCACCGCCGGCCGUCUACCUCCCUCCCUCGUUCUCAUCCUCUCUCGAUCUGAUCUGAUGCAACUCAUUUCUUUCUUGAUCUGCAGGAUAGAAGGAGAACAAGGCAGGGUACUCCGGCGUGGCGGCAUUGCGAAGCAGAGCUUCCUCUCCUGAAGGUACGAACCUUCUUCCUCACACAUAAAAGAACAGACUCACACAUAAAAGCAAGCGCGGCACCGCCCUAGUCUCCUCUCUAUUGCGGCCUCCGCCUGGAUCUGACUGGAUCCUCAGCCCACUGCCGCGAAUUCCUCUCGUUUCUUCUGCCUUGCGUCGGUAAGUAACCUAGCCUGAAAUCUGCAUCGAUUUCUCUUGUUCUAAGCCAGCCUAGCCCAGCUCUUGUUCGAUGUCCAAUCCAGACCCUUGUUCUAGGUUUUGGGGCGGAUUGAUGGCCGCAUGCAGCCAGGAUGUGGACCCGGCCAUCCUGGAUGCCUCGUGCCUGCGUGGCGGCACCACUGCCGGCUGGAGUUGUAGUAUGAGUGGAGGGGAAUCGGCUUCAGCGCCUUUGAGGAGCAAAUGCACAGAGCCGCGCCUUAGCCUACAAUAUCUGCCACUCAUUCUACAUGGGACACACAGGAUUGUCUGAAACCAAAACUCACACAGACUUGGUAGUCAUCAGGAGAGACAGAGGAAUAGCAGCAGCGAUGGCACUAGGCACUCUCCAGCCUCAAGUUUUUCACACAAAAUAUUUGAUGCUAAAGACCAGGUUGUUAGUUUUCUGGUCAUUCGGCUCUCACUUAGCUCACUGGUGUUCGAAAAAUCUAACAAUAUGCACUGAAAAACCUGACAUGACUCAAUUCGCUGCCCUUUUUCUGAUGGCCUUCAUUGGCACAAACAAAUUUGCAAGAGGUUACCUUACCAUCAAAUUUGCUCACAUGGUUGUACCUUUUCCUCACAUCAAAGCCAGCACGACCACCAUAUGCUCUCCAAAAUAGCCAAGCCUCUGAACCUUUAAAUAACAUGCCAACUUGAGGCAUCCCCUUUACAGAUUGUGCAUUGGGCGGACGGCCAUCCACCGGUGCGGCACGACCAUAUCCCUUGCCUCCGUGGCGGCACGAGCUUCACCCCUUGCCGUGGCACCUCCUCGCUCUCUAGUGGAUGCGGUGCGAGGCCCUGCUCCCUCUCCUCUGUGGGGGAGCGGCUCUCUCUCUCUCUCUCUCUCUCUCUCACGGCGGCACGACACGGCUUGACUCCCUCUCUCUCCUCGGUGAGCUCGCCUGUCAAACCCUCACCUCCGUCGAGCGGCUCAGGAGAACUCGAUCCCACCCGCGUGCAAAAACCCCUCGCCCCGCCUCUGUCUCUCCUGAAAACUACCAAGUCUGGGUGUAUUUUGGUUUCAGUCAAUCCCGUGCAUCCGAUGUAGAAUUGAGUUGCAGAUAUUGUAGGCUAAGGCGCUCUGUGCCUUGGCUCUUCAAAGGCACUGAAGCUGAGUCCAGUAGGAGUAUAUGUUAUGUUCAUCUCAGAGUCCUCGGCUACCGCUACCACAUCUCUUCUUUUUAGCCUUUGAAUGCCAGUGUAAUUUCAAAUCAUUUAUGUUCAGUUGGUGAACCAAACAACACAUAAAAUGUCUUGCUUAUAUUCUUCUUCGUGUUUAUUGUGCAGCUAUCGGGAAACUGUUAACCUUGACACUCUAUCAAGGUGCAAACACAGCUGCUGACCAAUAAUUUGGGUCAUGUCUACGCCCGCUUGCAAAGACGGGGCUAAUCUUGACGACAACCAUCCCAACGGGCGACGUGCCAAGUCCAAACAUGCUCACCCGUUUGACCCCGAGAACCGCGGACCAUUGGUCUUUUUUGUCUUAGUCAUAAUUUUCUUCUGCUGCGUGAUUGUGAUCGCAGCUUUCAAUGAGGACGCAGCUUUCAAUGAGGACCAACCACCUGGCGUUGGCGAUAUCUUCCUCCGACUUAUAGGAAAAAGUGGGCUUGAUCCCGGUGCCUCUCCGCCGACUUCGCCGGCUUUCCGCCUUGUGUUGGACUUCGAACGAACACCACAAACCUACCGGCGCUGCAGCGGAGGAGGCAACUCGUUGCUGCACGUCUCCUACCAUGACAUGAUCCUGGCGUGGGCUCAAGUGCCAGAUUUCUGCAUCUACGGCGACCGGGGCAUUGGCAGUGUUGGUACCUUGGAGGUGGAGGCCAAGGCAGACGCCUCCGUGCUGCGAGAGGAGGUGCGCAACUUGCUUUGGAGCGAGAUUCAGGUCGUGGGGAAGGUCAAGUUCGACGUGCAAGGAGAGGUCGUGGGCCUAGGGUAUCUUCGCUGCGAGUUCUUCAUCAUGAAAGAUAAGGCUGCGCAUGUGCCCAAGAGCCUGUGCAUCCUCCGUCAAUAGGCUGGACCUAUGCCUUCUGAUAAGGGUGUUAUAUAUUCUCCCUUCUGUCACUGGAUUGCAUUUACUUUUGUAAUAGCUGCUAUAUUCUGCUUUGAAAUAAAACAAAACAAUUUCAGCUGCAUAUUGUUUUUAAAGAUUUGUACCGAUGCCUUGAGCCAAGCAAAUGAGUGCAACAGUGCCUCCCUCUCCCAGUCUACAUAUUAGCUGUUUUUCCCCUUGGUUCUGUAUAAGUCAGAUGCAACUGAAAACCGCAUAGCUACCCUGUUCAAGUCUACAUAUUAAUUAACUGUUUUUCCCUUGGCUCUGUAAGUCUGAUGCACCUGUAACCCAAUGGAUACGCUUUAAGUGCUCAGGUACUGGUACCGAACUAGGACAUUUCACCAUCUUAUGCCUAAUUUUUGUCUUAACCAAGAAAGGAAUUUGAAUGCGAAAUGGGCUUCUUUUUCAUUGUUUGAAUUGUAUCACUGCUAGUUAUGAUUGGUUCUGUUCUCUUACUCCCCAAGCUUCAGAAUAUCAAGCAUGAAUGGUGCAUUGUACUUCCUCCGUAAACUAAUAUAAAAGCAUUUAGAACACUAUCUUAGUUAUCUAAAUGCUCUUAUAUUAGUUUAUAGAGGGAGUAGCAGUUAAUUAAAUCACACAUAUAUAGUGAUAAUAGCACACAAUUUGUUGAACAAGUAGCUUUAUGUAGCAUGAAGAAUCAGUAUUUCCGACACAAUGAAGGACUAUGUUGCUCUAUGCCAAUGCGUGUGAACUGAACUAUUAGCGAGCAUGUUUGUUUUUGGCAGGUGUGAGGGCCCUAUUGCGAAUUUGCGAUGCUCAGGCUCUAAAUUAACCAGGCAGAGUUUGGACAUGAUUAGAUUGGUGAAGGUAGAUGCUAGGUAAAACCUCCCACCCGGCCUACACCCUCUUUGAUGUCAUUCGGAACAUGUAUUAGUUCUUCACCACAAAGGACAUUGAUGUAAAUGAUCAGGUGGUUAUGCUUGACAAUAUUCUGCGGGAACUAAACUGGACACAUCAUCUUUUGAACUAAAUUGGUUCCAGAGAGUGACGUUGGUUGCGUAAGUUGACGCUUGCCAUUUAUAUAAUUGUUUUCCUUAUAUAAUGCUUGAAUGUGCUGACACGUAAUAUAUCCAGGUGUACGUGUUAGUAAAAAGUUGGUCCCUCGAUGAUUUGUAUGUUGGCCAAAUUUACUGUUUUGACCCUUUGCUGAAAGUUAAACCUGAUCUGACCCCGCUUGAAAAAAAUAAUCGAACCUGAGCCUUUUGCUAUCGUCGACACCCUUGGCGGCGGGGUAUAAAGAUCGUAAAAAGAUCUCUAAGUUGUGGACACAGUACGCGCGUGUGUCUAUCGUCACAUGCGUGAACCUCUUCUUGGAUUGCUUCAUUUUAAACUUCUUCAAAACUUUAUCAAGGUAUGUGCUUUGUGAAAGUCCUAUUAGGCGCCUCGAUCUAUCUCUAUAGAUCUUAAUACCUAAUAUGUAAGCAACUUCUCCUAGGUCUUUUAUUGAAAAACAUUUGUUCAACUAAUCCUUUACGCUCUCUAAAAACUCCACAUUGUUUUCAAUCAGCAAUAUGUCAUCCACAUAUAAUAUUAGAAACGCUAGAGAGCUCCCACUCACUUUCUUGUAUAUACAAGAUUAUCCAGCAGUUUGUAUAAACCCAAACGCCUUGAUCACCUCAUCAAAGCGCUUAUUCCAACUCCGAGAUGCUUGCACGAUUCCAUAAAUGGACCGCUAGAGCUUGCAUACUUUGUUAGCAUUCAUAUACAAUUCUUCCUUAAGAAAACCAUUAGGGUGUGUUUGGUUGGAGAACCAACUGUCAUGGAAUGGAACGGUUCCAUUUCAGAGGAACGGGUCGGUUCCAUUCCUGUGUUUGGUACGAGCAAAAAAGUGGAACGGGAUGGUUCCGUUCCAGUGUUUGGUUGGGAGGCAUGGAAUGAAAAAUGGAAUAACAAAAAUUCAAAAUUUCAGCAGCAUUUCGUUUGUAUUUUGAAGAAAAACAACACAACAAUAUAUGUAUUGACAUGUAACACAAUUUGCAGCAACAAUAUCAUUAAAUACCAAUCAGGUUCACAUACUUGUCAAGUGCACUACAGCCAUACUUGACAAUCAGCCACAUCCAAAAGCAAACACCCAAAUAUCCAAAGCAAAGUGCACUACAGCCAUACAUGUUGUUCGCAUACGAAAUACACAAAAGCAACCAAAUGGCACUACAGCCAUACAUGUCAAGUUCGCAUACUUGACAACCAUACAACCAUAUCGAAUUUAGAAGUUCUUCUUCACAUACCUACUCACCCAAACAGAUUUGUUGGUUUGGGAAAGUGUCAUGAAGGCUUUUGUGAUCUUCGGAUUGUCAACAAGAUGAGCAUAGUAGUGGGCUAGGUGCUCUUCAUCAAAUUCUCCCAACUUGCAGACCUCAUCCCAAAGUUCAGCGGGUAUAUCAUCAUCAUCCCCAGACUUCACAAGAGCAUCAGCCACAAGUUUGAACCAGUAAUUGAGAGUCGUACCUAGUGGAUCUUCAAGAACUUUCACUACCUUAGCCUUCUUUUUUGGUGGUCCUUUGGGGUGAGAGGACUCAGCAACAUUUGGUGAUGUGUUCACCUCACCAUUCUCCUCAUCUUCCACAUUAAUAUAAAGUAGAUCAUUCCCAGACCUAGCAUUGAUCCCCGAAGCAGCGGUUGUCCCAAAGAUGGUCGCCAUAGCAUGAUAGUGUUCAAUUGGGGUGUUCAAGUAAGGGGCAUUAGCUUUGUGUGCCUACAAAAAAUGUGCAAGUGAUUAGCAUAAUGUAGGCCGAAAAUAGCAUGAUAAUGUAGGCCUACAAAAAAUCUCAUAGCAUUAGAAGCUUACCAUGCAAUGACCUGCAUAGUGUUUCCACUUGCAGCGGUGACUUCGGUAUUGUCCAUUUCUGUCAAGACAUCAAAAGGUUGCAAAAAAUGGAUUAUAGUUUAACAAAAUCAUGGUUUCAGCCAUCAAAUAUCAUAGAUGAUGCAAUCUGUCCAGCCAUCAAAUAAAUCCAAAGGAGUGGUUUCAACACUACAAAUACAUGGUUUUAACACAAUAAAUGAUACAUGAUACAUGGAGUGUCACACACUCAUAAAUUUGCAUACAUGAUUUUCCUAUCUUCCCACAUUUGGGCGGCAAUUUGCAGCCUACGGUCUACCGUGGCCCUAUGGUCACUUGCUUGUUGCCUUGUUGUUCGAAUUGGUUGGGUGGUCCAUGUCACUUCCGGUAUAAUAAAUUCAUCAAUCCCUUCCCAACCAGCCAACACAUAUGUGAAGCGUAGGUCAAAAUCUACCGCUGCCAUCACAUUUUGAGUGGUGAAGGCCUUCCUACCUCGAAAAGAAUGCUCCACAUCUUUGGUAACACCUGCUCGCACAUGUGUACCAUCGAUAGCUCCAAUACAAUCCUAUAUAGUGACAAGUAUUAAAUGGCAUAUCAUAUAGCCUUCAUAGCUAGCGAAUAGUUUCUGAGUUUACCUUAAAAUAUGGGUCAAAUCGAUGAUUUCCAGCAAUUUUGGCAGGGGUCUCCAAUGAUGGUGGCCUUAUGUAAUCAUUACAAAGCUCGCCUAUGGCAUGAAGAGCCUUUCUAAAGUAGAUGCUGGUUGUGCCAUAUGAUCUAAAAAAAUGGCUGAAAUAACCCUAUUCCGAACAUUGUGCCCAAUUGUAUGUAAAAGCAUCGCUAAUUGUUGCUCCACGCUAAGAUGUGGACUGUCUUCUAGCAACUUUCGAUCCCUCAGUAUGCCACACAAGCGAAAAAACGCAGCUCUUUCAAACCUUAACAUGUUUUUACACAACACAUCGCUUUUCCAAAUUUUUUGGUCUAGAUAAUCAAAUCUGACCCGAUCUCUUUCAUGCAUUAGGCCAUAUGUAAUACGUGGUCUUCUCUUCCUUAUUAUAGCUCUAACAAUGACUGCUAUUGCAGCAAGUGUGACAAAAACUGCAGCUCCCCUAAUCAUCCUUUUUCUUUUGUUCAUCUUCUUGACCAUCUACAAUUGCUAUCAAAUAUUACAAAGAUGUACUGGACAGAUAUAUUGCAAAGAUGUACUGGACAGAUAUAUUGCAAAGAACAAAAAAAAAAAUUGCUAGACAACACCAAUUUGAGCAAAAAAAUGUGCUGGACAUCAGCAUAUCCAAGGAGAUAGACAGAGGGAUUCGUACCUUGAGGAGAGGAGCGUCUCGUUCGCUGUGUCGCCGCGCCGGAGUAGCACCUUCUUCACCUUCUACCUGCAGAUCAAGACAUGGCAGGAAUCAGCAGAGAAAGAGGGAGGGAGCCGGCGGCGCAGCAGUAGAGAGACGGAGGGGCCGGCGGCGCGGCGCGACAGCAGAAAGAGGGAGGGGCCGGCGGCGCGAUAGGGAGAGGGGUCAUCGGCGCGGCAGCAGAGAGAGGGAGGGGCCGGCGGCGCAGCAGCAGAGAGAGGGAGGAGCCGGCGGCGCGGUAGCAGAGAGAGGGAGGAGCCGGCGGUGCAGCAGCAGAGAGAGGGAGGGACCGGUGGCGCGGCGCAGCAGCAGAGAGAGGGAAGGGCCGACGGCGCGGCAGGGAGAGGGCCGGCGGCGCGGCAGAGAGGGAGAGAGAGGGCCGGCGGCGCACCUGGGGAAGGAGGAGACGAGGAUAGGGUUGCGCGAGAGGAGAGGCUCGUUCCGUGUGAUUCCGUGGAUUUCCUCGUGCUAGCACGUUCCGGAUCUGAGUGGAAUAUUCCCUAAAGUGGAAUGAGUGGGUUCUGUUCCGGUUGGUAAACCAAACGCAGGAACGAGGACUAGGAACGAGGACUAGGAACGGGUCCGACCCGUGACAUUCCAGCCCAUGACAGCAACCAAACACACCCUUAAGGAACGCCGUUUUGACAUCCAUCUGUCAGAUUUCAUAAUCAAAAAAUGCAGCUAUUGCUAACAUGAUUGGGACGGAAUUAAGCAUCGCUACCGGUGAGAAUGUCUCAUCGUAGUCAACUUCUUGAACUUGUGAAAAACCCUUUGCCACAAGUCGAGCUUUAUAAAUGGUCACAUUAGCGUCCGCGUCCGUCUUCUUCUUAAAGAUCCAUUUGUUUUGAAUAGCCUUGCGACCUUCAGGUAAUACUUCUAAAGUCCACACUUUGUUUUCAUACAUAGAUCCUAUCUCGGAUUUCAUGACCUCUCGCCAUUUGUUGGAAUCCGGGCCCACCAUUACUUCUUCAUAAUUCGCAGGCUCAUUGUUGUCUAACAACAUGAUAGAUAAGACAGGAUUCCCGUACCACUCAGGAGCAGUACGUGAUCUUGUCGACCUGCGAGGUCCGAUAGUAACUUCAUCCAAAGCUUCAUGAUCAUCAUCAUUAGCUUCCUCCUCAACUGGUGUUGCCUCGACAAAGAUUUCUCUCUGCCCUGCGCCACCAUCCUGUUGGAGCAGAGGUUCCACAACCUCAUCAAGUUCUAUCUUCCUCCCACUCAAUUCUUUCGAGAGAAACUCCUUCUCAAGAAAAGCUCCGUUCGUAGCAACAAACACUUUGCCCUCGGAUCUGAGAUAGAAGGUGUACCCAACUGUCUUUUUUGGGUAACCUAUGAAGAUGCACGUUUCCGCUUUGGGUUCCAGCUUUUCAGGCUGAAGCUUUUUAAACAUAAGCAUCGCAUCACCAAACUUUAAGAAACAACAACUUUGGUUUCUUGCCAUGCCAUAGCUCAUAUGGUGUCAUCUCAACGGAUUUUGACGGUGCCCUACUUAAAGUGAAUGCAUCUAUCUCUAAUGCAUAACCCCAAAAUGAUAAUGGCAAAUCGGUAAGAGACAUCAUUGAUCGCACCAUAUCUAACAAAGUACGAUUACGACGUUCGGACACACCAUUACGUUGUGGUGUUCGAGGCAGUGUCAACUGUAAAACGAUUCCACAUUGUCUUAAGUGAGCACCAAACUUGAAACUCAGAUAUUCGCCCCCUCGAUCAAAUCAUAGGAACUUAAUUUCUUGUUACGAUGAUUUUCAACUUCACUCUGAAAUUGUUUGAACUUUUCAAAUGUUUCAGACUUGUGCUUCAUCAAGUAGAUAUAUCCAUACCUACUCAAAUCAUCAGUGAAGGUGAGAAAAUAACGAUAUCCGCCGCGUGCCCCCACACUCAUUGACCCGGACACAUCGGUAUGUAUGAUUUCCAACAAGUCACUUGCACGCUCCAUUGUUCCAGAGAACGGAGUCUUAGUCAUCUUGCCCGUGAGACAUGGUUCACACGUGUCAAGUGAUUCAAAAUCAAGUGACUCCAAAAUCCCAUCAACAUGGAGUUUCUUCAUGCGCUUUACACCAAUAUUACCUAAGCGGUAGUGCCACAAAAAGAUGGCGCUAUCAUUGUUAACUCUACAUCUUUUGGUCUCAAUGUUAUGGAUAUGUGUGUCAUCACAAUCAAGAUUCAAUAUGAACAAACCCCUCACAUUGGAUGCAUGACCAUAAAAGAUAUUACUCUAAAAAUAGAACAACCAUUAUUCUCUGACUUAAAUGAGUAACCGUCUCCCAAUAAACAAGAUCCAGAUCUAAUGUUCAUGCUUAACACACGCACUAAAUAACAAUUAUUUAAGUUCAUAACUAAUCCCGAUGGUAACUGAACUGAGACUGUGCCAACUACGAUUGCAUCAAACUUGGAACCAUUUCCCACGCGCAUCAUCACUUCAUCCUUUGCCAGCCUUCGUUUAUUCCGCAAUUCCUACGAGGAGUUGCAAAUGUGAGCAACAAAACCGGUAUCAAAUACCCAGGCACUACUACGAAAGUUGGUUAGGUACACAUCAAUAACAUGUAUAUCACAUAUACCUGGUUUUGCGUUGGCCGCCUUCUUAUCAGCCAAAUACUUGGGGCAGUUGUGCUUCCAGUGACCCAUCCCCUUGCAAUAAUAGCACUCUGUUUUCGGGUUAGGUCCAGCCUUGGGUUUUUUUCGUCGGAGGGGCAACAGUUUUGCCGCUCUUAUUGGAGUUACCCUUCUUUCCUUUGCCGUUUCUCUUGAAACUAGUGGUCUUAUUGACCAUCAACACUUGAUGUUCUUUCCGGAGUUUUGACUCUGCGACUUUCACAUCGCAAAUAACUCGUCGGGUGACUUGUUCAUCCCUUGCAUGUUAUAGUUCAACACAAAGCUCUUGUAGCUAGGUGGUAGUGAUUGAAGAAUUAUGUUAGUGAUAGCCUCUUGCGGGAGUUCAACUCCCAGCUCAGCUGGACGGUUUGAGUACCCAGACAUUUUGCGCACAUGUUCACUGACACACGAAUUCUCCUCCAUUUUGCAAGCAUAGAAUUUAUCGGAGGUCUCAUACCUAUCGAUCCGGGCAUUCUUGUGAAAGAUAAACUUCAACUCCUGGAACAUCUCAUAUGCUCCAUAACGUUCAAAGCGUCGCUGAAGUCCCGGUUCUAAGCCAUACAAGACUGCACAUUGAACUACUGAGUAGUCCUCCUUACGUGCUUGCCAAGCAUUCAAAACAUCUUGUUCAGACGUAGCGGGUGGUUCAUCUCCUAGCGCUGCAUCAAGGACAUAAUUCUUUUUCCCAGCUUGUAGGAUAAGCCUCAGAUUAUGAGCCUAGUCUACAAAGUUUCUACCAUCAUCUUUCAGCUUAGCUUUCUCUAGAGACGUAUUGAAAUUCAGGGUUGCUACUACGUGAGCCAUUGAGCUACAACAUAAAAAUAUUGCAAAGUGUACUUAGACUAUGUUUCAGACAAUUAGAGUUUAGCUAAUCAUAUUACUAACAAACUCCCACUCAAAUAGGCAUCCCUCUAGUUAUUUGAGUCUGGCAUGAUCCAAAUUUCAAUAACUCAAGUCCGAUCAUCACGUGAGUUGAGUGUAGUUCCAGUGGUAAACAUCUCUAUGUUAAUCAUAUCGACCAUACGAUUCAUGCUCGACCUUUCGGUCUCUUGUGUUCCGAGGCCAUGUCUGUACAUGCUAGGCUCGUCAAGUUUAACCCGAGUGUUCCGCGUGUGCAACUGUUUUGCACCGUUGUAUGUGAACGUUGACUCUAUCACACCCGAUCAUCACGUGGUGUCUCGAAACGACGAACUGUCGCAACGGUGCACAGUCGGGGAGAACACAAUUUUAUCUUGAAAUUUAGUGAGGGAUCACCUUAUAAUGCAACCGUCGUUCUAAGCAAGAUAAGGUGCAUAAAAGGAUUAACAUCACAUGCAAUUCAUAAGUGACAUGAUAUGGCCAUGAUCUUGUGCUUCUUGAUCUCCAUCACCAAAGCACUGGCAUGAUCUUCAUUGUCACCGACGCCACACCGUGAUCUCCAUCAUCAUGAUCUCCAUCAUUGUGCCGCCAUCGAGGUUGUUGUGCUAUCUAUGCUAUUACUACUAAAACUACAACCUAGCAAUAUAGUAAACGCAUCUGCAAACACAAACCUUAGUUUAAAGACAAUCCUAUGGCUCCUGUCGGUUGCCGUAGCAUCGACAUGCAAGUCGAUAUUUAACUAUUACAACAUGAUCAUCUCAUACAUCCAAUAUAUCACAUCAUGUCUUUGUUCGUAUCACAUCACAUGCAUACCCUGCAAAAACAAGUUAGACGUCCUCUAAUUUGUUGUUGCAUGUUUUACGUGGCUACUAUGGGUAUAUAGUAUGAUCGCAUCUUACUUACGCAAAACCACAACCGUGAUGUGCAAAUUGCUAUUUAACCUCUCUCCAAGGACCGCCUCGGUCAAAACCAAUUCAACUAAAUUUGAAAAAACAGACACCCGUCAAUCAUCUUUAUGCAACAAGUUGCAUGUUAGUCGAUGAAACCGGUCUCUCGUAAGCGUAUGAGUAAGGUUGGUCCGGGCCGCUUCAAUCCAACAAUACCGCCGAAUCGAGAAAAGACUAAGGAGGGCAGCAAAUUGAAUAUCAACGCCCACAAAAACUUUUGUGUUCUACUCGAUAUUACAUCUACGCAUGAACCUAGCUCUGAUACCACUGUUGGGGAACGUUGCAUGGGAAACAAAUUUUUUCCUACACGCACGAAUACCUAUCAUGGUGAUGUUCAUCUACGAGAGGGAGAUCAGAUCCACAUACCCUUGUAGAUCGCUAAGCGGGAAGCGUUAAGAAACGCGGUUGAUGUAGUGGAACAGCUUCGUGAUUCAAAUCACCGUCGUCCCAUGAUCCAUCCCGAUCUAGCGCCGAACGAACGGCACCUCCGCGUUCAGCACACGUAAAGCUCGAUGACGAUCUCCGCCUUCUUGAUCCAGCAAGAGAGACGGGGAAGUAGAUGAGUUCUCCGGCAGCGUGAUGGCGCGCCGGUGAUGGUGAUGAUCUAUUCCUGCAGGGCUCCGCCCGAGCUCCGCAGAAAACCAAUCUAGAGGAAGAACUACGAAGUAGAGGUUUAGGGUUGCACGUGGCAAAGUUUGACUCAAAAACCCUAAAACCUCUAGUAUAUAUAGUAGGAGGGGAGGGGCUAGCCUUGGGGCUCAAGAGAGCCCCUAGGGCGUCGGCCGAGUGGAGGAGGAAGGACUCCAACUCCAAUUCGGUUUGGGAAGGAGGAGUCCCUUCCUUCCUUCCCACCUCCCUCAUUUUUUUCUCCAUGAUUUUCUUUCCUUGUCUGAAAUAGUCCACUUGGGCUGGCCUCACCAUCCCACCAAGGGCUGGUGUGCCACCCAUGGGCUAUUAGGUUCACUCCCGGGUGGGUGGCCCCCUUCCGAUAAAAACCCGGGACCCAUUCGUCACUCCCGGUACAGUGUCGGUAAUACCUGAAAUCUUUCCAGAGGCCAAAUGAAACAAUCCUAUAUAUCAAUCUUCGUUUUCGGACCAUUCCGGAAACCCUCGUGACCUCCGUGAUCUCAUCUUGGACUCCGAACAAACCUUCGGUCACCAACACCUAUAACUCAACUAUACCGAAACGUCACCGAACCUUAAGUGUGCAGACCCUGCGGGUUCGACAACUAUGCAGACAUGACCUGAGACACUCCCCGGUCAAUAUUCAACAGUGGGACCUGGAUGUCCAUAUUGGAUCCUACAUAUUCUACGAAGAUCUUAUCGGUUGAACCUUUGUGCCAAGGAUUCAUAUAAUCCCGCAUACCAUUCCCUUUGUCCUUCGGUAUGUUACUUGCCCGAGAUUCGAUCGUCGGUAUCCCUAUACCUAUUUCAAUCUCGUUACUGGUAAGUCUCUUUACUCGUUCCGUAAUACAAGAUCUCGUGACUAACACUUUAGUCACAUUGCUUGCAAGGAUUGUAUGUGAUGUUGUAUUACCGAGUGGGCCCCGAGAUACCUCUCCGUCACACAGAGUGAGAAAUCCCAGUCCUGAUCCAUGCUAACUCAAAGGACACUUGAGGAGAUACCUGUAGAGCACCUUUAUAGUCACCCAGUGACGUUGCGAUGUUUGAUACACACAAGGUAUUCCUCCGGUGUCAGUGAGUUACAUGAUCUCAUGGUCAUAGGAAUGAAUACUUGACACGCAGAAAACAAUAACAACAAAAUGACACGAUCACAUGCUACAUUUAUAGUUUGGGUCUUGUCCAUCACAUCAUUCUCCCAAUGAUGUGAUCCAGUCAUCAGGUGACAACAUUUGCAUAUGGUUAGAAAACCUUAACCAUCCUUGAUCAACUGGCUAGUCAACUAGGGGCUUACUAGGGACAUAGUUUUGUCUAUAUAUCCACACAUGCAUUUAUGUUUUCAUUCAAUACAAUUAUAGCAUGGAUAAUAAACGAUUAUGUUGAAAUAGGAAAUAUAAUAAUAACUAUUUUAUCAUUGCCUCUAGGGCAUAUUUCCAACAGUGAGAUCUGAGGUACUCCGGGCCAAACACUUGCACAAUUCUGAAUGCGAAGCGCUUGACACACAUCAUGGCUUGGCUCUCAUCCAUGGCCAAGUGAUCAUCAACUAGAUCAGCGGGAAUACCAUAUGCCAACAUACGCAAAGCAGCUGUCACCUUCUGAAAGGUGUUAUGCCCGAGCUCUCCGGCAGCAUUCCUCCUCAGCUGAAAAAACCGGUCAUGGCUCGCUAGUUUCUCUGCAUUGUACCUGAACAACUCGGUGCUCAUCCUAAACCGACGACGAAAGUACGAGUCGAGGUAUGUGGGAUUCUCCACAAAAUAGUGCCUCAUCAAUAUGUUGUGGGCAUCAACCCUAUCCCUCCAAAUUUUCUGCCGACCCAUAACCGAACCACCGUGCUUCGAUUUUUUAUUGAUGUGCAUAGCUAGGAUCAUUACAAGAUCCUCCUCCUCUUCCAUAUCAAAUUCUUCUGCGGAAGAAUCAUAUGCCGAACUCAUCUAAAAUGUUCAAAACUAGGCUAUAAACAACAUGCACCAAAAUUCAUGUAAAAAUGUGAAGUUAGAAGCAAUACAUACCUUGCGAGCCUUUUGUCGAACACCUUGCGGGCACCAAGCGGCAGUGGGAGGCCGGGUGCUGUUCGUCGGAGGACUGCCGCGCGCGACGGACGGCGCUGAUGAGAGAGAGGGAGGAAGUCGCGGCCGCACGGGGAGAGACGCGGAAGCGCCGGAACAGUCGCCGGAGAAAUGGGGUGGCGCGGACGGCGACGACGGUGCGGCUAGAUGGGUAGGUGGAGUUUCGCGCGAGCGCUCGAGAGUUCAGCGCACGGGAGCGGAUGGAGCAAAUAAGCGGCGCGCGAUGGCGUUUCCUCCCGCGCGCUGAAUUACAUAUGCCGCGCGCGUGGUUUUUGCGUGUCCGCUGGAGCACACGGAACGAUAGCGCGCGCGCUAAAAUGACUACUUUUUUAGCGUGGCGCCUAUAUAGCGCGACUGUUGGAGAUGCUCUGAGGGCCCUAUUGCGAAUUUGCGAUGCUCUAACCACGCAGAGUUUGGACAUGAUUAGAUUGAUGAAGGUAGAUGCUAGGUAAAACCUCCCACGAGGCCUACACCAUCUUUGAUGUCAUCCGGAACAUGUAUUAGUUCUUCACCAUAAAGGACCUUGAUGCAAAUGAUCAGGUGGUUAUGCUUGACAAUAUUCUGCGGGAACUAAACUGGACACGUCAUCUUUUAGUAAAUGAAUCAAUGCAAACUAUAUUUAAUGGUUAUGUCUUGCUAGUAACACAAGAAAAAUACAUUUGGGUAGUACUAGGCUCCGGCGCGCCGACCCGAACACUCGUGUCGGUCGCAGCGUAGCCGUUAGAUUGAGGAUCCUUUGAUCGUCAGAUCUCCUCUUUCGUCGUCAACCUCGAGCCAUGAACGCGAGUCCCUUGCCGGUCAUCCUCGUUCAACACGCAACGACGCUCCCCACCCCUUCCCUCCCCCUGCCCUCCGGCGGUCGAGGGUCCUUCUUCCAUCGCCCCCUCUCGCCAAACGUCCUCGCCGUCGGUCGCCAUCCUUAUAGAGCCAACAAACGCGAGUACCUUGUCGUAUGUUCAUGCCAAUGACCGUUUGCAGCUUUUUAUAUGUCUCGUUGCAGCUUUUUUCAUCAACGGUUGUAGCAUUGUGGCAAUGACCGCUUGCAGCUUUUUAUAUGCCUGAUUGAAGCUUUUUCAUCUAGGUUUGAAGCUUUUUAAAAUAGUCAUUGCAGCAGUUUUGGGUGACGUUUGGUGAGACUGGUGAGGGAGAUGCUAGGUAAAAUCUCCCACCAGGCCUACACCCUCUUUGAUGUCAUUUGGAACAUGUAUUAGUUCUUCACCGCAAAGGACCUUGAUGCAAAUGAUCAGCUGGUUAUGCUUGACAAUAUUCUGCCGGAACUAAACUGGACACACCAUCUUUAUUAAAUGAAUGGAUGCAAAAUAAAUUUAACGGUUAUGUUUUGCUAUUAACACUUGGAGGCCCCCAAUGAAUCAUCUAUAUUAUGAGAGGCGCUAGAAAAAAAAGGUAAACCCAAUGAAUUCCAAUUCUCUUAAGAGAAUAGAAACAUCUGGUCAUCAACUUGUCAUAGCAGUCAUUUGAUAAUACACUUGAUGUCUCGUAAACAACAAUAAACUAACGGUAAGUACUAUUGGCCGCUGAUGGAGUUACUCUUGUCCAAGUUGAAUCACGACGUUGGAUCACUGAAUUGUUAUCUAAAGAAAAUGACACCUGAACUGAAGAUGCAGGCCAAUACUACAGGUACAUGACAAUGUCCCCUCCAAAGGUUCGACAUGUCCUCAUGGUGAUGAUGACGAAGGUGAAGCACGCCACUGUUGCUUGUCUCGCGGAAAAAAUGUUGGGAAUGUGCACUUCAUGAAGUAUGUGUCUUCCCAAGUCGCUUCUUCAGGUGAAAGGUUGGUCCACUGCACACAAGCAUUGAACGGCCGACAAGUUUCGCCACGGUAUUCGUCAGACCUGUAAGACCAUGGCUGGUGAAGUUUUGAGAGUACCAUCAGCGUUUGCAAUAGGCAUAUCAGGGCUAGGAUUGGCAUGCUUGCCCAAAUGCUUCUUCAACCGACUCACAUGAAAAACUGGAUGGAUCUUUUUGUGGCCAGGGAAUUGCGGUAAUUUGUAGGCUACAUUGCCCACUUUUUCUUAAUUAUGGCAAAAGGACCCUAGUAUUUGUGUUGUAAUUUGAUUGUUCGGCGACAUCCAAAAUCGACCAUACGAUGAGGUUCCAUCUUUAAGUAGACCCUCUUCAUUCUGUUUUGUCCAUGCUGUAAGAUGUUUUUUCAGCUACUCAUUCAUUCAUUUGUUCGAUCAAGGAAGAGUUAUCUGAAGAAAAUGACACCUGAACUGAAAGAUGCAGGCCAGAAAGGUGCAUGACACUAGACAAGACUGGGAAACAAAAACUGCUUUGAGAUUGGGAAAGGCACGUGGCGUCCUCUCUUCCAGUUCCAGAGAGGAUGAAGAGAUAGAGUCGGUCGGUCCGUUGGGGACUGGAUCGAUACGCAACAUACUCACGACGUAAAAGCGCUCCGCCGCCCAAGUCCUCCGUGUACUGCAGCCUCUGCCUCGCUGUGGCUUGGAUCCGCUGCCGUCGUUGCUGUUGACGCCGAUUUCAGCCGAAGUAAAACAUAGUGCUUAGAUAUUAUGCAAAUAAAAUAAUUUACAUAAAAUAAUCAAAUAAGAUAGUGAAUCACCGAAUACACGAAAAAAGGAUACAAUGAUGAAUUUUUGCCGCGCGUCUCAACAUAAAAUAACAAUAACAAAAAAAGAGACAUAUUAUCGUACAAACUACAUGACAUAUGACUUUCAUAUACAUAAGCCAUCAUCAACGGCUAAAUUCCAACGUUGACCUAGAUGCAAACAUCACCAAAAUGUUAUUUAUGAACAUUAUUCUGUCACCGCUAAAAGAAAUAUUGCACAAUAAUGUUUGUAUAAAAUAAUAUAGCGUACGAUGAUGUACGAGGGAAAAUAUCAAACCAUCAUAUAAUUAUCAGUAGAAGAAAUGCUUUUCCAUAUUACAACAACUAAUUUGGUCUAGCUAGCCCAAUCAUACAAAUGGCUACGUACAUAUAUGGUGCAAUUACAAGCUACGUGCAUGCAUGUAUUAUGCAUGGAUUAAUUAUGCGACAAGAUUAGGAACUAAUGAAGUAAUUAUCUAGCCCAUGCCCAAACGCAUACGCCCAUAUAGCAACAUCAUACGUAAUGGACGUCCUCCUCCCAUGCUUAGGCGUGCAUGCAUGGAUCAGGCUCCAAUUAUAUCAAAGGCCCACAGGUGAGCACCACAGGAGGGUGCGCACAAGAAAAAAAGACCACAACUUAAUUAAGCCCAUGUCAGAUGAUGGGACGUUGUCGGUCAAUUAUGAAUUAAAGAAAUAAAAGAAAGAAGGAAAGAGCAGCCAGCUCCACGGUCUCACACGAUCGCAUGAUCGAGGAUUGUGGGCACGCGCCACAAUGUCCCGCUGCUCGCCCGCUUGUUACAAAUAGCUGCUCGUUCAGCGUAGAGAGGGGCUCGCUGAUCCAUCUCACGUUCAUUCAGUCCAUCGCUGCUUUCAUCCAUCCAGCCACUGCUUCCAUACACAUCAGCCCAUCGUCAAGCACAUCAUCCAUCAUCGCUUCAUCGUAGUCGGCCGUCCGCUCGCCAUCGUCGCCACCGGCCGUUCGCUUGCCGCCGUCGUCAUCAUACGCUCGUCGUCGUCGCCGGCUGUUCGUCUCGUCGUCGUCGUCACUACGGUCAGCCGCUCGUCCGACUCUACCGCAAAGGUGAGAAACAAGGCAAGCUGAACUCCUUCCCCUACCACUCCGUACGUGGGAGAAAGAAAAGGUUGCGAGAUGGAAAUAUAAUUCAUUGUUUGCUCUAUGGUUGGCUACACUAACAUAAUCAUGGAGUCUUUCUCAUAAUUCUCAGUUUGGUCAUAUUGGCACAAACUAAGAAAUUAUAUCAUCAUAUUUGCUGCAUAAUUUCUUACUUCCUGGUUGAUCACAUUGAUACAAUCAUGGAGUUAUCUUUCAAUGAUUCUUAGUUUGGUUAUACUGACAUAAACUAGAGAAUCAUUUAUCCCAAAUUGCUACAUGUUUCCUUAUAUUCGUACAUGCCAAGUUGCUUCCUUAUCAUCAUGGAAAUUUGGUCCUUGGUUUGGUUACAUUGACACAAACCAAGUGGCAUUAAAACAUAUGUAUGUUUCUAAAAUUUGGCAUUUUGUUUGUUCAUGAUGACAUGCGUAAAUCUCCUCAAAUCAUAUAUCAUUAAAUUUUGGCGCUUGGUUUGGUCACAUUGACAUGAACCAGGUUGUCUUAAAACUAACGUUUGUUCCCAUAUUGAUACAAACCAAGACGCACUCUAAAUUCAUCUAUAAUUAAAUUAUGUACUUGGUUUGGUCACAUUGACACAAACCAAGUUGCUAAAAAUUGACAUCUUGAUAAAAUAUUGGCCCUUGGUUUGGUUAUAUUGACACAAACCAAGUGGCACUAAGAAACAUAUAUUCUUGAAAUUUGACAUUUAUUGGUUCAUGAUGGUAUUAUCUAAAUAUCUCUAAAUUCACAUAUCAUUAAGUUGGGCUUUUUGGUUUGGUCACAUUGACAUGAACCAAGUUGCACUAAAACUGUUUAGCUUGAUAAAAUCAUGCCAUUGGUUUGGUCAUAUUGACACAAACCAAGGUGUACUCUAAAUGUAUCUAGAGAUAAAUAUUGUGCUUGGUUUGGUCAUAUUGACAUAAGCCAAAUCACUUCAAAUGUAUAUCACUAAAUCAUGUUGCACCCUCCAUAUGUGUCAUUUAUCCUAUGAUGCAAAGUAAGAUGAAAUCAAAUAGUAUGCCUAGCUAAACCAAAACUAUGUUAUCACACCAAAUAUUUUGGUAGUAAAAUAAAUGAAGCUCGCCAGGUAAAUAUGUUAGCUCAAACAAAAUAUUGUAUGACAAGCAUACCAUGCAUUGCUUAAAUUCUCGUGCAUGUAGGAAAUACCACGCACAUGAUCCUAUACCCCUUUAGUGCAUGCGACAAUUAAUCAUUAAGGAAAACCAUAUAGUAUAAUCAAAAGUACAAUCUAAAACAAAAUGCAUCGGCCCCAAAUUAUGCUAGCCUGCAUCAUCGGCAAAUAACUAGAUAUUGGAGAAUCUAGUAUGCGCAUGCAAGGUAAAAUGAAUAUGUUGUACGUAGCUAAUUCUAAGCUAAUUGGCGUGCGUCUACCUGACUAAAAUGAGGUGUAUGGUCCCUGUAUAUGGACGUACACACACAUAAAAACAAACUAAAAGAUGACCAGAGUCAUAAUUUGAGUCUGACUGCACUUAAAAUAUUGUAGUGCAUGCGUUACCAAAGUAAAUCAAAUAUUUUAUCCCCCUCAUAUAUGUUAUGCUUAAAAAGCACAUCUAGCUUAUCUUCACAUAAGAUGAAAGUUAGACCACGCAUCCCUCAUACGGCUUGCAUAUAUUUAGAAAACAUAGAUAUAAUCAUUUACUUACAAAAGAAAGGGUACUAUGUCUGUCAGUACUAAAGUGUUUUACAUGCAUAGCAUACGUGCAUGAUUUCAUGCCCCAUAUUAUGAUGUUUGAAAGCUCAUCCAGCAGAUUGAUUAACCAUUAAUUAAGAUAAUCUCCACAUAUAAACUAAAGGGAAAUAGAUCAAAGUAUAUAUGUUGGUUAAUCAGUUCGGGAAAAUUGACAAAGCCAUUCAAGCAUGCAUACAUGUACUGCCAAUAUCAGUAUAAGUCAAAGAAAAAUAUAAAAUGAAAGGUAUUACAUGUGAUAACAUCAACAAAGUUCAAAGCUCCCCCGAGCAUGCCGACAUUGACGACAGCGAGGAGGAUCUUCCAUUUUAUUUUUUUUAGUUUGUAAUAGUCAUAUGUGAUGUAAUCCUUUGUAUUAGAAAUGUUGAAAUUCUUAAUCAGGGAUUUUCUCUUCGGAUAUGUAAUUAACAGUUCUUUUAUGUAAAUGUAAGAGUGCUGGAAAUAAAGUACCCGCAAUACUUGAUAUUUGUCUCGUUUACAUUCGCGCACUUUAAAUACUAUAUUCUAUCUGUCUCUAUGACGUGGACGAGAAGUUAGUAUUUUUCUAUCACCCCAUUUUCCCGUCAUCAGUCGCCGCCUCUACUCGGAAGCGAAUCUCUCUUUUGUCGGUAAGCAAUCUAUAAGCUUCAAGUUUGCAUAGGUUUCUCUUGGCCCCUUGUAGUGUGUAUAUUGGAUAUAAGAUCCGUGCAUGAGCCUAGUUAUUAUUUAGAUUUUUCUUUUCCCGUCCUCUCUUUUCUCCACGGGCGCAUUGGUGUCCGCAGAUCCGGCCUACUCGCCGGGAGUAUGUGAUAUGUUCAUCUCCUCGUUGUAUACUACUAUAGGAGAUGCAUCCCAGACUCUUGAGAAAUUGCCUUCUCAAAACCAAGGCCGCUUACUUUUCAAAAUUGAUUAAAUCAUGUCUCUAAUUAGAGACGAGCAUAAUCCACACUGCUACCACAUCUCUCCUCUCCUUUAUAUGUGUGUGUAUAUGGUUGCGCUAUUCGUCAUCCUGGGUGAGUUAUAGUUAUUCUUCACUCCCCUCUAUUUUAACGUCAAUGCAUCGUAAUUUUACAUUCUAUAAAUUUUGUCUUAUUUUAUAUGUAAAAAGAGACCUAAAAAUUAUAAUGAACAUAAAAAUAUUUUAUGUCACAUAAAAUUACGAACAUACAAAAAUAGUGUAAAAAAUACAAUAAAUUCAAUUUUUUUAGUCUUGUGACCUGUAUUUUUGUUUUUCUUUUGUUAAAUUGUAUGUAGUGAUUCAAUAUAAAUGUAACUAUUUGUAAUUCAAAUGUAUCUCUGGUGAAAAAUAAGCUAUUCCGCACCCGAGGUGAUGAAUAGAGUUUCUAAUACACAUAUAUAUAUAUAUAUAGGAAAAAUACAUCCUACCACCCAGGGGUAGUUACCCUACAUGUUCCAUAUACUAUCAUGUGGUAGUAUAUAUAUUAAUUUAUCAUUUUUAUUAUGUUCUAUAUUAUAUAUAAGAUUNNNNNNNNNNNNNNNNNNNNNNNNNNNNNNNNNNNNNNNNNNNNNNNNNNNNNNNNNNNNNNNNNNNNNNNNNNNNNNNNNNNNNNNNNNNNNNNNNNNNNNNNNNNNNNNNNNNNNNNNNNNNNNNNNNNNNNNNNNNNNNNNNNNNNNNNNNNNNNNNNNNNNNNNNNNNNNNNNNNNNNNNNNNNNNNNNNNNNNNNNNNNNNNNNNNNNNNNNNNNNNNNNNNNNNNNNNNNNNNNNNNNNNNNNNNNNNNNNNNNNNNNNNNNNNNNNNNNNNNNNNNNNNNNNNNNNNNNNNNNNNNNNNNNNNNNNNNNNNNNNNNNNNNNNNNNNNNNNNNNNNNNNNNNNNNNNNNNNNNNNNNNNNNNNNNNNNNNNNNNNNNNNNNNNNNNNNNNNNNNNNNNNNNNNNNNNNNNNNNNNNNNNNNNNNNNNNNNNNNNNNNNNNNNNNNNNNNNNNNNNNNNNNNNNNNNNNNNNNNNNNNNNNNNNNNNNNNNNNNNNNNNNNNNNNNNNNNNNNNNNNNNNNNNNNNNNNNNNNNNNNNNNNNNNNNNNNNNNNNNNNNNNNNNNNNNNNNNNNNNNNNNNNNNNNNNNNNNNNNNNNNNNNNNNNNNNNNNNNNNNNNNNNNNNNNNNNNNNNNNNNNNNNNNNNNNNNNNNNNNNNNNNNNNNNNNNNNNNNNNNNNNNNNNNNNNNNNNNNNNNNNNNNNNNNNNNNNNNNNNNNNNNNNNNNNNNNNNNNNNNNNNNNNNNNNNNNNNNNNNNNNNNNNNNNNNNNNNNNNNNNNNNNNNNNNNNNNNNNNNNNNNNNNNNNNNNNNNNNNNNNNNNNNNNNNNNNNNNNNNNNNNNNNNNNNNNNNNNNNNNNNNNNNNNNNNNNNNNNNNNNNNNNNNNNNNNNNNNNNNNNNNNNNNNNNNNNNNNNNNNNNNNNNNNNNNNNNNNNNNNNNNNNNNNNNNNNNNNNNNNNNNNNNNNNNNNNNNNNNNNNNNNNNNNNNNNNNNNNNNNNNNNNNNNNNNNNNNNNNNNNNNNNNNNNNNNNNNNNNNNNNNNNNNNNNNNNNNNNNNNNNNNNNNNNNNNNNNNNNNNNNNNNNNNNNNNNNNNNNNNNNNNNNNNNNNNNNNNNNNNNNNNNNNNNNNNNNNNNNNNNNNNNNNNNNNNNNNNNNNNNNNNNNNNNNNNNNNNNNNNNNNNNNNNNNNNNNNNNNNNNNNNNNNNNNNNNNNNNNNNNNNNNNNNNNNNNNNNNNNNNNNNNNNNNNNNNNNNNNNNNNNNNNNNNNNNNNNNNNNNNNNNNNNNNNNNNNNNNNNNNNNNNNNNNNNNNNNNNNNNNNNNNNNNNNNNNNNNNNNNNNNNNNNNNNNNNNNNNNNNNNNNNNNNNNNNNNNNNNNNNNNNNNNNNNNNNNNNNNNNNNNNNNNNNNNNNNNNNNNNNNNNNNNNNNNNNNNNNNNNNNNNNNNNNNNNNNNNNNNNNNNNNNNNNNNNNNNNNNNNNNNNNNNNNNNNNNNNNNNNNNNNNNNNNNNNNNNNNNNNNNNNNNNNNNNNNNNNNNNNNNNNNNNNNNNNNNNNNNNNNNNNNNNNNNNNNNNNNNNNNNNNNNNNNNNNNNNNNNNNNNNNNNNNNNNNNNNNNNNNNNNNNNNNNNNNNNNNNNNNNNNNNNNNNNNNNNNNNNNNNNNNNNNNNNNNNNNNNNNNNNNNNNNNNNNNNNNNNNNNNNNNNNNNNNNNNNNNNNNNNNNNNNNNNNNNNNNNNNNNNNNNNNNNNNNNNNNNNNNNNNNNNNNNNNNNNNNNNNNNNNNNNNNNNNNNNNNNNNNNNNNNNNNNNNNNNNNNNNNNNNNNNNNNNNNNNNNNNNNNNNNNNNNNNNNNNNNNNNNNNNNNNNNNNNNNNNNNNNNNNNNNNNNNNNNNNNNNNNNNNNNNNNNNNNNNNNNNNNNNNNNNNNNNNNNNNNNNNNNNNNNNNNNNNNNNNNNNNNNNNNNNNNNNNNNNNNNNNNNNNNNNNNNNNNNNNNNNNNNNNNNNNNNNNNNNNNNNNNNNNNNNNNNNNNNNNNNNNNNNNNNNNNNNNNNNNNNNNNNNNNNNNNNNNNNNNNNNNNNNNNNNNNNNNNNNNNNNNNNNNNNNNNNNNNNNNNNNNNNNNNNNNNNNNNNNNNNNNNNNNNNNNNNNNNNNNNNNNNNNNNNNNNNNNNNNNNNNNNNNNNNNNNNNNNNNNNNNNNNNNNNNNNNNNNNNNNNNNNNNNNNNNNNNNNNNNNNNNNNNNNNNNNNNNNNNNNNNNNNNNNNNNNNNNNNNNNNNNNNNNNNNNNNNNNNNNNNNNNNNNNNNNNNNNNNNNNNNNNNNNNNNNNNNNNNNNNNNNNNNNNNNNNNNNNNNNNNNNNNNNNNNNNNNNNNNNNNNNNNNNNNNNNNNNNNNNNNNNNNNNNNNNNNNNNNNNNNNNNNNNNNNNNNNNNNNNNNNNNNNNNNNNNNNNNNNNNNNNNNNNNNNNNNNNNNNNNNNNNNNNNNNNNNNNNNNNNNNNNNNNNNNNNNNNNNNNNNNNNNNNNNNNNNNNNNNNNNNNNNNNNNNNNNNNNNNNNNNNNNNNNNNNNNNNNNNNNNNNNNNNNNNNNNNNNNNNNNNNNNNNNNNNNNNNNNNNNNNNNNNNNNNNNNNNNNNNNNNNNNNNNNNNNNNNNNNNNNNNNNNNNNNNNNNNNNNNNNNNNNNNNNNNNNNNNNNNNNNNNNNNNNNNNNNNNNNNNNNNNNNNNNNNNNNNNNNNNNNNNNNNNNNNNNNNNNNNNNNNNNNNNNNNNNNNNNNNNNNNNNNNNNNNNNNNNNNNNNNNNNNNNNNNNNNNNNNNNNNNNNNNNNNNNNNNNNNNNNNNNNNNNNNNNNNNNNNNNNNNNNNNNNNNNNNNNNNNNNNNNNNNNNNNNNNNNNNNNNNNNNNNNNNNNNNNNNNNNNNNNNNNNNNNNNNNNNNNNNNNNNNNNNNNNNNNNNNNNNNNNNNNNNNNNNNNNNNNNNNNNNNNNNNNNNNNNNNNNNNNNNNNNNNNNNNNNNNNNNNNNNNNNNNNNNNNNNNNNNNNNNNNNNNNNNNNNNNNNNNNNNNNNNNNNNNNNNNNNNNNNNNNNNNNNNNNNNNNNNNNNNNNNNNNNNNNNNNNNNNNNNNNNNNNNNNNNNNNNNNNNNNNNNNNNNNNNNNNNNNNNNNNNNNNNNNNNNNNNNNNNNNNNNNNNNNNNNNNNNNNNNNNNNNNNAUUAAGGAGAUAAAAAGACAAAACAAAAAAUGAAUCCUGCGAUGAACAAUAACCCUUAUUUUUCCUUUUCCUUAAGUAUUGCAAAAAAAUAAUUUGUGGUCGGGGCUCUCCCAUGCGUGACAUCUUCUUUGAAAUUAAGAUUAAGGAGAUAAAAAGACAAAACAAAAAUGAACCCUGCGAUGAACAAAAACCCUUAUUUUGUUCAUUUUCCUUUUGAAAUUCCCCUCUUUUUCUGAAUUAAAAAAUUAAAGUUAAAAAUUUAAAAAAACGUUUCCCCAAGUUCUAAAACAAAUAUUACACCACAUUUUAAAAUUAAGGUGAUAAAAAUACCAAAAAAUAAAAACAAAUAAAUACAUCGCUUUUCUACAAAAUAAUAGUAGUAGUCCAACAGUAACUACGAGUGCGAUGAACAAUACCUCCCCCGCCCCCAUGAAUAACCUACCUCUUUUUUCUCCUUCUUUAAAAUUCAAAUUAAGGAGAUAAAAUUCCAAAUAAAAAUGAAAACAUAUAUUAUUUAUUUAUUCCCCUUCUUAUUUAAAAUUCAAAUUAAGGAGAUAAAAUUCCGAAGAAAAAUAAAAACAUAUAUUAUUUCUCCUUUUCCCCCUUCUCCAUUGAAAUUUAAAUAUUAAAAUUACAAAAUUACCAUUUUCCCCCUUCUUCUUAAAAACUUAAAAUUACCAACAAAAAUUGAAAACAAACAUUACAUCACCUUUUUGUAAAUAGUAAUUGCAGUCAAAAAAUAAGCUAUGGUUACAACGAAUCCACAUUUUUCCUCCUUCUUUAAAAUUAAACUUAAAAAGAUAAAUUUACCAAAAAAAUAUAUUAUAUCACUUUUCUACAAAUAAUAAUAGUGGGUAAACGGUAACUAUAAGUAACCAAUAAUUAUAACGCAAAAUUUUUCACACUUCUUUCCAAGUGAAAGAUAAAAUUACCAAAAACAAAUAUGAAAAUAAAUAUUACAUAAAAAAUAAAUUUGCUAAAUGACGGGCUUUAACUCGGGUGCGACGUGCCGCCGCACCUUCUGCCCUACUAGUUUCAAAUCAUUUGUGUACGGUAUUUCCUUUAUUUUAUGGAAAAUUGUUUAUGUGUAGUCGGUGAACCAAACAACACCAAAAGGCAUCCAUCCAUAUGUUGUGUUUAUGUUCUUCUUCGUGUUCUUGUGCAGCUAUCGGAGAUUGGUUAACAUCAAUUGAUGCUCUUAUAUACUGAGCAGUAUCUUGGGUCAUAUGUCUCAUGCCCGCCCUCACUUGCAAAGACGGAGCUAAUCUUGACGACCACCAUCCGAAUGGGCGAUGUUCCAAGUCCAAACGUAGUUGCGCAGAUGGUUACAUUGACCACUUUGACCGCAAGGAACACCUAGUAAUUUGUGCAAGUGCCCUUGGCUAUAUGUUUACAAUGAGCAUUUUCUGCUUCACUGUGUUGUACACUAUAGUCACGAAUGGCACAGCUAACGUGGCCCAAGGACCCAGGGACAUCUUCGUCCGACUUGUAGGAAAAAGAGGGCUCGAUCCCCGUGCCUCUCCGCCGACUUCACCGGCUUUCAACGUUGCCUUGGACUUUGAUCGGAGACCACCAACCUACCGGCACUGCAGCGGAGGCGGUAACUCAUUGCUGCUCGUCUCCUACCAUGAUAUGAUCCUAGCGUGGGCUCAGGUGCCGCUUUUUGCGUCUAUGGCGACGGGAGCCUUGCCAGUGUUGGUACCUUGGAGGUUGAGGCCAAGGAAAACGCCCGCGUGCUGCAAGAGGAGGUGCGCAACUUUCUUCGGAGCGAGAUUCAGGUCGUGGGCAAGGUUGAGUUCGCCGUGGAUGGAGAGGUGUGAUACGUCUCCAUCGUAUGUACUUUUCCAAACUCUUUUGCCCUUGUUUUGGACUCUAAUUUGCAUGAUUUGAAUGGAACUAACCCAGACUGACGUUGUUUUCAGCAGAAUUGCAAUGGUGUUGUUUUUGUGCAAAAAUGGAAGUUCUCGGAACGUCCUGAAAAUUUAGAGAAAAUAUUUCUGGAAAAUAUGAAAAAUACCUGCGCAAAGAUCCACCGGAGGGGACGGGCCACUGGGCCACAAUCCCUGUAGCCGCGGCCUCCCCCCUGGCGGCGGCUACCAAGCUUGUGGGGCCCACGUGGCUCUGCUGCCCCCAAUUCCAGGGCUAUUUAUUCCCUUUCGUCCUGGAAAAAAUCAAGAUAGAAGAUUUCAUCGCGUUUCACGAUCCAGAGGCGCCGCCACAUCCCGUUCUUCAUCUGGAGGGCAGAUCUAGAGUCUGUUUUGGGCUCCGGAUCAAGGAGAUCGUCGCCAUCGUCAUCAUCAACCUUCUUCCCUCUCCAAUUUCAUGAAGCUCUCCGUCGUUCGUGAGUAAUCUAUUCGUAGGCUCGCUGGACGGUGAUGAGUAGGAUGAGAUCUAUCAUGUAAUCGAGUUAGUUUUGACGGGGAUUGAUCCCUAGUAUCCACUAUGUCUUGAGAUUGAUGUUGCUACUACUUUGCCAUGCUUAAUGCUUGUCACUAGGGCCCGAGUGCCAUGAUUUCAGAUCUGAACUUAUUAUGUUGUCACCAAUAUAUGUGUGUUUUAGAUCCGAUCUUGCAAGUUGUAGUUACCUACUAUGUGUUAUGAUCCGGCAACCCCGGAGUGACAAUAACCGGAACCACUCCCGGUGAUGACCAUAGUUUGAGGAGUUCAUGUGUUCACCAAGUGCUAAUGCGUUGGUCCGGUUAUUUAUUAAAAGGAGAACCUUAAUAUCCCGUUGUAUCCUUUUGGACCCCGCUGUCACGGGAGGGAUGGACAAUAGAUGGCAUGCAAGUUCUUUUCCCUAAGCACGUAUGACGACACACGGAAUGCAUGCCUACAUCACAUUGACGAACAGGAGCUAGCCACAUAUCUCUCCGUGUUAUAACUGUUGCAUGAUGAAUGUCAUCAAACAAAUCACCACCCAUUGCCUACGAGUUUGUCCCACUGCUGUUGUUACUUGUUUUGCUCUGCUGCUGUUACUACUGUUGCUGCUACUGUUACUUGCUUUGUCUUGCUGCUGCUGCCACUACUGUUACUUUUUGUUGAUGUUACUUGCUACUGUUGCUACUUGCUACUGCUGUUCCUUGCCACUGUUCUUACUCGUUACACUUCUGCUACCUGCUAUAAUACUUUUCUGGCGCCAUUGAUACAACAGUUAGGAAUAGUCUGCCGUCAACAGAUCGUUUCUGGCACCGUUGUUAUCAUACUACUUUGCUGUUGACACUUUGCUUGCAGAUACUAAUCUUUCAGGUGUGGUUGAAUCUAACACAUUCAGCUGCUAAUACUUGAGAAUAUUCUUUCACUUCCCGUCGCGCGAACCAACAAAUUUGGGUUGAAUACUCUACCCUCAAAAAAUGCCUUGAUCCCACGCGUUGGUGGGCUAUUGCAAGACAAUUUCUAAUUGUUGAGCAAUUGGGAGCAGCUCUUUUCUGACUCCGUUGCCGUGGAGGCAUCAAGUAAGGAAUAGUUGCACAUCAACAGCAUUUUUCUCGCGCGGUUGCCGGGGAAGGAUUGCUAUAUUCUCUGAGUCACUUGGAAUUUAUAUCUGCUGAUCACUAUGAAGAAUCUGAAAGAUCCAAAAACCAAAGUCUUGCCCUCAACCACGAGGGGAGGUAAGGAACUGCCAUCUAGCUCUGCACUUGAUUCACCUUCAAUUAUGAGUAAGUUUGCGACACCACCUCCUGCUAGAAAUCUUGAUAUGUCGCCUAUGCUUGAUGAUGUUUAUGAUGCUACUAUGCCUGAUACUGCUAGAGAUGCUAUGCCUGAUACUGCUAGAGAUGCUAUGCUUGAUACUGCCUUGCCUGAUGAUGUUAUGCUUGAUACUGCUUUGCCUGAUGAUGCUAGAGAUGCUAUUUUUCCUGAUGAUGCUAUGCUUGAUACUGCUAGAGAUACUACUUUGCCUGAUAUGCCACUAGGGGUAUUCCUUGAUGCUCAUAUUGCUAGAGUUACUGCCAAUGCUCGUGAUGCUUCUGAAACUGCCGAUACUAUUGAGAUAGAACCUGCUUUUGCUCCUGCUAGAUCUAGAUCUCCUAGAUAUGAAUUGCUUGAUAUACCUGAGGGUUAUGUUAUGGAGGGAGAGAUAGCUGAGGAUUUUCUUGCGUGUAAGGAUGACUAUGAUGCUGAGAAAUUACUUCUCAAGUGGAAGGAAAAAUCUCUGAAAGCUAGGAUGAAAUACGACCCGAAGUUUGCCACUUCACCUAUCGUUAUCACCGAUAAGGAUUAUGAAAUCUCUGUCGACCCUGAGAUAAUCUCUCUAGUCGAAUCUGAUCCUUUCCAUGGUUAUGAGUCUGAGACGGUCGUAGCCCAUCUUACCAAACUACACGAUAUAGCCACCCUUUUCACUAGUGAGGAGAAGAUUCGCUACUACUAUAUCCUUAAGCUGUUUGCUUUCUCUCUAAAGGAUGACGCUAAAGCCUGGUUCACUUCUCUUGCUCCUGGAUGUGUGAGUAGUCCCCAGGAUAUGGUCUAUUACUUCUGUGAGAAAUAUUUCCCUGCCCAUAAGAAGCAAGCUGCCUUGCAGGAAAUAUACAACUUUGCUCAACUCAAAGAAGAGAGUCUCCCACAAGCUUGGGGGAGGCUCAUCCAGCUACAGAAUGCUUUGCCUGAUCACCCUCUUAAGAAGAACAAGAUACUUGAUAUCUUCUAUAACGGACUUACCGAUGCUUCUAGAGACCACCUAGAUAGUUGUGCCAGUUGUGUUUUUAGGGAACGAACUAUAGAACAAGCUGAGAUUCUACUGAAUAACAUCUUGAUCAUAGAUAAUGCUUGGACUAUUCCCGAACCACCUCCUAAGCCAACUCCUAAGAAAAGAGGUAUUCUAUUCCUGAGUCCCGAAGAUAUGCAAGAAGCCAAGAAAUCUAUGCAAGAGAAAGGCAUUAGAUCUGAAGAUGUCAAAAAUCUACCACCUAUCAAAGAGAUCCAUGGUCUCGAUAACCCGAUACAAGUAGUAGAAGUGAAUUCUCUGCGUAGGUUUGAUGAGAGUGAUAUUCCUUUUGAUAAACCUGCUAGCAUAUGCUUUAAUGAAUUUGACAACUUUGUUGCCAAACAACAGAGUUUCAAUGGUUAUGUUAGCAGACAUUUGGAACAAAGUACUCGUAUCCUUAGUCAUUUAAGUGCUUGUGUAGACAGAAAUGUCAAUGAUCUGAAGCUUCUGAGUAAACAUGCCUCUAUGAUUACUACUCAGGUAGAACAAGUACUUAAAUCUCAGAAUGACUUGCUCAAUGAAUUAAAUGACUACUCUGUCAGAGUCAUUACUAGAGGAGGCAAAAUGACUCAGGAACCUUUGUAUCCUGAAGGCCAUCCUAAGAGAAUUGAUCAAGAUUCUCAAGGAAUUAAUGCUGAUACACCCAGUCAUCCUAAGAAGAAGAUGGAUGAUAGAAACCUACAUGUCAGUACACCAAAUACUGUCACACCUGAAGAACCAAAUGAUAUUUCUCCGUCUGAAGUAGAAACACAAUCUGGUGAUGAAUAUGAACCUGGUGACAAUAUGGACACCGAUGUUCAUAAUAAUGCUCAACCUACAAAUGAUAAGGAUGUGGAGAUUGAACCUACGGUUAAUCCUGAUAACCCACAACCAUCCAAGAAAAAGGAUGAUGAGGAUUUUGAGCACUUUAUUGAAAUGAUAAGACCCAACUUUCUGCAGAUGCGGUUAAUUGAUAUGCUCAAAAUGUCUCUGUAUGCCAAGUACAUGAAAGAUAUCGUGACUAAUAAACAGAAGAUACCAGAUCUUGAUAUCUCCACCAUGCUUGCCAAUUACACUUUCAAAGGUGGAACUCCUAAAAAACUUGGUGAUCCCGGAGUGCCCACUAUACCUUGCUCCAUUAAAGGAAACUACGUAAGAACUGCCUUAUGUGACCUUGGAGCCGGUGUUAGUGUUAUGCCUCUCUCUCUUUAUCAUAGACUUGAACUGGAUAAGUUGACACCCACUGUAAUCUCUCUGCAAAUGGCCGAAAAAUCAACUGCUUUCCCUAUCGGCAUUUGCAAGGAUGUGCGUGUUGUGGUUGCUAACACCACCAUCUUAACAGACUUUGUUAUCUUGGAUAUUCCCGAGGACGAUGCCAUGGCUGUCAUCCUCGGAAGACCCUUUUUAAACACUGCAGGGGCUGUUAUAGAUUGCAACAAAGGCAAUGUCACUUUCCAUGUCAAUGGUAAUGAGCAUACAGUGCACUUUCCGAAGAAACGAUAUCAAGUACAUUGCAUCAAUGCUAUCGAAAAAACUUCAUCGAUUCUUAUUGGGAGCUUUGAAUGCCCUAUUCCUCGUGUCAAGAUGAAGUAUGAUUUGCUUGUUGGGAAUAUACAUAUCCCCAUUGAGGUGACUUAGUGGCUAUUCGACAAUUCUCUGUUUCCUCUUGCGAUUCGAAAAGGUUUUUUCAUGAGGAUUUGAUCAACCCCAUUGACGGAUUUCUUUCGAUGACCAUGAAAUGGAUGAAUCAAGGAGUCACAUACCUCUGUUUUAAGCUUUCACUUUCUGUUGCUUAGAAGAAAAAUGAUAGAUUUACUUUAGUUUUCCUGCUUUCUGUUUUAGCACCCCGGAGAAAAGUACCCCGAAAAUAAAAGUUCUCCGAUGGUCCUAAAAAUCUAGUAUGAUUUUUUCUGGAAUAUUUGAAAAAUACUGGGACUGAGAGCUGGCCUGGGGGCCACACCAGUGGGCCACAAGCCAUGUAGCUGCGGCCCUCCUGGCGGCGGCUACCAAGCUUGUGGGGCCCACAGGGACCCCCCACUCAUUCCAGCUCCCAUCCUCUUCUUCUACCUCUAGAAAAAAUUGUUUCGCAGCUCAAACCCGUGUUCUUGCUCAUUUGGCUGAGAUUUUCGAUCUCCUUGCUCAAAGCACCAUUCUCCGAACCGUUUUGGGGAAAUUACUCCUUGGUAAGUGACUCCUCCAUUGGUCCAAUUAGUCUCUACUCUAGUGAUUUAUCCUUCACGUAUUCUUGCUACCUUGGUGACCCUGUUCUUGAGCUUGAAAUGUUGAUUUUAGCUGGUCCCAAGUAGUUUUAGCGCGUGAUACGAUCUCUAGGCACUAGUAGGAGUAGUUGCUACAAGUUGGGUUAAUCCUUACUCACUUUUCUUUCGAAGUCUCUAAAAAUUUCAGAAUUUUUCAGAGCUAGAAAAAGGAAAAGAUGAGGAGGUUCUUGAGAGGCUCUUCAAGUCGUAACCCCAAGGAGGAUGAGAAGAACCACCCCAAGUACGUGGUUCCUCGAGUCACAGAAGUUCGAGCGUGCGAGUGGCCAAGUGAUGAAUUUUUGCGCGCCGCUAGGCUUUAUGAAGACUUUUAUUACUUGGUGGAGAACGCAGGUCUUACCGCGUCCGUUGAAGAUAAGUGCUCACAAUACCUCCUCCUCACCAAUAUUUUCGUUCAAAGCUUCAACUUUUAUCCGAGGAAGAAUCCUCCCAUGGUUGAGUUCAUGUUAUACGACAUCCCCCAGUGCAUGACACUACAGGAUUUUUGCAAUGUAUGCAAAUUACCUUAUGUUGGGGAUAUUCAUGACCCUCGUCCACGGGACUUGGAGGAUUUCAUAGGUACUAUUGUUGUUGGAGAGGAGAGAGGAGUGUCUCGCGCUAGAAUUUCUAGCAUACAUUUUCCUGUGCUUCGGUACUUCUCAUUAUUUGUGGGAAAAUGUUUGAUUGGCCGUGGGGAGGCUGGAUCACUUAGCUCUCCAGACCUUGCGGUUUUGCGUGAAGGCCUUUAUAACAAUAAGACUUAUAGCCUAGGUGCUAUUGUAGCUCAGCGGUUGAACACAAACCGUUCCAAAGGUGUCGUAUAUGGAGGUAUCUAUGCUACUCGUCUUGCUAGACACUUUGAGAUGCCUAUUAGACUUCGCGAGGAAGAAGAGAUGCUUCUUCCUGAGAAAUAUCUGGAUUAUGACAGCAUGGUUCGCCAUGAUUUUCUGGAUAGAGAUGCUAGUAGACGGAUGAUUUAUAACCCGGUAUUUAGUCAGGGUACUCGAGAGACUAUUACUUUGCAUGCUCCUUCUUUGUUCGAUCUUCAUGCAGGCAGGUACACUAUUAUGCCUCGGACAUCUACGCAUAUUGGGGCUUGGCCCAACCACAGGUGCCCGUGCUCGAGCCGCCAGUCAAGUACCAGACGCCAAUUUAUCAGUGGGAGCCAGAGGAGCUCACACAGCAGUGGCAUCCACAGUCUGCUCCGGAGUAUCCCGGAGCUGGAUAUUUCCCGCCUUGGGAGUAGACCAAGCUAGGCCAAAAGCCUAAGCUUGGGGGAGUAUGUGUUCUCACCGACCUUACAUUCAUGCUUAUGCUUUCACUUUGUUAGCCGGUGUUUACACUUUGCCACUGUAUUAUCCAUGCUAGUUUAUUUUCGUUUUCUUGUUUUCUUGUUUUGUGUCCUUUUGAGAAAACCCAAAAAUAUUUUCCUUUCUUAUUUUGCUUGUUGGGAGCUUUCCCGUGUAAAUAGUUUUCUUUUUCUUUGGGUCAAGGUAGAAGACCAUGGUUACAAUGUUUAGUGGCUCUUGCAUGCAUACCCGUUCAUUUGUUAAAGAGUCGUAUUACUUUGUCUUCUCCUUUGUGUUUGCCUGCAGAUUCCAGCUUUAGUCCAAUGCACGAGCACUCUUAUUAUUGUUCACAUCGUUCGAUCGUGCAAAUGAAAGGCAAUAAUGAUGAUAUAUGAUGAAGUGACUGAGACUGGAAAAGCUGGUAUGAACUCUAUCUAUUUUGUUUUUAUAAAUAUGACUAGCUUGUCGUCCCAGAUUCAGCUUUGUUGUGAGAGAACCAUGUUUGCAAUGACAACUUAGAGAUCAUAGUUUCUGAUGCCAUGCUUAAUUAGCUGAGAGCUUAUAAUGGUUUGUCUUGAAUGCCAACAUAGAUUUUGAGAUGACUAUGAUGUAGUAUGAUAGGAUGGUAUUCUCCUUUGAACGAUUCAAGUGGCUUGACUUGGCGCAUAUUCAUGCAUGUAGUUGAAACAAAAUCAACAUAGCCUCUAUGAUGUUCGUAUUCGUGGUGAUUUAUAUCCUGCUCAUGCUUGCACUCAAUGUUAGUCAAACUCAUUGCAUCUUGAUGACUGUUGUCGCUCUCUAGUUGGUCGCUUCCCAGUCUUUUGCUAGCCUUCACUUGUACUAAGCGGAAUACUUCUUGUGCAUCAACUUCCAUAAACCCAAAAGUUUUUCCACGAGAGUCCACCAUACCUACCUAUUUACGGUAUCUACCUGCCGUUCCAAGUAAAUUUGCAUGUGCCAUUCUCUAAACCUUCAAGAAAUAAUCUGUUUUGCAUGCACGAACCGCUCAUGUGGUGACAGGGGGCUAUUGAUAUCUUCCAUGUUAGGCGUGUUAUCCUCGACAUGUGUUUAUUCACUAUCAUUCACGAGAGAGGGGCCGGUAAUUGGAAUGCCCAGUUCCAUGUUUAAAUCGAAAACAUAACUGUAAAACAAGACUCCCCCCGGAUUGAUGUUAGUAUGGACGGUACCCGAGAAUUUGGCUAGCCGUGGAGUGUGAUUGAUUGGUGGUGGGGGAGUUAAAACUUUACUUUUCUGUUUGGGAACCGCCUAUAGCAUGAGUAGCAUGGAAGAUAUUGAGAACUCUUAGUCAUUGCAUUGACAAUGAAAGAAUGCCACCCAAAAUUAUUAUCUCUGUUUUCAAAGCUUGAGGUCUGGCACCUCUGCAAAUUAAUGCUUCCCUCUGCGAAGGGCCUGUAUAUUUAUUUUCCUGUUGAGUCAUCCUCUUCUUAUAUAAGCACCAAUUAGAGAGCACCUUUGUCAUUUUUAUGCUUUGCUUUUGAUUGAUAUUGAGUAUGACUAUGACUGGAUCUUCGUUGCUAUGAAUUACAAUGUUUAGUCAGCCCUUGAUAUUUGAAAGUGCUCUGCAUUUAUGUUUUGCGGUCUCAGAAAGAGCUAGCGAGAUACCACCUAUUCAUAUUGCUUCAUGCUUGUUUUGAUUGAAUUGUUGGUAUCUGAAACUCAUUAUUAUUUGCUUGCUAGCUGAUUCUGCCAUUGAUAUUAGUUUACCGUGAGACCUAUGUGUCACUUGCUUAUGUGGUUAACUUGUGAUCUUGCUGAAAUUAUGGUUAUGAGUUAGACAUAGUUGCAACAACAAGAUCAAACAGAGUUUGUCAAAGUUUUUCUUUUUCUUUCAGUUUUUCAACUGAGUUGCUUGAGGACAAGCAAGGUUUUAAGCUUGGGGGAGUUGAUACGUCUCCAUCGUAUCUACUUUUCCAAACUCUUUUGCCCUUGUUUUGGACUCUAAUUUGCAUGAUUUGAAUGGAACUAACCGGACUGACGCUGUUUUCAGCAGAAUUGCCAUGGUGUUGUUUUUGUGCAGAAAUGAAAGUUCUCGGAACGUCCUGAAAAUUUACGGAGAAUAUUUCUGGAAAAUAUGAAAAAUACGUGCGCAAAGAUCCACCGGAGGGGACGGGCCAGUGGGCCACAAGCCUUGUAGCCGCGGCCUCCCCCCUGGCGACGGCUACCAAGCUUGUGGGGCCCAUGUGGCUCUGCCGCCCCCAAUUCCAGCGCUAUUUAUCCCCUUUCAUCCCGGAAAAGAUCAAGAGAGAAGAUUUCAUCGCGUUUCACGAUCUAGAGGCGCCGCCACAUCCCGUUCUUCAUCUGGAGGGCAGAUCUGGAGUCCGUUUUGGGCUCCGGAUCAAGGAGAUCAUCGCCAUCGUCAUCAUCAACCUUCUUCCCUCUCCAAUUCCAUGAAGCUCUUCGUCGUUCGUAAGUAAUCUAUUCAUAGGCCCGCUGGGUGGUGAUGAGUAGGAUGAUAUCUAUCAUGUAAUUGAGUUAGUUUUGACGGGGAUUGAUCCCUAGUAUCCACUAUGUUUUGAGAUUGACGUUGCUACUACUUUGCCAUGCUAAAUGCUUGUCACUAGGGACAGAGUGCCAUGAUUUCAGAUCUGAAAUUAUUAUGUUGUCACCAAUAUAUGUGUGUUUUAGAUCCGAUCUUGCAAGUUGUAGUUACCUACUAUGUGUUAUGAUCCGGCAACCCCGGAGUGACAAUAACCGGAACCACUCCCGGUGAUGACCAUAGUUUGAGGAGUUCAUGUGUUCACCAAGUGCUAAUGCGUUGUUCCGGUUCUUUAUUAAAAGGAGAACCUUAAUAUCCCGUAGUAUCCUUUUGGACCCCGCUGCCAUGGGAGGGAUGGACAAUAGAUGGCAUGCAAGUUCUUUUCCCUAAGCACAUAUGAUGACACACGGAAUGCAUGCCUACAUCACAUUUACGAACGGGAGCUAGCCACAUAUCUCUCUGUGUUAUAACUGUUGCAUGAUGAAUGUCAUCCAACAAAUCUCCGACCCAUUGCCUACGAGUUUGUCCCACUGUUGCUAUUAUUUGUUUUGCUCUGCUGUUGUUACUACUGUUGCUGCUACUGUUACUUGUUUCUACUGUUACUUGCUUUGUCCUGCUGCUGCCACUACUGUUACUUGCUGUUGCUGUUACUUGCUACUGUUGCUACUUGCUACUGCUGUCACUAUCGCUGUUCCUUGCCACUGUUGUUACUCGUUACACUGCUGCUACCUGCUACAAUACUUUUCUGGCGCCAUCGAUACAACAUUUAGGAAUAGUCUACCAUCAACAGACCGUUUCUGGCACCGUUGUUAUCAUACUGCUUUGCUGUUGACACUUUGCUUGGAGAUACUAAUCUUUCAGGUGUGGUUGAAUCUGACACAUUCAGCUGCUAAUACUUGAGAAUAUUCUUUCUCUUCCCGUCGCGCGAACCAACAAAUUUGGGUUGAAUACUCUACCCUCGAAAACUGCCUCAAUCCCACACGCUGGUGGGCUAUUGCAAGACUAUUUCUAAUUGUUGAGCAAUUGGGAGCAGCUCUUUUCUGACUCCGUUACCGUGGAGGCAUCAAGUCAGGAAUAGUUGCACGUCAAUAAGGUGGCGGGCCUAGGGUAUCUUCACUACAAGUUUUUCAUCAUGAAGGAUCAGGCUAUGGAUGUGCCCAAGAGCAUGUGCAUCUUCGGUCAAUAGGGUGGACCUAUGUGUUCUAAUAAGGGUGUUAGAUAUUCUCCUUUCUGUCACCGGAUUGCAUUUAUUUUUGUAAUAGCUACUAUAUUCUGCUUUGAAAUAAAACAAACAAUUUCAGCUGUAUAUAUUUUUUCGAGUGGUUAUUUUCUUCAGAAAAUGCUACCUCAAUCCUCCGUGCAAAAACCCGACGGAAAGUUUCGCCAUACUAUGUAGGCUUUAGACUUGCAUAACACCUAGUAGGUCACUUUGGAACUGGAAGCUUGGUCAGCUCGAAGGAAGGUUACUCUACUCAACUAUUGGACUUUCAGGGGGACUUGCUUUGAGUAUAUACAUUGGGAUUUUGUGCUAAUUUUGCUAAUCUAAUUUAUGAUAAGGGUGUACACCUGAAGCUUCACUUAGUUUUAUUCAGUUACAAGCUAGUCUAGGAUCUUUCCUGCGCGCGCACCUUCUCCUCCAUGCUUGUUCCUUCUUGAACUGAAGUCUUCCUCGACGGAAACCCAUCUUCCUCACCCAAAUAAGGCUUCAAAUCUGCAAUGUUUAAAGUGGGACUAAUCCCAAACUCUGCAGGAAGCUCAAGUUUAUAUGCAUUAUCAUUUAUUUUCUCUAACACCUAAAAAACGACCAUCAUCACGUGGCAUUAGCUUUGACUUUUGUAAAUCAGGAAAUCUAUCCUUUCGCAAAUGUAACCAAACAAGAUCUCGAGGUGCAAAGACAACAUGUUUUCUACCCUUAUCUCCAACAAGUUUGUAUUUAGCAUUCAUACGCUCAAUGUUUUCCUUAUGUAACAUCCCAAACUCUAGAAGGUUAUAUUAUUAAAAUUUAAUGAUUGAUUGUUUGAAUGAUUGUUUGAAAUUGAGUGAAAAUUGAAAUUUUUUGGAACUUUUAAAUGAGAGGGAAUAACAUGACUUUCCCCCUUUGUUCUUGCAUUCAAAUUCAUCCAUUUCAAAUCAUUGAGACAAGAUGACAUGACUUCUUCAAAAUAAAAGAUUUGAAAUUUUGGAUUUGAAAACUACUCAUAUUUUCCAUUUGGAAUUUAUUUCAUAAUGAGUUCUAUUUCUAUUUUAAAUUUGAAUGAAUUCAAACUUCCUUGCCAAAAUUCAAAAAAUUCUUGAGAGGAGAAAUUUGACACUCCAAACGAGGGGAAAGAUUGAAUUAUAUUUGAAUUUAAAAUGCUCAGAAAUUGUUUGGAAAAUAUUUCAUAUUGGGUUUCCAAGCCAUUCUUUAAGUGGUUUUCAAAAUUAUUUUCCUCCAAAAAUAAAAUACUUGGAAAAUAGGUUAAAAUGAUUCCCUUCAAUAUAAAAAUGGAGAAAAAUGAAUUUGCAAUCAUUUUGGUAUUUUUGAAAAUAUUGUAUUACAUUUUAAACUCAAUAGUAGCACUAUUUGAAUUAUUUGAAUCGGUCAGAAUUUUGUUUGAACUUGACAAUAUGUUCAUGUUGUAGGAAAUCUUUUUCCUGUCAUUUGGUAUACUAUAUGCCUAUAUGUGGUUUCCAUUUAUUUUCAUUUUAUUUAUUUUAUGUCUUUGUUUGAAAAUAUAAAGAAAAGGGUUUUCUGUUAAAACAAAAGGGUGAAGCCCAACAGAGCGCCCGAGGCCGAGGUCGUCGACAACCCACCUUUCGCCCACGCCUGAAAUGGCAAGCGUCCGGCCGACGAUCCCCUCGGGAAUCCUCUUCCUCUCACUAAUAUGAGGGCCCAGCCGACCGUUCCCGAGAUCCUCAUGGUCACCUUCCUCCCACGCUCCCCUUUCCUUCCAGUUGUCGGCGUCGCCGCGAUCCGUCGAUCCUCUACCAUUUAGACUCGCCCUCCUUCAUGCAAGGCCCCCAAUAAAUACCCCACCUCCCGCACUCAUUCCUCGCCCGAAGCCCUCUCUCUUACUCCCCAGCGCCCACACAAUCCCUCGCCAGAGUUAGCCACGGUUGCCUCGCCAUUACCAUGCCACCACUCCCCCUAGCCCUCCCCAACGAAUGUAGACACCUCCAUUCGCUUCGCCACUCUUGUUUGUACCUCCCCAUGCACUCGCGCGAGCUACAGAAUGAGGGAAGCUAAUCCCCCCCGACAACCACCGAAUGUCGUCGUCACUACCACGCUCGCCGCCGUCACUCCCGUACACCCCGAACUCCACAUGGACCACCAGAAGAACCGCCUUGCUUGUCCGCGUCGUUGGAGUCGUCCUCGACGUCGUAGGACCAUCGGAGCACCGCCCCGCAUUGCCUCACCGCCUCGGACAUUGUCGAAGCCUCGCCGGAGACCUCCACCAUCGCGGUAAGUCACCAGCACCAUCCUCGCCCGUCCGAUCUAGCAUCUACGGUGUAAAUUAGAUCAAGCGUACCCCUUCGGUUUAUUUAAAGAACCGGUCGGUUUUUCUUUGUUUAUUUAGACCAAAGGGUUUUCCUCCAACGUGCGGUUGUCCGCUAUUUUACACCGCGCGUGCACACCAGUAAGCCUACCAGAGCGCGCCACGUAGCCCCUGUCCGUUUAUUAGGACUUUUUCUUUUUGUGUUUGAGUUUCUUUACACAAUUAGUUCAAUUUUUAGAUUUCUUAUAUCGUUUAUGUUUUUAAGUUAUUCCUUUUCCAUUAGUUCACGAAUUUGUUUUAGUUUCUGUUAGUGCAAUUAGAUUUCAAAUUGUAUAGUUUUAAAUUUGAAUUCAAACAAAUUUUCUUCAAGCCUUCUUUUGUGGAUAACUUGAGUUUAAAAAUAGGUAUUUAGCUCAUUCUUUUUGCUACUCGUCACUUCUGACUUUAGUUAUCAUUGUGUAUAAUUUGAGGAAUUUUAGUAUAUUUUAAAUUAAGGUUGUAAGAAAACAGAAUUGUUUUAGUUCAUUUUGGGUUUAUUGUUAUUUCUUUUUAUUAUUGUUAUGCGAUCUUUAGAAGACCUAACCCGUGAUGAAUAGUCAUGUUAGAUGCGAAGAUUUGUGAGUUGUCCCUUGUGUGUCCGCUUUUCCGACAGCAAACAAAUAAAAUAUUUUUCAAAACUAUAUUGUUUGUAUGGUUAUAUUUCUCCCUCUCUCUCCAACCUUGCCUCAUUGCUGCUAAACCCAUCAGAUGCCGCCGAGAUGGAACAACACCAGGAAUAGCUCAAGGAACAAUGGACUUAGCAUAGAACAGUUACUCCAGACCCAGAACCAAAUGUUGCAACUCUUGAUGCAGAACGAGAAUGAGAACAACAACAAUAACCCGCCACCCCAAGUUGAUAACCUUACCCGCUUUCUAAAGUUGAACCCACCAGUGUUCUCUAGCAGCAUAGAGCCAAUUGUGAUAGAGGACUGGCUCCGCAAGAUAGGAAGAGAGCUGGCCACUGUAGGAUGCACAGACAGAGAGAAGGAGAUGAUUGUUGCUCACCAGUUGGAUGGACCAGCAGCUUCCUGGUGGGAGAAUUACACUGCUACAUACCCCAUGACGAAUGUAACUUGGGAUCGGCUCCAACAAGCUUUUCGCAUCGCACAUGUUACAGGUGGAGCCAUGAUUCUGAAGAAGGAGUUCCACAACCCACGCCAAGGAAGCCAUGCAGUAGCACGGUAUGUGGAUGAGUUAUGCCAGCUACCCCGCUAUGCUCCACGAGACAUAGCGACAGAUGUCGCUAAAUAUGAGAAGUUUCUGGAGGGACUGAAUUAUGAGCUGGGAAUGCAGUUGACCAUGGCUACUUUUAAUAACUAUCAAGAAUUGGUAGACAAGGCUAUCAUUCUUGAAGGCCAGCAAAUGCAGACGGAGAACCGCAAGAGAAAGUACGAACAAGGUAUAACUCUAGAGUUCAGGAGGAGCCCCGCUACACCCCGUACCUAGGAAAUUCUGGAUCAGGACCCGUGAAGUUUGGAGGACCCAAUCAUGAGAACCAUUGAGGUCAUUCUCAUCACAGAAGCAUUGGAUACCACCCUAAUGGCCGCAAGCAUGAAAAUGAAACUGGAGGAAUUGGAAAACAACGUCAUCCCAACCCAGCUGCACCAACAAAGAAAGAUAAGAGUCAUAUUACCUGUUUUGAGUGCACGAAAACGGGACAUUGUGCCAAUGAUUGUCCAGAAGAUAAGCAGAAGCCCGGAGAAUUGUUGGAACUUAACUGCUUUCUUUGUGAUGCUGUGGGGAAUUAUGCCAUUGACUGUCGAGACCCAAAGAAUGUUGGAUCUGAGUAGUUGAGAUCAUAAUGUUGGCAAUAAGUGUAAUAGGUGACACUCUCGUUUUCAUGAGAUUAUGGAGUUGAAUGUUGUAACAAAAGUUUAAGACAUUGUAAUAACUUAAUGAAUCAAUAGAAUUUAUUUUUUCAUGACUUCUUGUGUCGAAUUAUAUCAGUUGUUACUCUAUAAACAAAGAUCUCUGGCCAUUUUCGAGGAUAUGAGAAAAUACGAUCUUCACAUGCAUGUGUACAUUUCAUUUUAAGUGUGGUAGUAAUCGGUAAAACCAUAGGAAUCCAAGGAAAAAAUAAUGUACCAUAUAUGCCAAGGAGUCUGGACCAAUCAAUACAUCUGAAGCUCAUACUGGACCAUAUCAAACUGUGUGGAUGACAACAUUUGUAAUAAAGUGCUUUUGGGGAACGUGGUACAGGAAACAAAAAAAUUCCACGCAGACGCAAUACCUAUCAUGGUGAUGUCCAUCUACGAGAGGGGAUUUCCGAUCUACGUACCCUUGUAGAUCACACAACAGGAGGCGUUAAGAAAGGCGGUUGAUGUAGUGGAACGUCCUCACAUCCCUUGAUCCGCCCCACGAACCGUCCCACGAACCGUCCCGCGAUCCGUCCCACGAUCCGCUCCGAUCUGUGCCGAACGGACGGCACCUCCGCAUUCAGCACACGUACAGCGCGACAAUGAUCUCGGCCUUCUUGAUCCAGCAAGAGAUACAGAGAGGUAGAUGAGUUCUCCGGCAGCGUGACGGUGCUCCGGAGGUUGGUGGUGAUCUAUCCCAGCAGGGCUUCGCCCGAGCUCCGUGGAAAUACGAUCUAGAGGAACAACCAUGGAGGUAUGUGGUCGGACUCUCGUGGCAAAGUUGUCUCAAAUCAGCCCUAAUACCUCAGUAUAUAUAGGAGGGAGGGGGAGGGCCUUUCCUUGAGGCUCAAGGGAGCCCCAAGGGGUCGGCCGCACCAAGUGGAGAAGUCCUCCUCCUCCAAUCCUAGUCCAACUAGGAUUGGAAGGUGGAGUCCUUCCCUUCCUUCCCACUUCCCCUUUUUUCCAUUUGACUUCUUUAUCUCCUGCACAUAGGGCCUCUUGGGCUGUCCCACCAGCCCACUAAGGGCUGGUACGACACCCAUAAGGCCUAUGGGCUUUCCCCGGGUGGGCUGCCCCCCCCCCCCCCGGUGAACAUCCGGAACCCAUUCGUCACUCCCGGUACAUUCCAGGUAAUGCCCGAAAACUUUCCGGUAAUCAAAUGAGGUCAUCCUAUCUAUCAAUCUUCAUCUCCGGACCAUUCCGGAAACUCUCGUGACGUCCGUGAUCUCAUACGGGACUCCGAACAACAUUCGGUAACCAACCAUAUAACUCAAAUACACAUAAAACAUCGUCGAACCUUAAGUGUGCAGACCCUGCGGGUUCGAGAACUAUGUAGACAUGACCCGAGGGACUCCUCGCUCAAUAUCCAAUAGCGGGACCUGGAUUCCCAUAUUGGAUCCUACAUAUUCUACGAAGAUCUUAUCGAUGGAACCUCAGUGCCAAGGAUUCAUAUAAUGCCGUAUGUCAUUCCCUUUGUCCUUCGGUAUGUUACUUGCCCGAGAUUCGAUCGUCAGUAUCCGCAUACCUAUUUCAAUCUCGUUUACCGGCAAGUCUCUUCACUCGUUCCGUAAUACAAGAUCCCGUGACUUACACUAAGUCACAUUGCUUGCAAGACUUGUGUGUGAUGUUGUAUUACCGAGGGGGCCCCGAGAUACCUCUCCGUCACACGGAGUGACAAAUCCCAGUCUUGAUCCAUACUAACUCAACGGACACCUUCGAAGAUACCUGUAGAGCAUCUUUAUAGUCACCCAGUUACGUUGUGACGUUUGAUACACACAAGGCAUUCCUCCGGUGUCAGUGAGUUAUAUGAUCUCAUGGUCAUAGGAAUAAAUACUUGACACGCAAAAAACAGUAGCAACAAAAUGACACGAUCAACAUGCUACGUUCACUAGUUUGGGUCUAGUCCAUCACAUGAUUCACUCAACGAUGUGAUCCAGUUAUCAAGCAACAACAACACCUUGUACAUAGUCAGACGACCUUGACUAUCCUUGAUCAACUGGCUAGCCAACUAGAGGCUUGCUAGGGACAGUGUUUUGUCUAUGUAUCCACACAUCUAUCUAAGUCUUCAUUCAAUAUAAUUAUAGCAUGGAUAAUAAACUAUUAUUUUGAUACAGGAAUUAUAAUAAUAACUUUAUUUAUCAUUGCCUCUAGGGCAUAAUUCCAACAGUCUCCCACUUGCACUAGAGUCAAUAAUCUAGUCCUCACAUCGUCUUGCGAAUUACAUUGUAAUAAGUCUAACACCCAUACAGUUCUGGUGUUGAUCAUGCUUUGCCCGUGGAAGAGGUUUGGUCAGCGGGUCUGCCACAUUCAGAUCCGUGUGUACUUUGCAGAUAUUCACGUCCUCCUCCUCGACGUAGUCACGGAUGAGGUUGAAGCGUCGUUUGAUGUGUCUGGUCUUCUUGUGAAACCGUGGUUCCUAUGCUAAGGCAAUGGCACCCGUGUUGUCACAAAACAGGGUUAUUGGAUUCAGUGUGCUCGGCACCACUCCAAGAUCCAUCAUGAACUGCUUCAUCCAGACACCCUCCUUAGCUGCAUCCGAGGCAACCAUGUACUCUGCUUCACAUGUAGAAUCAGCUACGACGCUUUGCUUGGAACUGCACCAGCUUACCGCACCCCCAUUAAGAAUAAAUACAUAUUCGGUCUGCGACUUAGAGUCGUCCGGAUCUGUGUCAAAGCUUGCAUCGACGUAACCUUUUACGGCGAGCUCUUUGUCACCUCCAUAUACGAGAAAGAUCUCCUUAGUCCUUUUCAGGUACUUCAGGAUAUUCUUGACCGCCGUCUAGUGAUCCACUCCUGGAUUACUCCGGAACCUGCCUGCAAUAUUUAUGGCCAUGCUAAUGUCUGGUCUAGUGCACAUCAUUGCAUACAUGAUAGAACCUAUGGCUGAAGCAUAGGGGACGGUACUCAUAUGCUCUCUAUAUUUAUCAGUUGCUGGGCACUGAGUCUUACUCAAUCUCGUACCUUGUAAAACUGGCAAGAACCCCUUCUUGGACUGUUCCAUUUUGAAACUCUUUAAAACUUUAUCAAGGUACGUGCUUUGCGAAAGUCCUAUCAGGCGUUUUGAUCUAUCCCUAUUGAUCUUUAUGCCUAGAAUGUAAGCAUCUUCUCCUAGGUCCUUCGUAGAGAAACUUUUAUUUAAGUAAUCCUUUAUGCUCUCCAAAAGCUCCAUGUCGUUUCCAAUCAAUAAUAUGUCAUCCACAUAUAGUAUUAGGAACGCCACAGAGUCCCACUCACUUUCUUGUAAAUACAGGAUUCUCCAACCACCUGUAUAAACCCAAAUGCUUUGAUCACCUCAUCAAAGCGUUUAUUCCAACUCCAAGAUGCUUGCACCAGUCCAUAAAUGGAUUGCUGGAGCUUGCACACUUUGUUAGCAUUUUUAGGAUCGACAAAACCUUCGGGUUGCAUCAUAUACAACUCUUCCUUAAGGAAACCGUUAAGGAACGCCGUUUUGACAUCCAUCUGCCAGAUUUCAUAAUCGAAAAAUGCAGCUAUCGCUAACAUGAUUCGGACAGACUUAAGCAUCGCUACGGGUGAGUAUGUCUCAUCGUAGUCAAUUCCUUGAACUUGUGAAAAACCCUUUGCCACAAGUCGAGCUUUAUAAACGGUCACAUUACCGUCAGCGUCCAUCUUCUUCUUAAAGAUCCAUUUGUUCUGAAUAGCCUUGCGGCCUUCAGGUAGUACUUCCAAAGUCCACACUUUGUUUUCAUACAUAGAUCCUAUCUCGGACUUCAUGGCCUCCAGCCAUUUGUUGGAAUCCGGGCCCACCAUUGCUUCUUCAUAAUUCGCAGGCUCAUUGUUGUCCAACAACAUAAUUGAUAAGAGGGGAUUACCGUACCACUCUGGAGCAGUACGCGGUCUCGUCGACCUGCGAGGUCCUACAGUAACUUGAUCCGGAGUUUCAUGAUCAUCGUCAUUAACUUCCUCCUCAACCGGCGUCGCAACGACAGGGGUUUCCCCUUGCCCUGCGCCACCAUCUAGAGGGAUGAUAGGUUCGACAACCUCAUCAAGUUCUAUCUUCCUCCCACUCAAUUCUCUCGAGAGAAACUCCUUCUCGAGAAAAGCUUCGUUCUUAGCAACAAACACUAUGCCCUCGGAUUUGAGAUAGAAGGUAUACCCAAUUGUCUCUUUUGGGUAACCUAUGAAGACGCACUUUUCCGCUUUGGGUUACAGUUUUUCAGGCUGAUGCUUUUUGACAUAAGCAUCACAUCCCCAAACUUUAAGAAACGACAACUUUGGUCUUUUGCCAUACCACAGCUGAUAUGGUGUCGUCUCAACGGAUUUCGAUGGUGCCCUAUUUAAAGUGAAUGCAGUUGUUUCUAAUGCAUAACCCCAAAACGAUAACGGCAAAUCGGUAAGGGACAUCAUAGAUCACACCAUCUCUAAUAAAGUACGAUUACAACGUUCGGACACACCAUUACGAUGUGUGUUCCACGCGGUGUCAACUGUGAAACAAUUCCACAUUGUCUUAAGUGAGCACCAAACUCGAAACUCAGAUAUUCACCCCCACGAUCAGACCGUAGGAACUUGAUCUUCUUGUUACGAUGAUUUUCGACUUCACUCUGAAAUUGUUUGAACUUUUCAAAUGUUUCAGACUUGUGUUUCAUCAAGUAGACAUAACCAUAUCUACUCAAAUCGUCAGUGAAGGUGAGAAAAUAACGAUAUCCGCCGCGUGCCUCCACACUCAUCGGACCACACACAUCGGUAUGUAUGAUUUCCAACAAGUCACUUGCACGCUCCAUUGUUCCGAAGAACGGAGUUUUAGUCAUCUUGCCCAUGAGGCAUGGUUCGCACGUGUCAAGUGAAUCAAAAUCGGUAUGGAGUUUCUUCAUGCGCUUUACACCAAUAUGACCUAAGCGGCAGUGCCAUAAAAACAUGGCGCUAUCAUUGUUAACUCUAACUCUUUUGGUCUCAAUGUUAUGUAUAUGUGUAUUAUCACUAUCAAGAUUCAAUAUGAACAAUCCUCUUACAUUGGGUGCAUGACCAUAAAAGAUAUUACUCAUAGAAAUAGAACAACCAUUAUUCUCUGACUUAAACGAGUAACCGUCUCGCAAUAAACAAGAUCCAGAUAUAAUGUUCAUGCUUAACGCAGGCACUAAAUAACAUUUAUUUAAGUUCAUAACUAAUCCUGAUGGUAACUGAACUGAAACUGUGCCGACGGCGAUUGCAUCAACCUUGGAACCAUUUCCCAUGCGCAUCGUCACUUCAUCCUUCGCCAGCCUUCGCUUAUUCCGCAUUUCCUGUUUCGAGUUGCAAAUAUGAUCAACAUAACCGGUAUCGAAUACCCACGCACUACUACGAGAGCUGGUUAAGUACACAUCAAUAACAUGUAUAUCGAAUAUACCUGAAUUUUCUUUGGCCGCCUUCUUAUCAGCCAGAUACUUGGGGCAGUUGCGCUUCCAGUGACCCAUACCCUUGCAAUAAUAGCACUCCGUUUUAGGCUUAGGUCCAGCUUUGGGUUUCUUCGUCGAAUUCGCAACAGGCUUGCCGCUCUUCUUUGAGUUAUCCUUCUUUCCUUUGCCUUUUCUCUUGAAACUAGUGGUCUUAUUCACCAUCAACACUUGAUGCUCUUUACGGAGUUCUGACUCUGCGACUUUCAGCAUCGUGAAUAACUCAUCGGGUGACUUGUUCAUCCCUUGCAUGUUAUAGUUCAACACAAAGCCCUUAUAGCUUGGUAGCAGUGAUUGAAGAAUUUUGUCAGUGAUAGCCUCUUGCGGGAGUUCAAUCCCUAGCUUAGCUAGACAGUUUGAGUACCCACACAUUUUGAGCACAUGUUCACUGACACACGAAUUCUCCUCCAUCUUGCAAGCAUAGAAUUUAUCGAAGGUCUCAUACCUCUCGAUCGGGGCAUUCUUCUGAAACAUAAACUUCAACUCCUAGAACAUCUCAUAUGCUCCAUGAUGCUCAAAGCAACGUUGAAGUCCCGGCUCUAAGCCAUACAAGACUGCACAUUGAACUACUGAGUAGUCCUCCUUGCAUGUUAACCAAGCGUUCUUAACAUCUUGGUCAGCCGCGGCAGGUGGUUCAUCUCCUAGUGCAGCAUUAAGGACAUAAUCCUUCUUCCCAGCUUGCAGGAGCAACUUAAGAUUACGAGCCCAGUCUACAAAGUUGCUUCCAUCAUCUUUCAACUUAGCUUUCUCUAGGAACGUAUUAAAAUUUAGGGUGACUGACGCGUGAGACAUUGAUCUAGAACACAAAUAUUAGAGUUUAACUAAUCAAAUUACUUGCUAAACUCCCACUCAAAAAGUGCAUAUCGACGAAACUCCACGUUUAAUUAUUUAAUUCACUCCCGUUAAUUAUCACGUCAAUAUUACAUUGUUGUUAUCAUGGCAAGGGUGAAGCGAUGGUCCUACAAGUCAUCCUCGACGGUUAACUCGCGGAGCAAAGAACGGACGCUACGGCACAAGAGACAUGCAACACAAGAAAUAUUAUGCCAUGAAUGCGACAUGCAUGCAAGUUACAACACGGGCAAGAAGGGAAAGAAACAGGUGUCGCCACGGCGAGCGAGAGGGAACCAUGGCGGCAAAUCGGAAACGAUGCCACGGCAAUGUUCCUAUCCCGAUAACUCGUCGAGAUAUCGUGCCAACAUACUGGAAGCGUGUGCGGGAACGUUAAAUAAAGAUGGGGUGAUCCCGUAUCUCAGGUUCCCAUGUGUCGGGCACAACAUAGAGGGACAACGUGCAACGUCAAACAUACGGUGCAAUCAUACAUUACAUCUCAUACAUCACAUGCACAUGGUCACGAAACGUCUCAUCGGUAUACCUUUGACACAUGCAUAUCGGAGCGGUUCGGUUCGGUUCGGAGACCAACGGUCGUCGUGGAAGUAGUCGUACACGGUCUCGUCGACGGUAGUCGUUCGCUCGGCGUCGGAAAACGGUCUUCGGCGUCGGUAGUCGUUCGCGAAUCCGUAGAUGUCCGGGGGUCGUCGAGGACGUCGUGGUACUCGGCGAACUCAAUGUCGGUGACUCACGGCAGGCAGGGAUGGUGCACGCGGCGACAACANNNNNNNNNNNNNNNNNNNNNNNNNNNNNNNNNNNNNNNNNNNNNNNNNNNNNNNNNNNNNNNNNNNNNNNNNNNNNNNNNNNNNNNNNNNNNNNNNNNNUAUAGGAGACGCCACGCUCUCCGUCGUCUGGCUCGGGCCCGCCCAACCCCCCGAUAGUUUUAGCGGUUUCUUUGUGGUUGUUUGAUUAGAUAGGUUUGUUCAAUAUGUUGGUAUGUUAUUUUGGUCUAAUAUGAUGUGUUGUAGAUUUUAUUUAAUAAUUUAGUGUAUCAUAUGAUGUGGGCCAUGGCGUCUGGUCCCACCCAAACGCCAGGCACCCUCGCGCGUUCCUCGAAUCACUUACCUACCCAUCUUUCUCCCCCACCUCCUAUUUCUGCAUCACCCCCACCCCUCUCACCCCCCCCCCCCCCCCCCCCCCCCCCCCCCCUUGAUCUACUCCCUCCUCCAUCAAAAUCCUUAUAUCAGAGCCCCCCAAGCUUACUUGAGGUAAUCUCCCCCGAUCCCUCCAAUUUUUUUUUGUUUCAACAUCUUAUUUUGAGAGUAUUUUUGAAUAUUAGGUUAUGUUAGAUAAAUAGGUUACUUGAUAGUUUUAGCGGUUUCUUUGUGGUUGUUUGAUUAGAUAGGUUUGUUCAAUAUGUUGGUAUGUUAUUUUGGUCUAAUAUGAUGUGUUGUAGAUUUUAUUUAAUAAUUUCGUCUAUGANNNNNNNNNNNNNNNNNNNNNNNNNNNNNNNNNNNNNNNNNNNNNNNNNNNNNNNNNNNNNNNNNNNNNNNNNNNNNNNNNNNNNNNNNNNNNNNNNNNNUCUAGCAGGCAAAAGCUAGCAAAAAUCUACCUAGCAGCAGCAAAGCAAGCAAUCAACUAGCAGCAACACGCAAGCAAGCAUAGCGCAGGCAAGCAAGCUAGCAAAGCAAGCUUGCUAAGCGGCAUGCAAUAGCAGCUAACAGCAAAAGCUACCAACAACUACUAGCUAGCAAAGCAGCAGCAUCUACAGCAGCCUAACAGCAAAAGCUACGGCAACACAGCUAUGGCAACGACAAACUAGCAACCGGCUCGACAGGCUACGCAGCAGCACGCGGCAACAGCAACAAGAUCCUAUCGGCACAGCAAGCAGCAGCACGGGACAGCAACAGCAAACGCACGCACAACAACUACCUAGCGGCGGCAGGCACACCUAGCAGCAGCUAAGCUAGCUAGCUGCGGCAGCACAAGCAGCAGGACAACGGCACGCAUCGGCUAGCCAGCGCGCCGACAACAACAACGACAGCGGCAAGCAGGCACAUCUAGCAGCACAGCACACAGUAGCAACAACACACUGCAGCGGCGGCUCGGCAUAGGACGGCUCGGGCUUGUCUUCUGCAGAGAAGGCGGCCACAGUUCCUGCAGCAGCAACAGCAACAGGAGGCGAGCGAGCCACGAGGAACGAGGAGGCCACAGCGCGGCAAGACGAUGGGGCGAGCAACCGGCGGGGUACCAUGGAGAGGCGAGCACGGCGGGGCGCCAUGGGGAGUGGCGGAGACCUAGGUGGUAGUGGCGCCGGCCUUGGCCUCUCUGGUGGCUCGGUCGCAGCAGGCAGCACGGCCUCGGGACAAGAGGGAGGAAGGAACGGGGCUGGCGAGCUCGCGAGGCGGCGCACUGGCGAAGGACCUCGGCACAGGGGCGAGCCGGUGGCGGGGGGGAAGGCCAAGGGCGGCUUGGCGCUGGGCAUCUCGCAGGCGGGGCGGUGGCAGGAGGAGAGGAAGGAGGGAUCGGGACGGGCUACACAGGGGAGAAACGGGGAGAGAAGGGGAUCGAGAGGAGGGGGAUGAUGCGCCGGGGAGGACGAGAUCGGGCAAGGGUGAUCUCUAUGGCACGGGGAGGAGGCCUGGGCCUUGGCCGGCUUGGCCUCUCCCUCUCCCUAUUGUUUUUUUAAACUCUUGAAACAGAAAUUUUUAAAGAAAGAAAGGCUUAUAACAAAAAUAAAAUAUGAUAAAUGUCUUUGACCCCUUUUUGAAAAAAAUAUUCCCAACUAUAAGAAAUAGUGGGCAUUUUUAAAAGAAAAAAUACAAACCCUUUUUGAAGAAUUAAAAAUUGAAACCAUUUUUAAAAAAGAAUAAAAUAAACCUCUUUUAUUUAAAGAAUAAAAUAAAAAGCUUUAAAAGAGAAAAGAAAAUGAUACGGAUUUAAAAUAAAACAAAAGGAGGAAAAAAGAAACCCAAGGGGUUGCCCCCACACUUAAUAAAAGGGGUUUUAAAAGAAGACGCUUUUUUUAAAAGGGUUAAAACGGAAACUUUACACAACCCCAAAACAAAAUCAAAGAGAAGAGAGGAGGGGAGUGGUUCGCGGUGAAAUGGGGCUUAGCGGUGGCUCUCACGCACACACUCUCAUCAUGCCAACAAACGACGUCACACUCACAAAGCACUAACACCCAACAACACAGUAACAAGCAACACCGACAACUAACACGGAUGACAUGAUGCCAUGCAUGAUGCGAUGAUGCAAACUAAAUGAAGAUGCAACAAAUAAAACUAACCACACGACGGAAACAGAAAUAAAGGGGAAUCUUCUGGGAUGUCGUUCUCGGGCUGUCACAACUCUCCUACACUACAAGAGGAUCUCGCCUCGAGAUCCAAGAAUGAAAGGGGGAGAGGAUGAGAAAGAACAAGAGGUAAAAACUUAGUCGCUUCUUUGACAAAUGAGUGAAACCAACGAUCCUUGAAGGUUACAAAGAGAUAAUGAUAUGAGAAACAAGCAAGAAUUCACGGAAAAUUUCGACAGCACUUCGGUAGGAAAAUGGGACAAAAAAUUCGAUAAGAUGGAAGAAAUAGACAAUAUUCACAACAAACAAGUAAAUAGAACAAGGCAACACCAUGAUCUUGAUAGAACAACAUAAUAGACCCAAAAGAGCAACAUUACAAUGCCUCCGGAACAAUAGAAUAGGAACUAGCUCAUACGGAAGAAGAGAAUGAAGAGAGAAUGACAACUACUACUCCAAUGAACUUGGCAAGCAACCUUGCAAGAAGAAUUGGACGUAGUUGUUGGAAAAAAAAAACAACGAAAAGAACAAGAUAGUAGUGGGCUUAUGGAAACCUUCCAAACUAAUGAAGUGACAACCAGCCACUAACAGAAUUAAGGAUUGCUUGGGAGCAACAAGAAAUGGACACUUCUUACACCAAGAGGGUACAUUGAGAACUAGGAUUAAUGACAAGCACCAUGAUAGCAUAAUCCAUAGGAAAAGCUUUAGGUGAAAACCAAAGCAAGAUAGCUCAAUGAAGAAAUCAUGGGUAGAAAUAUCUCAUGAUCAUAGAAUUGGUGGUUUAAUUAUCUCAUUCUUGAGAGGAAAUCUCUUCGAGGCUCCUACACUAACAAGAAUGCUAUAAUACCACCUCAAAGGAUAAAGGAAGAACAAUUGCACAUAUAAAUGCAAGAGAAAGGAUACUUGAGGUUCUCCAACAAGAAUCUUGAAGAACACUUGAGAAUGGAUUGAAACCUUGAUGAACCACCAUGAAGGACCUCCGUAUAAAAAUGAAUGAAGCAAAGAUAUGAAGGUAGAAAAUAAUAAUAUUAUGACCUUGCCAAGAUUUAGNNNNNNNNNNNNNNNNNNNNNNNNNNNNNNNNNNNNNNNNNNNNNNNNNNNNNNNNNNNNNNNNNNNNNNNNNNNNNNNNNNNNNNNNNNNNNNNNNNNNCGGCAGCCCGACCACAUAUCUCCACGGUUUUACCUCUAGAUCGCGUUUCUGCAAAGCUCGGGCGGAGCCCUGCCGAGACAAGAUCAUCACCAACCUCCGGAGUGUCGUCACGCUGCCGGAGAACUCUUCUACAUCUCUGUCUCUCUUGCUGGAUCAAGAAGGCCGAGAUCAUCGUCGAGCUGUACGUGUGCUGAACGCGGAGGUGCCGUCCGUUCGGCACUAGAUCAUGGGACUGAUCGCGGGACGAUUCGCGGGGCGGAUCGAGGGACGUGAGGACGUUCCACUACAUCAACCGUGUUCACUAACGCUUCUGUUGUACGGUCUACAAGGGUACGUAGAUCACACAUCCCCUCUCAUAGAUGGACAUCACCAUGAUAGGUCUUCGUGCGCGUAGGAAAAUUUUUGUUUCCCAUGCGACGUUCCCCAACAGUUCGGUGACCGCCCUCAAGGGUCCCUUAGUGGAAUCACGACAUCUUGCAUUGUGCGAGGGCGUGAGGAGAUUAUGGUGGCCUUAGUUGCAUCUUGGGGAGCAUUGUGCCUCUACACCGCUCCAACGGAGAUUAGCAUCCGCAAGGGUGUGAACUUCGGGAUACAUCAUCGUCUCCGUGUGCCUCGGUUAUCUCUUACCCGAACCCUUUACUUAUGCACUUUACUUUGUGAUAGCCAUGUUUCUUGUCAUAUAUCUUGCUAUCACUUAGUUGUUUAUCUUGCUUAGCAUAAGUUAUUGGUGCACAUAGUUGAGCCUAGUUGUUUUAGGUUUUGUGCUUGACAAAUUAAACGUUAAUUUUAUUCCGCAUUUGUUCAAGCCUAAACCGUAAUUAUUUUAAAGCGCCUAUUCACCCCCCCCCUCUAGGCAACAUCCACGUCCUUUCACACUGCACCAGUUGCGUUGACAGGCCAACGCACCCUUGAUCAGUUAAACGCUCUCGAGCCUGAUCCUUUGCGUCCAGGGUAUAUCAAAGGGUAUAAUACGAAACACGCCUGAACUCACAAGUCAUGCUUAUGGGAUCUGCCUUACUUCAAAGACCUCCUUUGCCCACACAACAUAGACGUGAUGCACACUGAAAAGAAUAUUGCGGAGGCCAUUUUUGGUAUAUUGUUCGGCAUAGAGGGGAAGUCAAAGGAUAAUCCUAAGGCUAGAAUCGACCAGGAGGCUCUAUGUGAUAGACCGUUACAAAACUUGCGACAACGGGAAGGAAAGCAAAGCAUAGCGAAGCCAAAGGCAUGGUUCAAUCUUGAAAGGCCAGCUAUGAGGGAAAUGCUAUUGUGGGUGAAAAUGCAGUUGAUGUUCCCCGAUGGGUAUGUUGCGAAUCUAAAGAGGGGAGCGAGUCUUGAGAAACUGAAAAUAUUUGGUCUCAAGAGUCAUGAUUGACACAUAUGGAUUGAGCGGGUAAUGCCGGUGAUGUUGCGUGGAUUUAUCCGUGAGGAUAAAUGGCUAGUACUCGCAGAGCUGAGCUAUUUCUUCCAUUCUCUUUGUGCGAAAGAACUAUCGCCUGGUGUGCUAGAUGAAAUGGAAGAGUUGGUGGCGGAGUUGAUCUGCAAAUUAGAAAAGAUCUUUCCACCGGGCUUCUUGAAUCCAAUGCAGCAUUUGAUUUUGCAUGUCCCGACCGAGGCAAGAUUGGGGGGCCCGUUCAAAAUAGAUGGUGCUUCUCACGUGAGAGGAUGCAGAAGACGCUUCGAGCUAAAUGUAAAAAUAAAUGUAGAAUUGAAGCAUCGAUGGCCGAGGCAUUCAUUACUUAGGAGGCGGCAAACUUCGUGACAACACAGUAUGAAGCCAAAAAUCAUCAUUUGCAUAACCCGAAGCCUCGGUACAAUGAUGGCGAUCCUAAAAAAGGUCGAUCCAACCUCAGCCUAUUCAAAGGGAAGCUCGCACCAUCCGGUGCUUCGAAAGGGAAAUUGUUGGAUGUCGAAGAAUGGCGGACCAUUUCAUUGUAUAUCUUCACCAACCUAACAGAAGUGCGGCUGUACAUCGAGUAAGUUCUCGGUAAAUUAUUGUUCCGCGACUUCUAAUUCCUUUGAACUGCUCUUAUUCCCGGAUAUUUGAUAUAGUCGAUACGUCGCUGAAUUCUCGGAUGGAGCGGUCAUCGAAAAGGAUUCCGUCGAAUAGUAUGAGCUUCUCGCAAAGCAUGGAGGCGACUAUCUCGGUUUCAUCUCUUGGUUCAAACAAAGGGUAAUUAAUUACCAUUAAUGGGCCAUUUGAUUUCUUGGUCUAAUUUGAGGCUAAUGCAUCCAUUCUUUCAUAUUAAACUUGUAGGAUGAUGUAGAGUCUAUGGACGCCAAGUUGAGACAAGUCGCUAACAGUUUUGACUAUAAGGUUCGUUCAUUUGACAAAUACAACAUCAACGAGUAUCACUUUCGUACCUUUGGCUAAGAACUAUCUAUGCCUGACCUAAAGACUACAAAUUGUUUUGUCUUUGCUAUCGGCGAAGGAGGUACCGAUUAUUAUGGAAGAGUUGAAGCAAUUUAUGAACUUCUAUUCUAUGGUGAAAACCCACCAACCGUCGUAGUCUUCAAAUGUUAUUGGUUUGAGCUAAGGGAGACUAGAAGGACUCAUGAACAUAUAGGACUAUUGGAAAUCAACCAAAACACCCACUUAGAUGUUAUCGAUGUCUAUAUUACGGCUCAACAGGUGACACAAGUUUUAUAUCUACCGUGGGCCUGCCAAACUGAUCCAAAUAUGAAAGGUUGGGAUGUCGUUUAUGAAGUGUCGCCAUGUUUUAGACCACCUACCCUCAAUGAAGAGGAUUACGAACCUCACAUUAACCCAGACACAUAUGAAGGAUAAUUCUUCCAAGAAACACGUAUGUCCAAGAAAUGUUUCAAGAACUGCUCUACUUCACCCCAGAACAUUGAAGUAGACAGCGAUAGUGAAUCCGUCUUAACCCCUGAGCCCGAACAGGAAGAGUCGGAAGAAGAAGAGGUUACUACUGCGGAUGACCUGUCACUUCUUGACCGAUUACAUAAUGGUGGCCUUCCACAUGUUCUUCCUGAUAGUGAUGAUGAUGUAGCAUUUAUUGAUGAUAGUGAUGAUCAAGAUGCAUUUAUUGACCCCGAAGCAUAUAUAGACGAGCACGAUUGUUAUUAGUUCAUGUCAGGUAUUCAACUAUUACUAUAUAUACAUAUAUAAAUUUUUAGUUCAUGUUAGGUAUUCAUUUUUUAUUAGUCAUGUUGGUAUUUAUGAUGAUGAUACACUUAAAUUAUAUACAUUUUAUUACUCAUGUUGGCAUUUAUGUUGUACUAAUUAAUUUCAUUUACUCUUUGUCAUGGCAGGUGUUGAAAGAUGGUGGAAAAGGGUCGAAAGCAUUCAACGGAUCCUUCUUCGUCGGCGGGUGGUGGGAUGGAUACUUCCAUUCCUGCCUCGCCUCUCCGGAGAGUGUUGCUCUCUACUCUGCAUGGAGUGGUCGCUUCUUCGACUCCUGCAGCCCCCGUGAGAGGAGGUCGACCCCCCAUGAAGUCGAGAGGUACUAAAGGUACACAUGGCCGCAGGAGAGGUAGGGUGGCUGCCACGCCUUCCUCGCCGCCACCCCUAGCUGAUUCACCUGAGCACAGGACUACUAGGGUGGACCCGUCUGAGGUGGAGGCUACACGGUCUCCGGUUCACAAUCCUCAGGUCGAGGAGCCUUCGACCCACGAGACUCGUGUCCCAGAGGCUUCGUUCCAGGAGACUUCGGAGCAAAGCAGGGAUGAGAGUACGUCCCAAGAGUGGGAUACAUGGACUGAUCUAGGGCAGUCGGAGCCAACUGGCCAUGCUGAUAGCGACGAGGAGCUGGGUGAGGGGGCCACCCUGUACCAGCGUGGUAGUUCGGGGCUCCCGCUCGUGCCAGCAACCCGCGAGCAGAGGUGGUCGAUUAAGCCAAAUGGGGACAAGUUAAUUUACUCUUAUUUAACCUUUUGCCUUGACGUUUUCUCAAAUAUCUAAUGUUCUGGCUUUAAUUUUUCAUACUGCAGGUGUUGGAUUGUUGCCAAGGGUCUCCGCAAGCCCAACAACGUCCUUGUUGUGAUUUGCUAGCAAAACUUCCCGAGGUUUGUUACGUUGCCCGGUCGGGAGCGAGAGGUAGAAAUGACCUGGGAGCACUACUUGGGUGCCCCGACCCCCGGUAGGUGUGCCACACCAUUAAGGGAGCGUCAACUUAAUCCAAUUUGGCGAGAACUGGGUGUGUGGUUUGCUUCAUGACUCAUGCAAUUCAUUCUUAAUGCUAGCUUGGUCCCUUUACUAAUACAUUUUUCCUCUCUCUCUCUUUUAGGCGCGUCACAAUAAGACGGAGGUACCACAGAUGUACGACCUCGAUGCGUUGUCCCAUACUGCCUCGUACAAGAAGGUCAAGGCAUUCUCUGAGUCUGACCUCGAGCAUCCUGAAAACUUCACCAACAUCUCCUCCCACCACAAGCUCGUGAAGUACAGAGAUCACGGGAAGGCGAGGAAAGGGGAGGACUUUAACCCGAGCCAGGGGCCUAUUGAUCCAGAGCUGGUGAUGAUAGCUCGCAACGGGAGGCCCCAUGGCUCGAUCGCCGUCAGAGACGGCCUUAUACGUUGUCCUAGCACUCUCCGGCAAAUAAAGGCACGCCAAACAAGCUCCUGUCCUGAGAUAACACCUUGUCCACGGCCAGUCGAGCUCGCCAUCGAGGUUAGUUUAAUGGACUCAACUAUCUUUCCGCAUUACGUUGUGUGUGCGAACCAAUAUGAUUACAAUGCUAACAAUGAGUUGUGUUGCAGGCUGCUAUUCUGAAAGAGAGAGAGGCAAUGCAGGCGCUUUUGGCGGAGAAGGAUAAGGAGAUGAAGGAGCGGGAGGAGAGGAUGGCUACGUUGGAGGAGGCGGAAAGGGCAUGGAAUGAUGCGUCUAACAGGGCGAUGUAAGAGCUUAUCGUGGUAAGUUUCUUAUUCAUAUUUGUCAAAUCUUGCAUUUUAAUGUGCGUUUCAUUAAUAAUUAAAAAGUUUGACUUGUCGAAACCAAAUGUACAGUCUAUGUGCGAGAAGACCGGCCACGUCCCUCCCGGAAUGCCAGUCAUUAAAAUGGCGGGGACGGUUAGUUUCAUUUCAAUGCAGUGAUCUUUUGAGUGUCAUCAUGAUAACGACACAUUGCAAACGAUGUUUGGUGCAGAAUAUCUCCCAAAACGCAUCGCACGACCCUUCUACAGUGGAGCCUUCUCCAGGGCAGCCUUCUCGAGGUGAAACAAGCCAGAGCCACCAUGCUUCACCGCCGUGAUGACGAGAAUGGUAUGUUUUUUCUAGUGUUUUGCUUAACAACCGCAUAAUGAUCUUUACUUACCUUACCUUAGCUCCAAAAUGACAUAUUUUACCCAAGUUAGCUCUAGAAUGACCUAUACUUGGCUUGGCUUCCACCUAAAUGACAUAAUUAGCUUAGUUAGCUCCAAAAUGGCCUAUUUGAUAAAAAAAAUGACCUAUACUUAGCUAAGUUCUCUCCUAAAUGACAUAAUUAGCUUAGUUAGCUCCAAAAUGGCCUAUUUGAUAAAAAAAAUGACCUAUACUUAGCUAAGUUCUCUCCUAAAUGACAUAAUAAGCUUAUGUAGCUCCAAGAUGACCUAUUCCCCCUAACUUAGCUAUUAAAUGGCCUAUAAUUAGCUUAGUUAGCUACAAAAUGGCUUAAUAAGCAUAGUUAGCUUUAAAAUGACAUAUUUUACCCAAGUUAGCUCUAGAAUGACCUAUACUUAGCUUGGCUUCGACCUAAAUGACAUAAUUAACUUACUUAGCUCCAAAAUGGCCUAUUUAAUAAAAAAAUGACCUAUACUUAGCUAAGUUCUCUCCUAAAUGACAUAAUAAGCUUAUGUAGCUCCAAGAUGACCUAUUCCCCCUAACUUAGCUAUUAAAUGGCCUAGAAUUAGCAUAGUUAGCUUCAAAAUGACAUAUUUUACCCGAUCCUGAUUAUCCCAAAACCCAAUGUGAGUUUUUUCUAUUUUUACAUACUCCCCCGCCACGAGCUAACGAGUUAGCUCUAGAAUGACCUAUACUUAGCUUGGCUUCCACCUAAAUGACAUAAUUAGCUUAGUUAGCUCCAAAUUGGUCUAUUUAAUAAAAAAUGACCUAUACUUAGCUAAGUUCUCUCCUAAAUGACAUAAUAAGCUUAUGUAGCUCCAAGAUGACCUAUUCCCCCUAACUUAGCUAUUAAAUGGCCUAUAAUUAGCUUAGUUAGCUACAAAAAGGCUUAAUAAGCAUAGUUAGCUCCAAAAUGACAUAUUUUACCCAAGUUAGCUCUAGAAUGACCUAUACUUAGCCUGGCUUCCACCUAAAUGACAUAAUUAGCUCAGUUAGAUCCAAAAUGGCCUAUUUAAUAAAAAAAUUGACAUAUACUUAGCUAAGUUCUCUCCUAAAUGACAUAAUAAGCUUAUGUAGCUCCAAGAUGACCUAUUCCCCCCUAACUUAGCUAUUAAAUGGACUAUAAUUAGCUUAGUUAGCUAAAAAAUGGCUUAAUAAGCAUAGUUAGCUCCAAAAUGACAUAUUUUACCCAAGUUAGCUCUAGAAUGACCUAUACUUAGCUUGGCUUCCACGUAAAUGACGUAAUUAACUUAGUUAGCUCCAAAAUGACAUAUUUUACCCAAGUUAGCUCUAGAAUGACCUAUACUUAGCUUGGCUUCCACGUAAAUGACGUAAUUAACUUAGUUAGCUCCAAAAUGGACUAUUUAAUAAAAAAUAACAUAUACUUAGCUAAGUUUUCUCCUAAAUGACAUAAAAUGCUUAUGUAGCUCCAAGAUGACCCAUUCCCCCUAAGUUAGCUAUUCAAUGACCUAUAAUUAGCUUAGUUAGCUCCAAAAUGGCUUAAUAAGCAUUGUUAGCUCCUAAAUACCUAUUUUUACCUAAGUAGCUCCAAAAUGACAUAUACUUAGCUUAGUUUCGUCCUAAAUGAUGUAGUAAACUAAAUUAGCUCCGAAAUGACCUAUACUUCUCUUCUUCAUCUAGUCUUCUUCUUCUAACUUACUUAUUUCCCAUUUUGCAGAUUACAUUCACUUCACGGAAGUUUGGAUUGAUGGAGUGCUUCAAUAUGGUUUCUUCUAAAAUGGCGUCACGAAAGCUUGGAUUGAAACUAUUGUAAUAUAUGGAUAUGAAACUUUGUAUGUAUGGAUGAAACUAGUGUAAUAUAUGGUUUUGGUACGGAUGAAACUUGCAUAAUAUGUAUGUAUUAUGGAUGAAACUUAUUUUAAUAUGGUUAUCAGUAUGGCAACACAACAUUAUUUAUGUCAUAUAUAUAUAUGAUUUAUGUGAAAAUUGCUGGAUAUAAUAAAAAAUAAAAUAAACAGGGGCAGUUUGGAGCCUUUGCCGUCCGCCCACCGACGGCAAAGGGGUUGCAGCAAACGACAAAGGGUCCAAAGCCCUGGGCUGAAGAAGACUGGGUGCCCCCUUUGUCGUCAGCCCACUAGCAUGGCAGACGGCAAAGGGGGCAAGGGCAGACGACAAAGGGUCUGAAGCCCUGGGCUGUAGCAGAAUGGGUGCCCCCUUUGCCGUCAGCCCACAAGCAUAGCAGGCGGCAAAGGGGGGCAUGGCAGAUGGCAAAGGGUCUGUGGGCCCAACAGGCUGCCGUUAACACUUGACGGAGGUGCCCCACGGAUCUGCCGUCCCAUGUUCUCUGCCGUAUGCCCCCCACGGCAAAGGUUCUUUGCCAUCCGCAGGACCAAUGCAGACGGCAAAGAACCCCUUCACCAGAUUUUUCUUUGCCGUCCAUUUUGUCGUCUGCAGACGGACGGCAAAGGCCUUCGCCGUCCGGGGUGCUUCCCUUUGCCGUCAGCCAUGGCAGACGGCAAAGUCUUUGAUUCCUGUAGUGAUGGAUCAUUCAAGACUAGAAGCUUCCAUGUGCAGCCGCAAGCUAUUAUGGGCUCCAGCAUAGUUGUGUACUCCAGAAAUACUGUGUCUCGGUCAUCCUAUUCUCAAACACCAUGUAGUGUGAGGACUUCAAGGGAGGUGAUCGAGUCUUGCGGGAAAAGUGUGGAAACCUCUGUAGAGUGUUAAACUAACCGAUUAGUCGUGUCCCCGGUUACGGACAAUUUGAGCGACUAGAAUUGGAUUAUCUAGAUAUUCUCAACACUUGAUACAUUAAAUGAACAUGGGAUUAUUGACAACCUUGGGUUAUGAGAAUUUGGUUGGUGGAACCAUCUCUUUAGUUACACCAUCUUUGUAGAAAGAAAUCUGAUUUAACUUUGAUUUAGGACAAAACUGGCUUUUAUGCAAAAAAAACUCAGACAUAGAGCCUCCACUGCCAUAUUGCAUAUAGUGAUAGACUUAUUUUCAUCUCCCUUUAUAUGUGAUCUUGCCAGUACUUUCAAUGUAUUAACCUACAUGGCUCCAACGUAUUAUGUUGUAGAUAUUCAUACGAUGAGUAAGAGUACGACUUAGGGUUACGGUUUACACUCAACCUGUCGUUGGUGUUUAUUGGGACUCCGCUCCCGUUGACUGUUUCUGCUGAGAAAGAGGUGUAUAUCAUUAUUGCGUUAUUUACACGUGAUUGCACUUUGAGAUAUACAUUGAUGUAUUGUGUGUGCCAACAUACUGAUCCAGGGAUGGCAGAGAGACAUAGAGGCUUGACUCGUUUUGAUUUGGGUCACUACACCUUAGUUACUUCAUGCAUUUUUAAGAUCAAUUCAGCAUGUUGUUAGCUUCAAAAUUAACCUUCUUCGAAGAUGGGAGAGACAACAAAUCAAUAGGUGCACGAGGUAGGAAACCAUACAAAAUUUCAAAAGGGCUCAUCUUAGUAGUAGAAUGCAACGAACGAUUAUAAGCAAAUUCAAUAUGAGGCAAGCAAUCUUCCCACAUUUUCAAGUUAUUCUUCAAAACAACCCUAAGCAUAGUAGACAAUGAUCUAUUGACUACUUUAGUUUGUCCAUCAAUUUGGGGUGACAUGUAGUACUUAAAAGCAGUUUAGUCCCCAACUUAGCCUAUAAACAUCUCCAAAAAUGGAUAAGGAAUUUAGCAUCACAGUCUGAAACAAUUGUAUUUAGCACAUGAUGCAAGCGAGUAAUAUCACAAAAGAAAAAUCAGCAACAUUAGCGGCAUCAUCACUUUUAUGACAUGGUAUAAAGUCUGUCAUUUUAGAAAAUCUAUCCUCGAAAACAAAUAUGCUAUUCGUCCCCUUCAUUGUUCGAGGUAAACCUAAAAUAAAGUCCAUAGAUGUAUCCUCCCAAGGAACACUAGGUACAGGCAAAGGCAUAUAUAAACCAUGAGGAUUGAGUCAUGACUUAGCUUUUUGACAUGUAGUGCAGCGAGCAACAAAACGCUCCACAUCCCGUCUCAUAUUUGGCCAAAAUAAAUGUGUAGCAAGUACGCCCUCUGUCUUUUUCAUGUCAAAGUGCCCCAUUAAUCCUCCUCUGUGCGCCUCCCGCAACAACAAAAGACAAACAGAGCUACCUGGAAUGCACAACUUGUUAGCACGGAACACAAAUCCAUCAUGAAUGACGAACUUGUUCCAUGUUCUCCCUUCUUUACAAUUAUGCAACACAUCUUUAAAUUUUACAUCAUGCACAUAUUGAUCUUUGAUGGUAUCCAAACCAAAUAUUUUAAAGUCAAGUUGUUAAAGUAAAGUAUAGCGAUGAGACAAUGCAUCGGCAAUAAAAUUUUAUUUUCCCUUCUUGUGUUUUAUGACAUAAGGGAAAGUUUCAAUGAAUUCAACCCAUUUAGCAUGUCUACGGUUCAUUUUUGCUUGACUUCUAAUAUGUUUCAAAGAUUCAUGAUCAAAAUGUAUAACAAAUUCUUUGGGCCAUAAAUAAUGUUGCCAUGUUUCCAAAGUCCGAACAACACGUAAAUGUUUCAAGUGUUCCUCCAAGGAUCUACUACAAAUCAAUAUAUCAUCAAAAUAGACUACCACAAUUCGUCCAAUGAAAGCACGUAAAACCUCCUUCAUUAAUCUAAUGAAAGUACUAGGUGCAUUAGUUAACCCAAAAGGCAUGACUAACCACUCAUAUAAUCUAAAGUUAGUUUUAGAUGCUCUUUUCCAUUCAUCCCCCAAUUUCAUAUGAAUUUGAUGGUAUACACUACGCAUAUCAACUUUGGAGGAAAUUGUAGAGCCACUUAAUUCAUCAAGCAUAUCAUCUAACCUGGGAAUAGGAUGAUGAUAAUGAAUAGUAAUAUUAUUAAUGCCUCUACGAUCAACACGGAUACGCGAUGUACCAUCCUUUUUCGGCACUAGGAUAAUAGGAACAAGACAAGGACUAAGGGAUUCUCAUAUAUAACCUUUGUCAAGCAACUCCUGUACUUGACACAUAAUUUCCUUCGUCUCCUCUGGAUUUGUACGGUAUGGAGCACGGGUGGGUAGUGAUGCACCGGGAAUUAAGUCAACUUGAUGCUCAAUCCCUCUAACAGGUGGUAAUCACGGGGGUACGUCUUGUGUAAAGACGUGUGCGAACUCCUCAAAAUGUUAAUUACAACAAAAGUCAAAGAGGGAGGCAUGUCCUCGAAUGAAAAUAAUACCUCUUUGCAUAUGAAAGCAUAGCAAACAACUAUAGUAACAUCCAAAUCAGUAAUAUCAGAUUUAUUCGCAAGUAAACAACCACUCUUCAGUUUUAUUUCAGAUGCAACACUAGAUGAUGGUUUAUUAGGCUUAUUGUGUUGCUCAAAUUCCUUUGCCGCAAUCUGAUUUUCACUCUCAUUUUGCUCUUGUUUUGCUUUACUAGCUCUAGCAAUGUCAUCUUUCAUAAUAUGUUUAGGAGACAUAGGAAGCAAAGUUAUAUUUUUAUCCUUAUGAACAAGAGUAUAUUGAUUUGUCCUACCAUGGUGUACAUAUUUUUUAUUUAUCAAAUUGCCAUGGUCUACCAAGUAAAUCGGAGCAUGCUUGCAUGGGUACCACAUCACAAUCAGCACCAUCAAAAUAUGUAGCAAUGCUAAAGUGCACACGAACAAUACGUGUUACCUUAACCUUGCCACUGUUGUUGAACCAUUGGAUGUAAUAUGGAUGAGGAUGUGCUCUGGUGGUUAGAGACAACUUCUUCACCAUCUCCAUGCUAGUCAAGUUGUUGCAACUCCCUCCAUCGAUGAUUAUCCGAACAUAACGUUCCUUCACUACUCCCUUUGUAUGGAACAAGUUGUGGCUCUGAUUUUUCUUAGCAUGUGUUACUUGCACACUUAAAACACAUUGAGCGACUAAACUUUCAUACCCGUCGGCGUAGUCAGCAACCAUGUAGUGUGUCUCUUGUUGAGUCUCAUCAACACCCUGUUCUUCACUUGCAGUAAGAGGCAGAGUCUCCUCAUUAUAAUCACUAGCAGAGUAAUAUGCACCAUCCUAAGUAACAAUCAUGACACGCUUGGACGGGGCUGUCUCUCGCAUAGUGACCUCCACCCAGGCAACGGCGACAUAUAACCUCAUGUGUUCUCCCUAUUGAUGCAAUGGAUGAAGAAGAGCUCUAUGCAGACCCGGAAGGUGUGCUCUUGGCGGAGGGUGGGCAUGUGCCUGUUUCCUGGUAUGUCAGUUGGAGUUGAUUGCUGAAGUAGGUGGUGCUGCAACAGGAUGUGUGGAAGUAGAUGAGGUACGUGGCGUCCAUGAUGAAGUGCAACCUAUAGAAAAAUUAGUUAUGGCCAAUGCUUGUCGAUCCUGCACUUCAUGUUCAGCUUUGCAAGCAAUAUGGAAUAAACGAGUGAUAGUGUUGUACUCUUUAUAUUAUAAAAUAAUAUGAAUAUCUCUAUUUAAUUCACCCCUAAAACGUGCAAGCAUAGCUUCAUUGUCCUCAACAAUACCACAUCUAACCAUGCCAGUUUGUAAUUCCUCACAAUAUUCUUCUAUAAAAUUCUUUCCUUGUCUUAAAUGCUGCAAUUUUGAAGUGAUUCACGUUGAUAAUAUGGAGGAACCCAACGAGUACGCAUAGCUGUUUUCAAAGCAGGACAAGUAGUUGGUAUAUUAGCAUGAUGUAUUCUACAAUGUUCAGACCACCAAACACAAGUAAAACUAGUGAAUGAACAAACAACGAAAUCAACACGUCUAUCAUCAGGAAAUUGUAAGCAUGUAAAACGUUGCUCUGUUUCUAACUCCCAAGUAAGAUAUAUAUCAGGAACAUAUAUACCAUCAAAUGUAGGAAUAUUCAAUUUAAGUUUAGGGAUAUGGUCAUGAUCCCGUACCUGAGGAGGUGGUGCAACCCUACCAUUGCGAUUGUAUCCAUGUGGACGACACGGUUCUUGUGGUGGUGGAUGUUGUCCCCGGUGCUGAUUUGGAGCAACCUCUCCGUCAUCAUCGUAAUCACCAUCAUAAUCCUCAUUCUGCUCAACUACAGUAGCAGCAGCAUCCACGGAAACCACAGUAGUAGCAGCAGGAGCAACAACACCAGGGUUCUGGACUUGGCCGGCAGGCACACGUCGCGCUCGUCCCACACAAUUCUGGCCUUGUUCCUGUCGUUGUUGUUUUUGUUGGACUGAGACGGAAGCUGCAGCUGGUGGUGGUAGACGGGCAAGCACCUCAUUGAACUUGGCGUCCAUCCUGGUGUCGAAUGUCUUAUCCAAACUGUCUAUCUUCUCCAUGGCCUCUCCAAGGCUAGUCAUGAAGUCUUUUACCUGGUCAGCCAUAAUUUGCUGAAAUUUAUCAUGGAGAUCCUGGUUGGUCAGGCUCUCCCAGUUGAUCUCGUCGGCUUGUGAUCCUGGCAUUGUUAGUAGCAAUAGGAACAUAGAAUAAUAUGAACCUACAGACUACUAACAAGUGUUGUUGGUGGUGGUGUGUCAUAAAUCCGUCAAGCAAAUCUGAAAUUCUUACCAGUUCUUACCCGCCAGCAGGUGGUGAUCGGUAACCAUUGUAGUCAAAACUCUCAAAGCUUGGAUAAAGCGAUUGUCAGGUGGUGUCAAACACACGAUGUAGAUGUAUGUGGAGCUAGGAAGUUUUAUAAUAUGGUAGCAAAAAGAAUCAACAAUAAUCAGUUCAAAGAUGCAAAGUUGAAAGGACGCUCAAUGAAGGUACCGUGCUGGUCCUAGGCUAGACUGUACUAGAGACGCGAGCCUAGAACACCAAUAAAAUCAUGACGCUACACGUAAUCAAGGGAAGAGCCACUCUGUUUUUUUUUCGUCUUUUUGUGCUCUUUUUUCUCUCUAGAAAAUCACUAUAAUGGCGAGUAUCUCAAAACUCUUCCAAUUUUUUUGACUAUUCGUUUCCGGGAGCGAUUCGGGGCUGCAACGACCAAAAAUUGCAACAAAAAAUCGCUAUGAUGGCGAGUGUCUCAAAACACUCUGGAAAGCCUAAGACAGUAUAGGGAAAAAAUAUUUUCAUCCGUUGAAAUUUUAGCCUAAAAACUUGUAGUGCCCCAAGUGUAAAGUUUUCCCUUUUCGCAACCUUCCAUGUGGGACCACCUUGACAUUGAUAUGAGAGAGUCCCUUUGCCUGUAUGAUUUCAUGUGUCUCUUAUUUUUUGUCUCCCUUGCAUGCAUGCAUACCAUAAUGUUUCAUGCCAUGUGUUCUUGUUGUGAUUGCUUGUGAUCUUGCUAGGUGUGAUUUUGUGAAUUCAUGUGUUGAGGCACUUGUGAUGAUGUGGUGUGAAGUAGUGAAGUGUGGUGCUUGGCAUUAUUUUCAAACCCCCUUGUUUAGUUUCAAACCUUUUUUCUCUUUUUCUCCCAAGUUCAAAUCCUAUUUGCUCCUAUGUUGUGUUAAAAAUGUUACACCUUUAGAGCAUUUUAGUUGGAGUGUGGGCAUGUAGGAGAGGGGUUUUUAAAACCUAUUUUGUUUGGGGUUUUCCUUUAUUUCAGAUUAUUUAAAUCUGAUUGGCAAUUAUUUUUAGUUGCCCAAAUAGCCAUUUUGGUAUGUUAUUUAUUUGGGGUAUAAUUCCCUUAUGCCCAGGGAUAUUUUAUCUCUAUUUUUUUAUGCCUUAGUUUUUCCUAGAAAUAUUAGUUUCUGUCAUGUUGUUUGUAUAUUAGAGAGGGCCAGGUUUCCCUCUUUCUCUCAAACCUUCGCAGCAGCAGCCCAACUCCUCCCAGGCCCAAUAACCCUUCGCAGCACAGCAGCCCAGCGCCGUUCCUCUCCUACCUCCCGUCGACGUCACCUUGUACGACCAUGGCUCGACCUCCCGAUCGCCUCCCCCCAAUCCAGCGGCUCAUGCGCGUCCCCCGAGGUGUUUUAAGCUGCAGGAACCCUCCUCCGUACCUAGGGUUCCCUCUCCUUCCUCCAGUGCGCCGCCAUCUUCCUCCUUCUCUCUAACCCCCCCUCCUGGUAAGGUCUGUAGCUAGGACAGAGAAGGAGCUUGUCGCCGAUCGCCGCCCCCAUCGUCGUCCAGCACCGGCGGCCAUGUCUGGGGGCUCGGGGAAGGCGCCCGCGCUCCAUUCCCGCCAUCGUUGAGGUCGAGGGGCGACCACAACGACGGGCAGAAGCUCGUCACCGGCGUGUUCCCGGCGAACUCCCUCCCUGCUUCGGUUCUGCACACACGUCGACAUCUUCGUCAGAUCUUCCCCGGUUCUUCUUCAGGCUGCCUCUUCGAUCGAUCCUCUCCCUCCUUCCCCUUGGUGAGCCUAGAUCCCCCUUAGUUUUCCCCGCGGUAGUGUGCAGAAGAGCUCGUGGCCGAGCCUCUCAGAUCGGCAGGACCGUGGCUGUGUAGAGUUGUGUUGUGCUCGGCUCGACGUGCAGAGGGAGUCAGCUUCCCAAGCGGCUGUAGAUGUGGUGCACGUGUCCCGUAGAGCAGCAGUAGCCGAUUAGAGGUGCUCCGGCGAAGUCACUGUCCUCGGAUCACCGUGUAGAGCAGGGCAGGACAUCGCGGUAGAUGUGUGUGCGUGCAUGCAGCUUGAGUGUUGCUCGUGUAGAGCAGAGUUGGCGCGGGCGAGCAACGCGCAGCAGUGCUGUAGUUGGCAUAGAGGUACCCCUCGUGGUGCAGCAGCAGUGCAGAGAAGCCACGGCGGCCUUCCUGUCGCCGGUGCAUCUCGGUGCAGAGCAUAGUACGCGGAAGAGGCAGAAUACUUUGCAAACUACCUUUAUCUGUCAAGCUUCCAUAACGUAGCGCAGUGGUGUGUGCCUGUGUUUGAAACCGGGAGAUGCAGGGAUCGAAUCCCCCUGGCGCAACCCCCCUUUUUUUAGUUUCCUUUCGGCAGCAGUAGCAUUUGCAUCAGCGGGGCAGUUUUACCUGCUUAGUUAUCUUACCCUGUCGAGCUAGCGCAUGGUAGCAGGGUGGUUUGCUCCACAGGGCAGUACCAGGGGCACCUGGGAUCGAAUCCCAGGCCUGCCCAUUUUUUCCCCUUUCCUUGCUCCUUUUAUUUUCUUUCCCUUGCUGUUGAUUUUUAUGCAACCCCAUGCUCUUUGUAGACCUGUAGUUUUUCUACACAUGUAGGUUGGGAAUUACCCCCUCUCAUAAUCUGCUUGGAAGUUUGUGUGCUGCUAGUUAUGAUCCAUGUUGAUGCAUUGUGAGUGAAGGAGAUGUAUUUAGUAGAUGAGGUUGUGCUGGUCAUUGUGUUGUGAUCUAGCCUUAGUUCAGUGCUAGGAAUUUGGACCUGAUAUGUUUGUGAAGCUCCCUGUCAAAUUUCAUCUCAUUUGGAGUCCUGUAGGUUCUGUUUGGGUUGCUGUCAAAAAGCUUCAGAACUAAGACAAAAAGUCAGGUGCAGUAAUUUUCACUAAGUCCCUGAGAUCUGAUGGUUUUGGGAAAGUUUGUGGCCUUGUAUCUUCUUGUGUUUAAUUCCUUUUGGUGUGACUCUUGCUGGUUCUUGUAGUGUUCUUGGUUGGAUACAGCCACAUAUAUAAUUUUUCAUAUUUGGAGGGUUGUAGCUAUGUUGCAUGUAGCUCACAAAGAGCUAAGAUGCAGAUUAUGGCAGAUUGUGUAGUAUAGUCAUUUUGAUGAUUGUGGGUGAUUACUUGAUGUUGUGGUGUUCUUCCUUGCUCCAAUCCAUUCAUGAUGGGUUGUUAUAUGUCUUGGCAACCUGGGAAUACCAGAUUGUGCCAUUGGAGUGUGUGGUGUUGUUUUUGACACGUAGGGCUUCAUAUCUUGUUUCGUUGAUUCCCGUUGAUCCGUAGCUCCGAAUGUUAUGUUCUUUAUAUGGUUUUGCAUCGUUUUCAUGAGACGCAUCUGUUCAUGCCAUUAUCAUGCAUGUCAAAAUAGCCUAGUAUACAUCUCUGUCCAGAAACUUGUAGUGGUUUCUUUUGCUUGUGCUAGUGAUAGAAAUAGUGAUGCAUGCUCAUUUUUCAUCUCAUGCAUCUUGUGCUUGUUGCAUCUUGUGGUGCUGCUGUUCAUUGGUUGUUAUUCUUAUGUUGGGUAGCACCGGGAUCGGAGAACGAAUACGUGGAGUCAGGAGAGUACGUGCAGGACGAACCAGAACCAUUCCAAGCUGAGGAUAUCACAGGCAAGAUGAUAUGACCUUGAUUCCAUCUCUAGACUUGUUAUGCUAGUUUGCGUUUCCAUGUCAUAUUGCUCGCUGCCUACCACUGAAUUAGAUUGCCUCUUGAUAUGCCAUGAACCCAAACACUGAUCCCUUCCUAGCAAAACUUGUAUGGCUAAGUAGGCUUUGCUCAGCUACUAAUGUUAGCGUUGCUAGAUGCAUGUGCUUUGACUCAUGUGACAAGAGCUUGAUAUCAUUAUCUUAAAUUCUGUUAUUUAAUUAAUGCACUCAUAUACUUGGUAAAUGACGGAAGGCCUAGCCUUUUGCCAGGUGCUUUGUUCUGUUAUUGUCGCCUUAGUUACCGGUUACCGGUGUUUGAUUCCAUAUUGAUCGCUCCUAACACGUUCGGGGUUGUUAUGGGAACCCCCUUGAUAAAUCGCAUAGUGUUAAGGCUUGUCCGGCAGGACCCAACAUUGGUGUUAAUUUGCUAAUCACUUAAUAAACUGCAUAGGGAAUGAUCAACCCGAGGAUCUUCAAUCAACAACCCGGGCCAGUGCUCCUCAUGAGUGUUGGUCCAAACUGGUCUGCCUCCGGGGCCACCUCAAGGAAACUUGAGGUUUGGUACCUCUAGCUAGUUCCAUCCAGCGUGUCCUGAGACUGAGAUACGCGGCUCUUAUCGGGGUCGUCAACACGUCGGGAGGUCCUGCUAGUCUUGCCUUACCUUAGCGAUAUAUCUUGCGUAUAGGAAUCCCAAUGAAGCUUUGGUUUCCCCCAGAGUUGAGGUUUUUCCUCUAAGGAAUCCGACGAGAUCACGAGAUUCAUGAUAGAGGAUUACUUUGCGGCCUGUGUACGUUUAUGAUGGACUAGUUGGAGCACCCCUGCAGGGUUUAAUCUUUCGGAAAGCCGUGCCCGCGGUUAUGUGGCAACUUGGAAUAUUUUGUUAACAUCCGGUAUUAGAGAACUUAAACAUAAGCUAAUAAAAUUGCCAACUGUGUGCGUAACCGUGACUGUCCCCCUCGAAGAUCUCUCUUCGAUCGGGAACACGGUGGGGUUAUGAAUGUCAUAGGUCGGUGUUCAGGAUCACUUAGUGAUCAAGUAAUCAUGACCGCUAGUGUAGAGCACCUUCAUAAUUGCCUUACGUAAGUUAGCCACUAAAUCAAGCUUAGGAUGUUGCAGCCUUAUACACCUCACCUUACCCUACCUAAUAACAUGACUAGUUCUUGCACCAAGGUCUUAGAUUGCUGAGUCCCCGUGACUCACGAAUUCCUCCAAAACUCCCAACAGGCACAGGUACCCCAGAGAGAGAUGAUCCCGACGGCACUCAGCUGGCGUGGCAGUACGACGAGGAGACAGACCGCCUCUACGUGAACUAUCCAGGGGAUUGAGGCAUGGUCGUGAUCGUGGGCCUGCAUGCAGGGUAGCAUACCAUUUCCAUGUUUUGUAGUCCAUAGCGGAACUACCUUGAUUGUAUAUGUGAUGUACUCUGAGUUAUUAAUGAGAAGACAGUUGAAUCCCGCAUUGUCUACUUUUCUUAUUAUUUGUGCUAUGUUACUUGCUUGCGAAACGCUUAGAUGCGCUUCUUUCCUAUUUGGGGCCUCGACCCCGAGAUCGGAAAGGACCGCAUCUUGGUCGUUACAAGUUGGUAUCAGAGCCUUACGACCAUAGGAGCCUUUGUGUGAUCGUACUUGGCCGAGUCGAGUCUAGAAAAUGUUUUGAGUCUUAGUUAUAUCGGAGAGUAGGAUUCUUUUUUCUCUUCUUCUAUGCUCUGGUGAGGUUCCCGUCUUAGGAAAUCUUUAACUCUACUCCUUUUCUCGCUCAAAUUGUUUUUAGGAUCACGCGGGUAUUUGUGAAAUCUAUAUGAUUUCGAUGUGAUGGAAUUCUGUCCUGGUGCCUCCUAUCUGCUCUAAGUAUCAGGGGGGUUGAGUUCCGGGGGAUUCUUGCGCACAUCGCCAUCAUUCAGAUUUCUGAGUAUCUAAGAACGGAGGGUGAUCGUUAUUGCUUCAAUACUGGUAGUGGUGAGAUAACCCCGAUGUCCCCAGUACUGGUGUAGAUUGUUCGGGGGUACUACCACACUUGGUAUCGCUGUGAUCACGAGGAUCUGUUGUAGAUGAAGGUCCGAGAUGCUGGUUGUGUGUUGAAGGAUGUGAUACAGGUGACGGGUUAGUUUAGGAGUUGUGUGAAAUACUCCUUGUAUCCGUGUACCUGAUUGCAUGACCAGUUAUUUCGGGAAUUCAUAGGUGGGAUAUCUAGUAGUAUCUUAUAGGACUAUCUUCCUACAGACGCUUGAUUGAGGUUUGGGAAAUCUCGGUCAUAUGUUUGUUCCGAGCAGUUCUAGCUCACACUUGUUUGCAGUGGUCCUUAUCGGAAUUUUGUCGUCUGUUACUUUGAGGAUGCACUCUUGCUAUGUUGUUCGAGUGCAAUGCUAAAUUCUGUUCAGAUAUUCCUGUCUUUUGAUUCAGCAAUAUCUUCAAUUAUUCUGUGGACUAAUAUGAUGUCCGUCUUCAGGAUGGCUCCACCGACUCGUCAGACCCCAGCGCGUGAGGAUAUGCCACCUCCUCCUCCUCCUCCGCCGCCGCCUCCUCCUCCUGCAGAGGCCUGGCAGGCGAUGAUGGCAGCUACUAAUGCAAACACUCAGAUGUUGUUGCAGUUGAUCCAGGAGAGAGCCAAUCAUCAGCAGGGCAAUUUCCAGCAGGGUGGCAAUCACUUCGCCAAUCUGAGUCAGUUCCUGUCAAACCAGCCUAAGACGUUCACUUCUUGCGACCAGCCAUUUGAUGCAGAAGAUUGGAUCCGUGAUAUGAACAAACACUUCGAGUGUAGCAAUGUGCGUCCGGAGGACUAUGUCAAGUUUGCAACGUUUCAGUUGAAGGGACAUGCUUCUAUAUGAUGUCUUGGGACGAGUUUUGUCAUGACUUCAGAUCCCACUACAUCCCUUCCAGUUUUGUGGAGGAAAUGCGUGAGAAGUUCAGGCGUUUGAAGCAGGGCAGCAAUUCUGUGUACAAGUACAAUUUCGAGUUCCAUGAGCUUGCCCGUUAUGCGCUGCAGGAUGUCCCGGAUCAGAAGAGCAAGAUCUACCAGUUCAGGGGUGGCUUGAAGGAAGACUUGUAGUUAGCUCUUGCAUUGCACGAUCCUGAGGAGUUUGACAAGUUCUACAACCUAGCUCUCAGAGCAGAGGCAGCCUUGCUCAGGGUGGAAAACUCCAAGAAGCGCUUCAGAGAUUCCAGCUCUUCCUCGACUCAGGUGGUUCAGAAGCAACAGAGGUUUUGGGUUUCUCCUCCUCCUCCUCGGCACUCACAGCAUCUUAAGAACUCAGGUGGUCUUGGUUCUUCCCACCCACCCAACCCUGGCUUUCAACAGAGAUACCAACAUCAGAAGCAAGGGCCUCCUCAGACUCAGUUUCGGCAGCCAGCAGAUGUCACUUGUCACAACUGUGGGCAAAAGGGUCACUAUGCCAACAAAUGUACUUCUCAGCUCCGACUACCGCCUCCUCCUCCAGGCAAACCUCCAAGCAACGCUCUUGUCAAAUUCAACCCCACUCAGCUCUAGUCAACAUGGUGAAGCAGACAACUCCUCUGAUGUGAUCAUGGGUAACCUCCUCGUCAAUGAUAUCCCUGCUAAAGUGUUAUUUGAUUCUGGUGCUUUGCAUUCCUUCAUGUCAUACCCCUUUGCAUUUGGUAAUAAUAUUGCGACCGAGUUCCUUCCCAAGUAAUUGCAAGUUGUGUCUCCGGGUAUGCGGAUGAGCUCUCAGUUGUUCGUCCUAGAUGUUUCUGUCAAGAUGGGCGCUUAUGCUUUUCUGGAAUCUCCUAUUGUCUUGGGCAAUUCCGACAUUGAUUUGAUCCUUGGUAUGGACUGGUUGGCCAUGAACAAGGCGUCAAUUGAUUUUGAAGCCAAAGAAGUGAAGCUUACCCACUCUUCGGAGGAUGUGAUUAUAUUCGCGGCGCGCGAUGAUACAAUCCGUCUGUUCUCCUUGAAUGAAAAGGGUGAGAUCAAUCCUAUUGAGCAAGUUCCAGUGGUCUGCGAAUAUCAAGAUGUGUCUCCUGAAGAGCUGCCAGGCAUGCCUCCGCACCGUGAAGUUGAGUUUGUCAUUGAGCUUGAGCCAGACACAGAGCCAGUGUGCAAACGGCCGUACGUAAGUUAGCCACUAAAUCAAGCUUAGUGAUCAAGUAAUCACGACCGUUAGUGUAGACCACCUUCAUAAUUGCCUUACGUAAGUUAGCCACUAAAUCAAGCUUAGUGAUCAAGUAAUCACGACCGUUAGUGUAGACCACCUUCAUAAUUGCCUUACGUAAGUUAGCCACUAAAUCAAGCUUAGGAUGAUGCAGCCUUAUACACCUCACCUUACCCCACCUAAUAACAUGACUAGUUCUGGCACCAAGGUCUUAGAUUGCUGAGUCCCCGUGACUCACGGAUUCCUCCGAAACUCCCAACAGGCACAGGUACCCCAGAGAGAGAUGAUCCCGACGGCACUCAGCUGGCGUGGCAGUACGACGAGGAGACACACCGCUUCUACGUGAACUAUCCAGGGGAUUGAGGCGUGGUCGUGAUCGUGGGCCUGCAUGCAGGGUAGCAUAGCAUUUCCAUGUUUUGUAGUCCGUAGAGGAACUACCUUGAUUGUAUCUGUGAUGUACUCUGAGUUAUUAAUGAGAAGACAGUUGAAUCCCGAAUUGUCUACUUUUAUUAUUAUUUGUGCUAUGUUACUUGCUUGCGAAACGCUUAAAUGCGCUUCUUUCCUAUUUGGGGCCUCGACCCCGAGAUCGGAAAGGACCGCAUCUUGGUCGUUACAAAACUACUAUGAAAACUAUGCCAGACUAAGGCAAGGAAACGCAAAACCGAAAACAAAGGAAUCUCAAAAAUAAAGCUAAUACGUGAAGGACUCGCAUUGGUGGCGGAUAUGUGGACUCGGAUUGGUGNNNNNNNNNNNNNNNNNNNNNNNNNNNNNNNNNNNNNNNNNNNNNNNNNNNNNNNNNNNNNNNNNNNNNNNNNNNNNNNNNNNNNNNNNNNNNNNNNNNNAUUCUUCACCCCUCUAUUUUCCCAUCAAAGCACCGUAUUUUUAUGGAUGUUAUUUUUUUCUUACUUCAUACCUAAAAGGAGAACGUAAGAAAAUAUUAAAAUCAUCAUAAAAAAUAUUUUAUGCUACGUAAAGUUAUAAACGUAAAAACAUAGUUUAAAAUAUACACAAAAUGUAUAUAUAUGUGUUUGUGUGUGUGUGUAUUAUGGAGAUUUUCUACAGUAGCACAUACAAUGCCCGGGGGCUCGGCUCGAGGAGCCAAACAUGACGGCCUUGACAUAGAACUUGAGACAUUCUAGCAAUAUUAUGAGCAUCUAUGUUGUACACCCUCGUUUUAUGUUUAAAGGAAACAUUUCGUAGUACCUCCAGCUUGCGCGUGACUUCUGUUAGCCCCCUCCUCUCCUGUGCUUCCUUCAUAGAUACUCCCUCCAUCGAGGUGCGUUGGGCACGUAAGAGAAUUUUGGAAUUCAAAAAUUAUAAGUCGCGUAAGUUAUUAUAGAUGCAUUAAUCUUCGGAAUUAGCUCUUCCUGGAAAAACGUUGGACCAAUGCAUGCAAUCCUCCUCCUCUUAAACUUAAUCCCAAUUAAUUGGAUAACAAUAUAUCAAGCAUGAGGAUUGGUUGCAUAUUAUAAAUUUACAUGCAUGGGUUAGCCAAACCGUGCCAGCUAUUAUUGUUCUAUUUAUUGCAGCAUUUUGGAAAAGGAGAUUUGGAUGGUGAUUGGCUUCCUUUAUGAUUCAAAUUAUUUGGCUAGCCCAAUCUCCUUGUGCCUAGAUUGCAGUGCUCCUCCUUAGUGCCCAAUACACCUGGAC